UGCAAGGCGUCUCUUCCGGCGGUGAGGAUGGAGGAUGUCAAAAUUGAUAUUAACGAUAAGGAGCUUACGCUAACCAGAGAGCUGAAUAUUGCGGACGGAGGCACGAUUCUCAGGCGGUUUUUAAAGGUCUCGAGGAAUAUCGAUUUGCCGGACGGUGUGAAGCGGUCUAACUUCAAGAGUACUUCGAUGGAGGAUGGGGUCCUCACCGUCACUUUUACUAGAGAUGCCGCCGCCACCGCAAAUACUUCCUCUCGUUCCGUGUAUAAAAAAGUCAUCGCCUUCCUCAACGCCGUGAUUUACUGGGAGACGUCUCUAGACAAGCACGUGUUAAAGGCCUCUCUUCUUCCAGGCAUGAAGAAAGAGGAUGUGAAGAUCGAGAUCGAAGACGAUGGUACGGAACUUAAGAUGAUCGUACUGCUGGAGACUGAGGAGGAAGAAGGAGACACGAUUCCCGAGUGGCUGCUGGAGGAGUUUACAGAUGGCAAGAUCAUAAGGAGGUUCAAGUUGCCAGCGGAUGUGAGGCUGGAUGACUUUAAAACUGAGAUGGAGGAGGAUGGAGUUCUCACUGUUACUUUUACUAAACCCAUCAAGCCCAAGAAAACGCAGCAGCAGCGGCAGCUGAUAUCGAAGUUAUUGGGAUUUCUGGCUAAAGCUGCGGCAGCGCCUUUUGCUAAACUGAAUCAAAAGUCAAAAUUGCUGAGAGUUCUAUCCGCGAAAAAGCUGAUCUCCAAGUUGGGAGUUCUGGCUAAGGCAGCGCCUGUUUGUAUCUUGUGUGGCCACGCGAGUUCGAAUUCUGGGAGUUCGAAUAAUUCGAAUUCUCAAAGGUAAAUAUUUUUGGGCUUUUCUUGCUACCUCUAUCUUUAAAAGUUAAAUAAACGAAAUCAAGCUUUUGCCCACAUAGUGUGUCAAUUUGUCUCAUGGUCUUGUUUUUCCGUUUUCUGUGAAAGAACUUGUCUACUGCUACAGAGAACUUUCUAAUGUUGUAUUCGUGUGAUAAAUUUGUAAUCGUAUUUUUCAAUCUAUUGGCAUGUUACAAACUAUUUGGGUCUUGUUUUCCCUUAAGUUGCUAAUGUUAUAUAGAAACCCCUAAAAUCUAUUAUGCAAUUCAGUUUUGAUAGUUUCUGUUUCAAAGCUAGGUGUGCUAUUAGAUUAGGAUACAGAUCAUAGCAGUUUUGGAAUUCUUUAUUAGGUCUUAAAUAAUUGUAAGAUAAAUAAUUAAAACACUUUAUACUUGUUCUGCCUUAAUGUACUUCAAUGUGAGAUGUAGCAUUGAUUUUGCUCAAUGUGCUUUUUAAAAGUAGACUUCCGCUAGCUCACUCAGGCCCUAUCUGGUAGUGUGGUUGAGCAGAUGUAGUUUUUAAGUUGCAAUACUAAAAGUGUUUAGUAAACAAAAAUUACUCGUAUUUUGAAGCUGGGGUGAUUUCAGGGGCAGUACUAUGAAGAGACAAGCAUGGGCCGUAGUCUCCAUAAGAAAAAUUAUAUGUUUUUUAAAGAAUAAUUAUAUAUUUUUUAAUAUGCUAUAUAUUAAGUUAAAUAAUAAGAUAGUUAAAAAAAUCCUUCAAGUUACUUGUAUUUAACAAAAUAAGAACUUAUAUAAAUAUAUCUUUGAAAUGAGCUAAUCUUAAUAGUGAUCCAUGUUUGUCUCUUGUUUCUCUCUUGUUUCUCUCUUAAUUUCUCAAUUCGGUUUUCUCUUGGUAAUCCCUUAAAAUGUCAAUUCCCAAUUCUCACUUUUCUUAACUUCACUCUUUGAGAAUGUUAGUUUAUUAUUUAGCUUCUUUAUUUAUUUUUCAAUUGAUAGAUUUUAAGGUGAUCGAUUGUGAUGAAUGUUGCUUAUAUUUUAUUUCUUAAUUUUUCAGUGUAACUGAUUGGAAUCUAACCUCUAUAAACUGUAUUUCUUCACCUUAUAAAUAAAAAUUCAAACAAUUAUUUUUCUUAAUAUUUUUCUUACUUGAUUGUUGAAAAAUUUUAUUGUUCAUUAUGUUUAUAUAUGCGUUCACAUUGAAUUUUUUUGUAAUCUUUCCUUGGCCCUUGUAGCCAAAGUUGGCUUGCUUGGCCUCUGGUUGAUUUGAUCAUAUAGUUGUAUGAUGAAAACUCUAUAAUAUCUUUAUUAUUUUUGUCAAAAUCAUUAUUUGCAAGUCAUAGUUUACAACACACUAAUAACUUUGCGACAGUUUUUUUUUUUUUUUUUAAUACAACAGUUGAAACCAUUAAGCCACAGGACCUCAAUAUCAAACAAAACCUUAACAUAUUAAAGAAAAUCUUUCAUUGGAAAUUAAACAGUAGCUGUCAGUGAAAAUAAUCUUUUUCGUUGGUGAUAUUUUUUGGUAGCUAAUAUUGUAAAUCACCUUCAUCCUCAAAUUGGAAUUCAAAAUCAACAGUCAGAAAUUACUGUACUUUGAUAUUCUGUUUUGGAAGGGAUGAGCUUAGACAUUAAUCUUGAUUUGAUUUAUGGUAGUGAAAACUCAUUUUAGACAGGAGUUAAAAUUUACUGACAUUAUUGUUAUUUUUUUCACCGGCUCUGUAAACUCAAUGUAUUAUGUAUUGUUAGUGUUUGACUGUGAUUGUUACAUUAAUGACAAUGACAUGCAUUGGUUUUGUUGGAUACUGAGAAUUUUUUCCUUUGAAACUACUGUAAUAUGCGCGUAAUUGUGCUAUUUCCGAAAUGCAUGCGUCUUUAAAGAGUACUGCUGCAUUCAGUAUAUAAAGUUUAUUGAAAGAAACCAAGCCAAGGAAUAGAGAGGUAUAUAUUAUGACUUGAGGCAAUUCAUUAGUCUUCCUUUGAGAGAAAAAUGGCUAAAGAAACUAGUUUUUUUAUCUAAACUGAGUUUCUUUUCUUGUCUUUUCUUUUCGUUUUUAAGCAAUAACCUUGGUAUCAAACAGCCAUCAAGGUAAAUACAUGGAAAUGAUAUUUAUGUUCUGCUAAUUCAUUCAGUUCAAUCUUCAAACUCGACUAUCAAAUGCAGUGCCUUACACAUGAGUUUGAGAGUAAAGUUCAACCUUAGCUUUGAGCUUGAGGAUGCUCCUUUUUCUACCAUCUAUCUUUUAAUAGCACUCUUAAAUCUCAAACUCCCAUCUUUUCAGAGCAUCCUCAAACUCUAAGCCAACAUUUCAUACAUGGCUCGCAUACCUCCAAAAGCUGGUUUAGAAAUCACUGGACUCCCUCAUCCAUACUUUCAAGAAUUAAUCGUGUCUUUACUUGUGAAAUUAAAGAAUUAAAAUGAUUGAUGAUGUUUACUUGUUGAAAUAGAAGGGAGAAUGAGAAUGAAAUGUGGGGUUCAUAUAUUUUGGGAUUAAGGAACGGAAAUUUGAUAUUGAUGUGGUUGGGAAUCAAGUUCCCAUUCAAUAGAUUGACCCUUUUACCCCAUUAAAUUUUAAAAAUCUACAAAUUUCCCUUAAUUAUAUUUUGUAUUGUGGUCGUUGUUUUCAAUACUUUACAUAAUAUAUAGAAAUAUUGAUAAGUUUUAAAACAUUUACAAAUAGGUCCUAUUAGUAUCAUCAUCAUCAUUAUUAGUAUUUCAAUAUUUUAUUACCAUAAUUAUUAAUAUAAGUAUAUUAUUAUUGUUGUUGUUAUAAUUGUUGUAAUUAUUAUUGUUGUCAUUAUUUUCAUUAUUAUUGUUAUUAUGAUAAUAGAAAAUAAUAAUACUAAAUAAUUAACUAAGGAUAUUUUGGUAACUUGUAAAAUUUAUUUCGAUUUUAGUCCAUUUCAAUUAUAGUUCAUUUUGAUUCUCAAUUGGUAAACGUACCAUCUGUUCCAACCACACAGCGACUCCAAUGCCUUCCCCUGCAUUAUUUGUCAGGCUAUUGUGUUCAAUCUUUCAAAAUUAUUGAUUUGUUCCUAGUUCAACUCAAUCGAUAUUAUUUAAGAUAUAAGAAAGAAAAGAUUUAUGGUUUAUGGAAAAAGAAGUAUAUAUGAAUACACCCUAAAUGUUGUUCAGAUUAAUUAUAUUAAAUUGAUUAAGUGGAUAGUUCUUAAUAGUGAUUCAUAUUAUGUCUAAAUGUUUUUUAAAAUUAUAUUCAACAAUAAAUAUUUAAGGCUUGAUACUAAAGGUGUAUUUGUCUAUAUAAAUUUUUUUUUAAAAAAAAGGAAAAAUGGAUUUCUUUCCAUGCAAUAUACAUUGCACAAAACAUUGAAAUUCUAUUUCUGUUAUGAAAUAAUUAUAAUUUAUGUGGAUGUUCAUCAAAGCAUUCUUUUAUCUCCUCACAAACAACUUUUCAUCUCUUAUAACUCUCAUUAUCUCCUUAAUUUAAGGAUUGUUGUUUCUCAUAAUUAUGAUGUAUUACUUACUACUUUAUGGUUGUAUUUAGGGGUGGGCAUGGGUUGGUUUGGGUUGGGUUUUAUGUCAACCCAAACCAAACCAUAAAAAUUUGAACCUAAUUCAAACCAACUUAAAUAUUUUUAACCCAACCCAAACCAACUCAUUUGGGUUUGGUUUGGGUUUGGUUUGAAUUUAUUAAUAAAAAUAUUUUUUAUUUUGAUAAAUUUAAUUAUAUCAAAAUUACAAUAAUUAUUAAAUUAAUAUUAAAAUAUGAAAAAAUAUAGUCAAAAAAUUAUAAAUAAUAGAUUUCACAAUAACUUCAUCCUUAAAUAUUAACCAUAUUACAAUACAAAUUCUAAUAAUGUCAACACAAAUCAAAACAAGAUAAGACAUCCAAAUCAAGUAUCAAAACAAUCCAUCAUAAUCAUUCCAUAUGCAGCACUUUAAUCAAAAGAUCCUAUGAUCAGCUGAGUCUACUCCUUCACCAACAAAUAAAUAACAAAAAAAAGAAAAUUAUAAUGUUCAAUAGUUAUAAAGAUGAGUAAAUUUAAAAAGGAACAUUAUUCAUACCAAAAUCGUAAGAAUAACAUCAAUCUAAAGUCAUUGCCUCCGUUGUUGCACUUGAUCCAAACUCUACAUUAAAUAAAAAUAAAUUAAUAAAAAAAUACUAAUGAUAAACAAAUAUAUAAUUUUUUUUCGCUUGUUAUGAUAAAUAGUAGUUACCUGAUAUCAUGGCUUCAUAAAACUCAAGCUCCUCCAUCGUUGGUUCAUCUUGUAAUGGGACAAAUACGUAACCAAUUUUGUGAGCAUAUCAAAGCUUCCACCAUCUUUGGACUUAAAGAACUACAAAAUGAAUCAAUGAUGCGUCCUCCAGUACUAAAUGCAGAUUCUGAAGCUACUGUAGAUAUUGGAAUUGCAAACACAUCCUUUGCAAUAUGUGAAAGAACUCGAUAUUUUAUUGAGUUCAUUUUCCACCAUGCCAAAAUCUCAAAGUUGUCAUCAUCAACAUGUUCACACGGCUCCAACAAGUACCUCUCUACUUCAUUUUUCAUCUCAACACAAUCAUCUUUUUCUAUUCUUUGUUUGAACUUUACAACACUUGAAAGUUUAGAAAACCUCACCUUUUUAUCAAAUUUCCUACUAUCAACAAUUGACGACUUACUAGCACCACUAGAUGAUCCACAACCACCAAUCUUAGUGUCAAGAUCUUUAUAGUAUUCAUAAAGACGUAUUAAAAGAUUUUUCACCUCUUCAGACUUCUUCCCAACCUCAUUAAUAACAAAAAUGUCUUCAAAGCAAAAUCUCACAUAUUUUAACUUAUAACGUGGAUCAAGAAUAACCGAAAUAAGCAACAAAUUAUUUAACCUAUCAAUUGAACCCCAAUAUUUUUCAUACUUAUUUUUCAUACUUGUUGCCAUUUUAGAUAAAACAAGAUCAUCACCACUUUCAAUUAAUGAUGUCAAAUCGGAAUGAAUUGAGCACAUUUCAUGAAAAUAUAAGUUUGAAGUCAGGUACAUUGAUCCACUAAAUUUCAAAGUUAUAUCAUAAAAUGACUUAAAAAACAACACAAAAACAUUAGCAUUUUCCCAAUCAUCACUAUUUGGGGGUCCUCCAUCUUCUUUGAAAUAUAAAACAUAAUGUCGGUCAUCAUCCUCCAUUCUCUCAAAAGCCUUUUGAAAUUUUAAAGCACUCUCCAACAUUAAGUGGAAUUCCACCUAGUGGACACAUCUUGAACCACAAGACCAACACCUUCAAUUCUUUCAUGCUCCACACAUAUUUUAAAUUUUUUUAGCCUUGCAGGAGAUGACUUUACAUAUUUGACAGCAUUACGAAUUCUAGAAAUUGACACAUGUAAGUCUUUCAACCCUUCAUUCACAAUUAAAUUCAAAAUAUGCGCACAACAUCUGAUAUGUAAAAAGUCAUCAUCUAGCACAAGCCCAUUCUCACUCCAAUUCUUCAAUUUCUUUUUGACAUAAUUGAUAGCUAACUCAUUUGAACUAGCAUUAUCAACAGUAAUGGUAAAUACCCUUUCUAUACCCCACUCAAGUAAACAAGACUCAAUUACCUUUCCAAUUGUCUCCCCCUUAUGGUUAGGUACUGUGCAAAAAUUUAAAAUUAUUUUCUGUAAUUUCCACUCACUAUCAAGGAAAUGGGCUGUUAUCACCAUAUAGUAAUAAUUUUGUAUAGACGUCCAUGCAUCUGUGGUUAUACAAACCCUUUGCUUAUUUGAAACAAAAAAGUUCCUCAAUUUUUGCUUUUCAUCCCAAAAAAGUUUGUAUACAUCUCUAGCAAGGGUUCUCCUAGACAGUAGAUCAAAGUUUGGUUCCAAUUGUUUACUAUAUUGUUGAAAGCCCUCUUUCUCCACAAAACUAAAGGGUAAUUCAUCAAUAAUAAUUAACCUUGUAAGGGCUUUUCUACAUGCUUCUUUAUCAAAGACAUUAGACUUAGAUUCGUCUUUCAUUUCAUGUGAAGUUGUUUGAUUUUCAUCCUCAAAUGUGUUCAAAUAAUCAGGACAACACAAUAAAUGAUUCCUUAAUGUACUAGUCCCAAUUUUAGUCCCAUGUUUAUUCUUACAAGCAUAGUCAUUACCACAAUAAUUACACUUGCAUCUAUUACCUGGAUCGUAUUUAGUGAAAUGUUCCCAUAUUUUCGAUCUCUCUGAUGGCUUUUUCCUCUUGCUCUGAGUAGUUGCCAAAGUGUCCGAAGAAUAAGUACCAUGACAACUUGAGUUCUCAUCCAUCUAAAAUUAAUUGAAAAAAAAAUCAUGUAACUUUAAGCCAAUUCAACAAAAAAAUUUACCAAAUAUAAGGAAUAACAACAGUGGCAGUAAUUAUAACUGGAAAAAAAAUCAUGAGUUAUGGUAGUGUUAUUUAUUCAUAAACAUAAAAGAGGCAUUCCAUACAAAAUUACAAAUCCCGAAUAUGUGAAAAAGCUGGAAAGCCAAGCAUCACUAGGAGACUGCAACCAGCUACCUCUUCUUGUCUUUUUAUAUUCAUUCAAUUAUAAUGACGGGUUCUACUUUUUAUAUGCAGUUAAUUUAUGCACCAGCAGCUGUAAGUGAAUAUUAUGGCGGAUCUUAAAUUUCUGCACUCUGUCUUUAGUACAAUGGUUGUAAGGAUACAAUCACAAGCUAAGUUAACAAAAAUAAUGGCAUAAAAAACAGCACUGAAAGCCCAAAUGGUAAUAUUUUCUAGAAUUUGUUUUUCACAAUUCUUUAAAUUGUACAUGUGGUAGAAAUGAUCUAUGAAAGAAUUAGUUCAUAAGAGCUCAAUCAAAUUCAUAUAUCAGCAAAUUAUUUUCAGCAUAUUCAAGUGUGAGUGGUUUUAUCAAUUCCCCAUUCUCUAAUUCCAGCAUACCCAUUACCAAAUAACUGGAAAAAAAAAUGAAGCUUUUGUAAAAAAACCUCACCUUAUAUCAAUAGAAAGGCUGUAAUCGAAGUGGGGUCUUCAAGAGUUGAUGAAAAUCGACUGAGAGAUUCGUGACAGCACUUUUGUUGACAGAGAUUGUGGAAGAUAGAGUGAGGUCAGUGAGAGUCAACAGUUCUAAUGAACUGGGGAGUGAUGAAUGCAAGAUUAUGAAAGUGAAAAUAAUGGAAUUAAUUUUAUUUAAUUUUAUUUAUUUUCCACUCACAGCUCACCUUGAAUUUAUCUAGCCCAUGGGUAUACCCAAACCAUUAUGAAAUGGUUUUCCCUAUAAAAACCCAAACCAACCCAUUUUAAUGAUUUAUCCAACCCAAACUAUUUUAUUUGGUUUGAGUUUGGGUAAACCCAUGGGUUGUGGGUUUAUGCCCACCCCUAGUUGUAUCACUAUAAAAGGAGAUUUUUACUCCUUAUUUGUAUACACUUGGAAGUGUGAAUAACACACAAGAGAUUGAAUAAAAUUUCUCUCUACACACAUUAUGUUUCUUAUUUACUACCUUUCUUUCUCUUGCUAUAUGGUUGUGCUCUUAAUUAAUAGAUUUUAUAACACGUUAUCAACACAAGUCUCUAGCUACAAGAGAUCAAUUUUCAUCCUCUUUAAAAUAUGGUAAUAUCUAUUCUUUAAUCUUACUCAUAAAAGUAUGAAGUAACAAUCUUGAUUUUGCCUAAGAUGAUAUUUACAUUCGUAUAUGUAUUUUGAUAAUCUAGAAUAAUGCAUCAAUGAAUUCAUACUUUUAUAUCAUCAUUACUUAUAUUGCUAUUGUUUGACAUUUCUUAUUAUAAUAUUCAAUUGCUAUUAUAUAUUUUCCAUUCUUGAAAUUCAAAAAGUUCAUCCUGAAGUUUGAAUACUAUAAUAUACAAUGAAAGAAAAUUAUGAAUGCAUCCUUGGGGGAUUACAUUACAUAUAAUGAAGAUUUUCUUUCCAAAUAGGUUCUUGAAGAACUAUUACAAAAUUAUGAUGACAUUCAUCACCAUCUUGUUUAUGAAGGAUUGACUAUAUAAGUGUAUAUUUUACAUGUCCCUGAAGGACUAUGUUGUGCAAAUUUUAUUGAACUCGCAAGUGCACGAAUCUAUUGUAGAAUAGAUUAAUGGAGACGAGUGUCGAUCCCAUGAGGAGGUGGAUUUUAAUUAUAUAUAGAAUUAAUUUUGUAUGAGGGUGGUUGGAUUUGUGGUGAAAGUGACUUAUAUUAUCUUAAAAUUGGAAUUGAAAUGACGAGAAUAAAUUGAAGUGAAAAUCUAUUAAAUUGACAUCCUUUGGUAUCUGGAUCCGUAUCAACAUGCACCAUGGGCUAAAUAUUCCUUAUUAAUGUCAAUUAAAUCAUGAGGGGGGAAUCCACACCUCAUGAACCACACUCUAAUCAAUAUGGUGCUAAGGGCUUAUCGUGCCAAAUAAUAAUAACCUUGUACUAGAGAGCCGGUGUAACCAAGGCGGUAUCUAGACAAGAUUAUUAUUAUUUGUCGACGAGAAGUCAAAACAUCCACAAAAACUAGAGGGGAAGAGAAAAUAAAUUUACCAAAUAAAGCCCAUGACACAUAUUGAGACUUCACCUUCAACCCAAGCUUGAAAGAAAAUUAGCUACUCAUAAUUGAACUAGGGGCAAAAUGAAAAUUUAUUAAAAUACAUAGAAAAUACAAGAUGGAGAAGGAAUUACAGAAAAUGGAUCCCAAAAAUGGAUUCAGAGAUAUCAAAUUAGGGGGGGAAGGCCCCAUUUUUAUAGAUACAUUGAGUAAAUCAUGGCCAUCGAAUUAAAAAUAGUUUGGACGCUCAGGAUUGUGCCAUGUCAUCAGUCAACAGUACGCGGUUUGACCACGUGGGUGAACAGUAACACGGUUUGACCCGGCUUUGAGCAGUAACGCGGUUUGGUUGAAAAUAAUCAUGUGUAAUACAUGUACCGUACGCGCAAGUUUUGGUCCACUAAUAUACUGCCACGUCACCAUUAACAGUUCAUAAGAAUUUUAGACCAACAGGAUCAUGACACCUCAUCAGUCAAUGCCACAUCAUCGGUCAAUGCCACGUCAUCAAUCCGUUUAUGUGAACAGUGUUGUGAACAGUAACGUAGACAGUACCGUACAUGUGAAUAGUACCGUACAUGUGAACAGUGCCAUUUUUCCUUUUAUGCUCCUCCUAAGGUUUUCGACCGUCCUGAGUUCAAAAGUAAUGUCCGUUUUGCCGUUUGAUCUCUCGUUUAUUGUGAAAUGACUAUGAUGCCCCUAAAAUACACAAAAUACUUAAUUAAAAUAAAACACACAUAAUUAAAUUACAAGAACCUUAAAUACAUAAAAGUAAGGGUUGUUAGUAAGACUUGAAAUGUAAAAUGAUGAUUUUCUCCUUUAUAAAUAUACAUUUUCUAACACUCAACACACCUCCCAACCAGCUUAUUGCUAGUCCCUAACAAAUAAAGCGAAAACAAAAUUCAAACACAAUUUUUUGUUUGUUUUUUUUUUUAAACAAUCUUGUUUAUUUAAUCAGACUAAUGAUAGCAAUCAAAUAAAAAUAUAAGCAUUAUCUCCAGUCUAAAGCAACAUCACACCCACAUCAAUCAUCCACAUGAAUCAGCCUAGUAGAUUGUCAUAGCUACUUUCAAAAAUGACAUGUCAAACCCCAAAAUCUCACUGGAAGUAGUAAUACUCUCACAAAAAAAUUAAACCCAAUAAAAAUAGUCACUCCAAUGAAUGGUACUUGAGAGAGAAAAUAAUAAAGAAGUGAUAUCACAUGCUCUCACCAAGAUGAAAGAAAUAUGCCCUCAGCUUCGAAAUAAUACGAUCUCAAGUCAAAUAAAAAUGUUAGUCAACCCAAUUUAGUUUUAUUAAUUUUUUUUAUACACCACUACAUCGUUUUAGCCCAUAUAACUAGCUUCUACUUCAGACUAUAGUUCCCUAAAAUCAAAAAGAACUUUUAUUAGAACGUAACGUAGGCUAGGGAUAUGGCUAACAAAGAAGGGAAAUAAGGAAAACAAAGUGUACGUUUGAGAAAAAUGCAGAGAAAUUUUUUUUUUCUUUAGGGAAGUUGCAAGGUGGAUUUCACCUAUUAUUGUUAUUUUUAUCUUUGAAACAACAAAUUUUUUUCUUUCUUUUUUUUAAACAACAAUAUCUCUUUUUUUUUUUUAGGGCAUAACUUCACUGUACAAAAUAUUUAUUUACAUUUUUCUCAAACAUAAUAGGUGAUGGAACUUGUAAGAUAUUGGGUAAUACUCCAAAUUGGAGUGGGUCAAGAUGAUAAGUUUGACAAAGAAAAGUUUUUUUUUUUUUUUAAGGCUCAAAAGGGUUAAUUAUGGAUAUUUGAUAAAAGAGAUGGCUAGAAAGGCUCAAACGGAUCAAAGAUGGCCUUUCCAUCGUCUUUUAGGGCUCUAAAUAAUCUUCCAUAUCUACUAGUUAGAUGGGCCUCCAAAUGUAGCAACACACUUUUUUUCUUUUUUUUAUUUUACAAUUUUUUUUAAGGGUUAACUCAAAAGAAAUCUAGAGAUCGUAUAUAAAAUAAUAAACUGCUAAGUUGUAUAAAGAAUGGACAAAAGGGUUACUCUCUAAGAAAAAUGAUAGGCUCAAAAACUCACUUGGUACUUAUUAUGACAUGUUCAUUCCUUCAAGCAACUCAUAUUUGUCUCUGACAUCAACAUGUAAAGUAGCAAACAUGGCGUAACAUCACUUAAGACUAAAGAUAAUACAAAUACUAAAAUUUGAAAUUAAUCAUGUCAUCCAAUGUUAAAAUAAAUUACACAAAUUUUUUUUUUAAACAACAUUAUACCCCCCAACCUAUCCUAAACAUGAAAGGAAAAUAUGCAUGCAGAAAUGUGAAAAUGAUGCAUAAAAACUAAUUAGAAAAAUUACACUUAAAAUGAUAGAAAAAGAAAAUGGUUUUUUUUUUUUUACUAAGAAGAUGCGUUUCUAGAGGCAUUACACUCCAUAUUCAGCCAUCUUCGACUCAACAAAAAAAUUGAAAAUGUAUAUUUAUAAAGGAGAAAUUAAAAAGAAGAAGAAAAAUGAAUAUCAAAACAUAAUAAAGAAAAAGAAAAUGUCUGAAUUUUUUUUUUUUCAAAUGAUGAAGAUGCGUUUCUAGAGUCACUACACUCCAUAUUCAGCCAUCUUCAACACAAAAAGUUAGCAACAGUUAGUUUUUACAACAAAAAAUCAGUAAAAACUUAACCAAGAUUCCACAAUUGUCGACUAUUCCCUCCCCCAAACCAGAACGAAAUAUUGUCCUCAAUGUUGUAAAAGAAUGAGUAGAGUUUAUAAGACAUCACAUGGGUGGUGCAACACAGAAGAAAAUAUUUACAGGCAGCUACUGUUACCGUCAUUAUUUGGACGCUCCAACACAAAGGUUCAGGGGUCUGGCUCCGGUUUAUAAGCUUGUAACAUAUCAAGUAGAUCAUUAGCAGUGUGAGCACAAAUAAAAAGUUUUUUUGCACUGGAAGGAAUGAAGUAGUUUUUUAUUGCAUGGUUAAGAAAUGCGAUGAAGCCAUCAUAAAAGUUAUUCACAUUUAACAAACCGAUGGGUUUCUAGUGAAUGUACAGAUGGGCCCAAGAUGCUAGUGUGAUAAGUGUCUCUAGUGUUGCAAGAUCUCCUGGAAGGAAAAUAAAAGCAUCAACAUGAUUAAGCAUUUCAGUUAUUCUUUCUUGCAUACCUGAGACAACUAACUCUUCUCCAGUCGAUGAGUCAGACAAACUACCCAAAGGUUUUAGAGCUCUUGGGAUGAUGCCUAACACAUGGUUUCCUCUGACAAAAGCAGCUUCUGAGACCAAUUUUGAUAACCCUCGGUUACCUCCUCCAUACACCAAGUGUAAUUUUCUCUCUGCUAUGCUUCGACCAAGAUCUAUGGCUGCAUCAACGAACUCUUUAUGUUUGCCAUAGGUAAAUCCAGAAAGCACACAAAUGUUCUUGAAUUGUCUAUUGAGAGUAGCUGCCAUUGGAAUAUUUCUCAAAAAUAAUUUGUGAAUGCUUAACAAAAAGUCAUAUUUAAGAAUUUUGGUGACAGUGGGUCACAACUGUGUAUGAGGUGGCAUGUCAGUGUCAAAUAACGCGCAAAGCACAUGGCUCGCGAGUCAAAAAAGAAACAGUAAAAAGAAAAAGUAAUAAUGAUAAAAUAAAAUUAUUAAAGACAAUAAUGCAAAAGAUAAAAUAACAGUGAAAUAAAAUAAUAGUGAAGUAAAAGGAUAUUUACAGGUAGCUGAGACUGUGGCUCAUAUCUUCCUCUGGUUUUGCGUCCAGAAACGACUUGAACGCCCUCUAUGGGUCGAGGAUGGGCUUCCCAUCCAGUUUUCUUAUAAACUGGCAAACAAGGUCGUUUAUAGUCAGAUUCCCGAAACUAUAUCGUGCAUGCUCUUUCUGGAAUAAUGGCCAUAACUGGAAAAUCGCUCCUUGCACAUAUCCACUGGGAUGCGUUUCAAGAGAUAGAAGGAUAUCAUCCAAUGACUCCUUAUUCAAGCCAUCCCUAAUGUAUUGAAUCUUAUCUUCCCUGCCAAUCAUACUUUAGCCUUGAUUAACCAACAGAUGUCAGCAGGUAUGUUAUUCCUCAUGAACAAUUGCAUGCGUUCGGACCGGGCUUUAUAGAUCGUAAGGAGGGCAUUCUGAGGAAGUGAAGGGAAUCGCUUGUGAAGGUUCGCUAGAAUCUCAUUUCUGUCCAUAUCUUCACCUCAGAAUAUCAGUUAUUAUGGGAAACUAAAGUAACCGACUUGAUUGUCACGGAGUACCGUUAUCCGCCACUUCACCGAGGUAACAAACUAAAGCACACAAACAGAAAAACAAAUUAAAACACACAAAGAAAAUUAAAAUCAUCCUCUUAUUGAAUUUACCUCAAGCUCCAACUAGAUGUCGUAAACACUUCUCUCAAUGUCUCUGAAUUGGCUUUCUAAACCCUCAACAUAGGAUACUAACUCUGGUGGUUGCAGAGCCCAAAUACGACGUGUCUUACAAAAUCGAAGCUGUCUUUUGAGAUGAGAUUUUACACGUUGAAGUGGUUUAAGAAUGUUCAGGAGGAACGGUUUAAGUAUGGUACUCAUUAUUAACAAUGAUAAGAAAAAAAAACUUAAUGGUUAAACAAACACACUUAUGCAAAAAUAAUUUCAAUUAGCAAAAGAAUAAUAAAAAGAAAAAAAAAAUCAAAUCACCGAAAAGAAAAGAAAAAAAUCAAUUCAAAUCUUAUGGGUCACUCAAAUUUAUUUCGAUGUCCUCUCCAUGUGGUUGGUACUCUAGAUAUGGCUUUAAUCUUUGACCAUUAACUUUAAACGUGACACCGUUCUUUGGGUCCUUAAUUUCAAUUGUCCCAUAUGGAAAAACAGUAUGAACAAUAAAUGGGUUAGACCAUCGAGAGCGUAACUUACCUGGGAAUAGGUGAAAGCGAGAAUUGAAUAAAAGCACUUUCUGACCUGGAGUGAACGAUUUUCUCAUAAUUUGCUUGUCAUGGAAGACUUUCAUUCGUUGCUUGUAAAUCUUGGCAUUUUCGUAUGUAUCAUUGCGAAUUUCUUCAAGUUCUCCCAGCUUUAAUCUUCUUUCUGAGCUGGCUUGCUGCAUAUCAAAGUUGAAUUUCUUGAUAGCCUAAUAUGCACGAUGCUCGAGUUCCACAGGUAGGUGGCAAGCUUUUCCAUACACUAGCAUGUAGGGUGACAUCCCAAUCGGGGUCUUGAAAGCUAUUCUAUAUGCCCAUAAUGCAUCAUCAAGUCUUAAUGACCAAUCUUUUCUGUCCGGCCUCACCGUCUUUUCUAAUAUGUGCUUUAUUUCUCGAUUGGAGAUCUCAACUUGGCCACUGGUUUGCGGAUGAUAUGGGGUUACCACUUUGUGAGUGAUUGAAUACUUCGUCAAAAGAGCCUUGAAUGCUUUAUUACAAAAGUGGGCACCACCAUCACUGAUUAUUGCUCGAGGGAAUCCAAAGCGUGAAACAAUGUUGCUUUUCAAAAAUUCUAUCACCACCUUGUGAUCAUUGGUUCUACAUGGAAUUGCUUCUACCCAUUUCGAUACGUAGUCAACAGCAACCAAUAUGUAUUGAUGGCCAAAAGAAGGGGGAAAUGGUCCCAUGAAGUCGAUACCUCAUACGUCAAAAAUCUCAACCACUAAAAUUGGAUUUAGUGGCAUCAUGUUCCUUCGUGUAAUGCUCCCUAUUCGUUGACACCUAUCACAUGAAGAACAGAAAGUGUAAGCGUCUCGAAAUAUAGUUGGCCAAUAGAAACCGCAUUGUAAAACUUUAGUAGUUAUUUUCUUAGCACUGAAAUGGCCUCCACAAGCUUGUUCAUGGCAGAAUGAAAGGAUAUUCUGAAUUUCAUUUUCUAGGACACAUCGUCUAACAAUUUGAUCUGCACAAUACUUAAACAGAUAAGGGUCAUCCCAAAAGAAAUUCUUUAUUUCUGCAAAGAAUUUAGCCUUGUCUUGCUUGGUCCAACGCUCUGGAAGUUGACCUGUAACAAGAUAAUUCAUGAUAUCAGCAUACCAUGGUAAUACUUUCACACUCAUCAAUUGUUCAUCUGGAAAUUACUCAUUCAAUGUUAAUGGCUCUGUAAUUGUGUUAAAAUGGAGACGAGAGAGAUGGUCUGCCACAACAUUUUCUGUACCUUUCUUAUCUCUGAAUUCCAAGUCAAAUUUCUGCAAAAGUAACACCCAACGAAUUAGUCUAGCUUUUGCAUCUUUAUUUGUGAGAAGAUAUUUAAGAGCAGCAUGAUCUGUGAACACAAUUAUUUUACAACCAAUGAGAUAAAAUUAAAAUUUUUCCAAUGCAAACACUACUGCUAGCAUUUCUUUUUCAGUAGUUGAAUAGUUCAACUGUGCAUCAUUCAAUGUCAUACUAGCAUAAUAAAUAACAUGGGGAAUUCGAUCAACUCUUUGUCCUAAUACUGCUCCUACUGCAUAAUCAGAUGCAUCACACAUGAGUUCAAAUGGUAAGCUCCAGUUUGGGGCCUGAAUGAUGGGUGAUGAUGUCAACAACUGCUUUAAUUUUUCAAACGCCUCAAGACAUGAAUCAUUAAAGAUAAAAGGUACAUCCUUAGCAAGUAAAUUGCAUAAGGGUCUAGAAACUUUGCUAAAAUUUUUAAUGAAACGUCUAUAGAAACCAGCAUGCCCAAGGAAAGAUCUUACUUCUCUGACUGUUUUAGGUGGAGGAAGAUUAGAAAUGAGAUCCACCUUGGCUUUGUCAACCUCAAUACCUUUGCUCAAAAUGAUGUGACCGAGAACAAUACCUUGUUUUACCAUAAAAUGGCACUUCUCCCAAUUUAAGACCAAGUUCUUUUCGAUACAUCUCUACAGAACUAGUGUUAGAUGAUGUAAACAUUGAUCAAACGAGUCACCAAAGACAAAAAAAUCAUCCAUAAAGACUUCAAGGAAUCGUUCAACCAUAUCAGAAAAAAUACUUAACAUGCAUCGUUGAAAUGUAGCAGGUACAUUACAUAAUCCAAAUGGCAUCCUCCUAUAUGCAAAAGUGCCAAAAGGGCAAGUGAAAGUGGUUUUCUCUUGAUCUUUCGGUGUUAUAGGAAUCUGAUUAUAUCCUGAGUAGCCAUCUAGAAAGCAAUAAAAUUCAUGGCCUGCUAAUCUAUCAAGCAUUUGAUCGAUAAAUGGUAAAGGAAAAUGGUCUUUAAGUGUGACAGAAUUCAACUUUCUAUAAUCAAUGCAUACACGCCAUCCUGUAGUUACUCUAGUUGGUAUCAAUUCAUUAUCGGCAUUGGUAACUACUGUGACUCCUAACUUUUUAGGGACAACUUAUACAGGACUGAUCCAUGAACUAUCAGAAAUUGGGUAAAUGAUACUUGCGUAUAAUAGCUUAAGGACUUCAGCUCUAACAACUUCUUUCAUGUUAGGAUUUAACCGACGUUGCAUUUCCCUAGUAGAUUUAGCAUUUUCAUCGAGGUGAAUGUAAUGCAUGCAGUCUACUGGGUUUAUACCUUUGAUGUCUGCUAUGGUCUAUCCUAAUGCUUCUUUGUGCUCUUUUAAAACAUCCAACAACUUAUCUUUUUAUUCGUCAUUUAGGGAUGAUGAGAUGAUUACCGGUAGAGUACUUUCUUCUCCUAAAAAUGCAUAUUCCAAAGUGUUGGGUAAUGGUUUGAGCUCGAGUUUUGGUGGUGAUUCUGAUGAUGGGAUGAGUUUCUUUUCUGAUGGUGCUAGUUGUUCAACUCUUGACUUCCAUUUAUUAGUGUCCAUGGAUGGUGCUCAGUCAAGUAGGGCGUUGACCUCAUCGACCGAUCUGUCAAUAUCAAAAUUCAAACCAAAGUGAGUUAAACAUGUUUGUAAAGGAUCAUCACUAAGGUUUGAAAGAAAAGUAUUAUCAACUAUUGUUUCUAUUAAAUCCACAUCAACAAUUCCAUCAUCUGCAUUGUGAGGUUGUUUGGCAAUGCUGAAGAUGUUCAGCUCCAUAGUCAUGUUGCCGAAGGACAACUGCAUAUUUCUAGUCCUGCAUUGAAUGUGAGCAUCUGCAAUUGCCAAGAAAGGUCAGCCUAGAAUAAUAGGGAUGUGCUUCCUUGAAUCCUGUAUUGGUUGAGUGUCAAUUACAAUGAAAUCAACAGGAAAAUAAAACUUGUCUACCUGAAUAAGCACGUCCUCCACAAUACCACGAGGUAUUUUCAUGGACCGAUCUGCAAGCUGUAACACCACUGGAGUUGGAUGUAAUUCUCUAAGUCUAAGUUUCAAAAAUACUGAGUAAGGCAAUAGAUUUACACUAGCUCCUAAAUCCAACAAAGCAUUCUCAAUUGUGUGAUUCCCUAUGCUACAUGAGAUAGUGGGGGAACCUGGAUCUUUGCAUUUUAGAGGAAUUUUAUGUUGGAGGAUAUAACUAACAUUUUCUGUUAAAAAUGUCUUCUUUUGAACAUGAAUGUUUCUCCUUUUAGUACAAAGAUCUUUAAGAAACUUGCCAUAAGAUGGAACUUGCUUUAUAACAUCAAGUAAAGGGAUGUUAACACUUACUUGUUUGAAGAUUUCAAGAAUCUUACAUGUGGAUUUUUCCUUCUUUCCUUUAUCUAACCUCUAAGGAAAUGGAGCUUUGGGAACAUAUUCUCGCGGGUUGGUUUCUUCUUUCUCCUCCAAUGGUGAGUCCUCAACAUUCACAGGUACAAUUUGAUUUUCUUUUGUCACCGGCAUCUCCACUUUGUUGUCGACUUCUUUUUCUUUUCACAAGGUCAUGAUUGCUUUGACCUCUCCAUGCUGCUGUGGUGAACUGGUACUUGCUUUAUGUACUCCUUUAGGAUUAGGCACUGAUUGACUUGGAAAUUUACCUUUCUCAACAGUCAUUGCCAAGGUCUAAACUGAAGAAGCUAGUUGUCCCACCAUCUUCUCGAGGCUUGAAACUGAUUGAGCUUAUGAGUUGAAGCAUGCUCUCAACUCAUUUCGUAGUCCAUCAAUGGUGCGAUUCUGUUGCUCAAUCGUGGAGUGAAUAAGAUUCUUGAGAUUCUGGAAUGAAUCCUCACAUGGUCUGGGUUGAGUAUAGUUCUGAUUUUGAUUGUAUGGUCUAAAUGGUGGCUGAGAGGCUUGAGGAACUUGAGGAAUUUGUUGCAUUGGUGGAGCUGGAGCUGUUGGUCCAUUCUGUUGGAAUCCUUGAGACCAUGAAAAAUUGGGGUGGUCUCUCCAUCCAGGGUUAUAUGUGUUGGAGUAUGGGUUGUAAGUUUGAUGGCUUUCUCAUUACACCUAUGGCAUUGGCUUGAUCUGAGUAUGAGUCAUGGUCAUGUGGUUAUGUUGAUUUAGCAGUCGAUAACGAUGUUAUUUGUCGAGCAAGACCUUCAACCAUCUCCUUGACUUCUUUGAUUCCCGAAGUUGACUCGCCAAUUUGAACCUCAUUUACUCCCUUAAUUCUUCUAGUAUUCCUAAGUGAUCGACUCCGUUGUUGGGAAUUAUCUGCUUGUCGCUGGAAGAAUUCCCAAAUCUCUGAUGCACUUUUUGACAUUGGCUCUCCUCCACUUGUUGCCAUUAGCCAUUCUUGCACAUUUGGUAGUAAUCCCUCCAAAAAGUAUUGGCAUUGGUGCCAUUUCUCGUACCCAUGAUGUGGACACUUCAAGAGUAACCCAUUGAAUCGCUCCCAUGUUUCAAAAAAUUGUUCGUCUUCUCUCUGUGUAAACUCUGAAAUUUCCCUGCGAAUAGCAUUGGUUUUAUGCACUGGGAAAUAUUUAUUCAAAAAUUUAGUUACCAUUUGUUCCCAUGAUGUAAUGCUAUUAGCAGGCAAAGUAUUUAACCAUGAACGAGCUCUAUCCUUUAAAGAAAAUGGGAAUAAUCUGAGUUUAAUAUCAUCGUCUGAAAAAUUCUCAUAUUUAAAUGUUUGACAAAUAGCAUGAAAAUCAUUCAGAUGAUUAUAUGAGUCCUCAUUUUCUAAGCCAUAGAAUGUGGGGAGACAAUUUAGCACACUAGGUUUUAGUUCAAAGCUCCUAGCAGCUAUAUUUGGGUAUCUUAUGUAUGAUGUGCUCAAAUUAGCUAAAGGACUGAAGUAGUCCUUAAAUGGCCUCUCCUGUGGUUGCAAAUCCAUUUUAUUUUUAACUUGUUUGUGUGUGCGAAGUGUUUUUUCUAGUUCAAGGUCUAUAGGUUCAAGAUUAGGUAAUAAUGACCUACGACCAUGCAUGCAAAACAAAUAAAAUAAAAAUAAAGAUGGGAACAAAACAAAUAAAAAUAAAGAAGAGGGAGAAAUUACGAUACUAACCUUAUUGCGCUAUUACAACCUUACUAUAAAAACACACUAAAAAAAUACGUAAAAAUAAAUUAACUAAAAUUAAAUUAAUAAAAAAAAUUACAAAGAAAAAUAACUUAAAAAUUAAAUUGCAGAAUUGUAAAGAAUAGAGAAAGAAAAGAAAUUAUAACCUCUAAAUGCAUAUUCACUUUUUUUCUUUUUUUUUAAUAAGAAAAAAAUACAAGAAAACAAAAAAAAGAAAUUAUUCACAAAAAUUAAUUCUACAAAUUAAAACAACUUACCUCCCAGGCAACGGCGCCAAAAACUUGUUGUGCAAAUUUUAUUGAACUCGCAAGUACACGAAUCUAUUGUAGAAUAGAUUAAUGGAGACGAGUGUCGAUCCCACAAUGAGGUAGAUUUUAAUUAUAUAUAGAAUUAAUUUUGUACGAGGGUGGUUGGAUUUGUGGUGAAAGUGACUUAGAUUAUCUUAAAAUUGGAAUUGAAAUGACGAGAAUAAAUUGAAGUGAAAAUCUAUUAAAUUGACGCACUUGGGUAUCUGGAUUCGUAUCAACAUGCACUAUGAGCUAAAUAUUCCUUAUUAAUGUCAAUUAAAUCAUGAGGGGGGAAUCCACACCUCAUGAACCACACUCUAAUCAAUAUGGUGCUAAGGGCUUAUCGUGCCAAAUAAUAAUAACCUUGUACUAGAGAGCCGGUGUAACCAAGGCGGUAUCUAAACAAGAUUAUUAUUAUUUGUCGACGAGAAAUCAAAACAUCCACAAAAACUAGAGGGGAAGAGAAAAUAAAUUUACCAAAUAAAGCCCAUGACACAUGUUGAGACUUCACCUUCAACCCAAGCUUGAAAGAAAAUUAGCUACUCAUAAUUGAACUAUGGGCAAAAUGGAAAUUUAUUAAAAUACGUAGAAAAUACAAGAUGGAGAAGGAAUUACAGAAAAUGGAUCCCAAAAAUGGAUUCAGAGAUAUCAAAUUAGGGGGGGAGGUCCCCUUUUUAUAGAUACAUUGAGUAAAUCAUGGCCAUCGGAUUAAAAAUAGUUUGGAUGCUCAGAAUUGCGCCACGUCAUCAGUCAACAGUACGCGGUUUGACCAUGUGGGUGAACAGUAACACAGUUUGACCUGGCUUUGAACAGUAACGCGGUUUAGUUGAAAAUAAUCCUGUGUAAUACAUGUACCGUACGCGCAAGUUUUGGUCCACUAAUAUACUGCCACGUCACCAUCAACAGUUCAUAAGAAUUUUAGACCAAUAGGAUCAUGACACCUCAUCAGUCAAUGCCACAUCAUUGGUCAGUGCCACGUCAUCGAUCCGUCUAUGUGAACAGUGUUGUGAACAGUAACGUAGACAGUACCGUACAUGUGAACAGUGUCAUUUUUCCUUUUAUGCUCCUCCUAAGGUUUUCGACCGUCCUGAGUUCAAAAGUAAUGUCCGUUUUGCCGUUUGAUCUCUCGUUUAUUGUGAAAUGACUAUGAUGCCCCUAAAAUACACAAAAUACUUAAUUAAAAUAAAACACACAUAAUUAAAUUACAAGAACCUUAAAUACAUAAAAGUAAGGGUUGUUAGUAAGACUUGAAAUGUAAAAUGACGAUUUUCUCCUUUAUAAAUAUACAUUUUCUAACACUCAACAGACUAUACAAAUAUUAUAAGUUCAUGUAUAUGUCAUGUAAGACUAUAUACAAAUUUUCUUUUCCAUAUCUCCUAGAAGGAGUUACAAAGUGAAUAUAUAUAAAUAAUACGUAAUUGUUUCUUUGAAAAAAUUUUAAGGAAAAAACAUGACAAUCAAAAGUGUUUGAGUAAUAUGUGAGGUCAUUAAAAAAAAAAAAUUGUUCGUUUUCAAUUUUAACAACUUCUUGACUUCGUUGGCUCAUUGUUCAGUUUUCAACUUCUUAGACUUUUAGCAUAGAGUUUUGCAUACUUAUUUUACAUUAGAUAAUUUUCAACAAAUAGCUUGAUAUGAUAAAAUAGAGGAAUGAGUUGUAAGUGGCAUAUGUAUGUACUUGAACUUUUAAAUUGAUCCUUAUGUUUUUAUUGAAUUCUUGAUGAACAUUUUUUAUUAUUGUCUUGAAUUACUAAAGUCUAAUUAAUAUUCACAUGUUUAAGACCAUGAAUAGUACUAAAAUAUUUUUGUGGAAGAAAUCAAUCCCUGAAGGAUUGUAAAAGAUUAUGAUUUUCUCUUAUGAUCAUCUCCCUGCAGAAGCUAAAAAUUCAUAUAUAAGCUUGAUGAUAAUUUCAAAGGCUCAAUUAAUUCUCUCAUUUGAAAUUAUAUGGAGAGAAUAAUAUAAAAGGAAACAUAUUAUAGGGCACAUGAUUUUAUAGCACAAAUAUGCUCCUGCAGUAGCAAAUUAAGAGUACCAAUAUAAAUUGAUACUAUGUUUUCUUUUGUUAAAAAUAAAAUAUGAGCUUUUGAUUAAAAGAAAAUCAUGACUAAUUCAAAUCCUUAAUGGAUUCCUAGUCUUUUGAGAGUAGUAAUGGAUGUCGUGAUUAUCAAAUAAUUAUUCAAAAUUAUAAUGGUCAUAGGUCUUAUUGUAAGAAAUCAACAUGUGAAUAUUGUAUCACCAAAAGUUGUCUAAAAUUGAAUUAAUAUUGGAGAUGGACCAGAAGUUCAAUCCAAAAUCUUCAAUAAUUUGACUUAGUAAAGUCUCUAUGCAAGCUUAAUAAUUUUCGUGAAAAUUCUUCUAUGAUUAGGGGGAGUAAAGUGAUAUACACUUGAUAGACAAUAUAAUUUGUUUAAUCUUUAUCCCAUUUUGAUCUUUACAUGUGUUAAUUUAUUUGAACCUGAAGUUCAACAAGAUUAUUGUGCAAUACGCAUUAUUGAUCAAUUAUUGAAUGAAUUUAUUGACAUGUGAAAGUGAAAAAUCACAAACAAAAUAUAAUUGUUGGUUGAUAUGAUGUUCUUGAAGGACAAAAUGGUGAUACAAAUAAAUUUGUGAAUACAUGAAGAAUAUAGUAGAUCAAUCGGUGCAAAUGUUUAAUUCUUGGGAAGUUGAAGUUAAAUAAUUCGGUGCUCCUGAAGAGACCAUGUUUGCAUGUAUAGCAAAACAUUUGAUCUAUAUUAAAUUAUUGAACAUAUUGCCCUUAGAGGAGCAUAAUGUACCAACUAGAAGAUGAGUCUCAAACACCCUUGAAGAGGUAAAUUUUGAGAAAUAAAGAGAGAUUCAUAUUGCCUUAUAAAAGACACGCGUGAAAAUUAAGAAAGAGAGAUCGUUAGCUCUUGUAGAGGCAUAUAAAUUAGAAGUUUCGAAAGAUCUCAUCAGGCAUACAUAUUGCAAAAUAAAAGGUAUUUGAUCAAUAGUAUGUUGGUACUUGGUGCAAGAGAAAAAUUGAAAUUGUCAUAAAAUUAUUGUCAGUAAAAGUGAUAGUGUCGUUAAGGUGCACCAAAUUUAAAACCUUACCACUAAUAUAAAUAAUUAGUAAAGAGCGAGUAAGGAUCGAUCCCACAGAAACUAUGCUAGUUAUAUUUAUUAUUAACUCUAAAGCAAGAUUUAAAAUAAAAUAAUAGUAGUAAUAAUAAUAGUAGUAAUAAUAUAAAUUAAUCUAACUAAAGAAAAUGCCAAUUAUAAAUAAAAAGGGGGGUUUAUGAAUUUUUAACUAAAUAGUAAGAAAUAAAGAAAUUAAAACUACGAACAAGAAUUUAAUAAAAACUCUAAUUAAAGGAGAAAAAAAUAAUAAUGAUGAAAACUUUGGUUAAAGGAUCAUUCGCCACCACUAAACAUGCACAUAAUAUAUCAAUUCUAUUAUCAAUUUAUAUUGAAACUAUCAACCGUAGACAGCAAUAAGCUCUGUUAGUCUCAAUCUUUCCUUAGUGUGUUGUUAGGCAAAACAAGCUCUUUAAAUUUAAGAUAAUGGAAGCAUUAAACAGAUAAAGAUAUUAGGUUGAUCUAGGCAAUAAACACACAAGCUCGGAUUAUUUAACCUAGGUUAUAUUCUCCAAUUGAAAUAAUUGAUUCCAACCUACUACUAAUGAUUAAAAUAUCAAGACAAUUACGGAUCAAGAAUUUUAAUCUAGCAAUAGAAUUUAUUCAAGUCCUAUCUAAUUGGCCACUCAAAUAAAACAAGAAUAAACCAUGAACAUUAAAUAUAGAAGAACAUAAACAAUCUCAAUUGAAUAAAUUGAAUGAUAAAAAUUAAAAAUUAAUCAUGUGACAUGUUCGGGGUUUUGAAUUCACCCUCAACCAAAUAAAAAUCUAGCCUAACAUAAUUGAAUUGGAAAUAAGAGAAUUGACAAAACCAAUCAUAAAGAUUAAUUCAAACGGCUGCCUUUUUCUUCUACUCCUCUUCGGUUUCUCCUUUGUUUUUUUCCUUCUUGCGGCUGCUGGUUCCUCAAAUCUUCUUGGCCUUUAUAUAAUGUUACUGACUUGCUUAAUCCUUAUUGGAUUCUAAUUGCAUUAAUGCUUCACAACUUAUCAUAAGUCAAAGUCAUCCACCGACUUACAAAGCCCACUCAUCAAGCCCUUUUUAAAUUAUUUCCUUAUUAAACUUUGAAAGCUAGCCACACGUUUGACCACAAAAGCAAAAGGCCAGUUAAUGAUUUCUUCUUUUAAUGCCCAGUACAUGCAUUCCAAAUUGCCAAAUCUUUGCUUUCCAAAUGCAUGCCCACCAUUCAUCUUUUGAAGGGAUUGACUUCCAAUUUUGGUCUUCUUGACUUCCAUUAAUUCUUGGCUGCAUUUUUGUCUUUCAAUUUAAUCUUUAUUCCUUCCCAACUUAAACUUCCCAUGCCUUUUUUAUCCUUAAUCUUCAAUUAAUUCCUCAUUCAACAAAAUAAUUCAAUUAAUUAAAAAAUAACAAAUAAAAAUAACUAGUAAUUAAAUAAUUAAGGGUAAAAUAUGUAUAAUUUAAAAAUUAACUAAAAUAACUAGAAUAUUUAAGACCAAAACAAGAAAAAGAUGGAGAAAUUAAUAGCAAAAUAUAUGAAAAAUAUGCACUUAUCAAAAAGUUUAGUUAUCAUAAUAAAAUAUCCAGGAUCCUGAAUCACAAAAUAACGAAAGAAUGUCAAUUUAUAUGAUAAGCGAAAAUUUGGACCUGUAGUCCAUAUGCCAGAAGAUGUAUAAUUAAUUAGCAAGACAUAAAGAAUUUUGGACUUGCAGUCCAUACGCCUGAAGUCGUAAACUUUAUUGAUAAAAUAUGAAUAUGAACUAUAGUGCGUCAAAAAUCAAAUUGAAGAAUCUAUGCACUUAUCCUUGAAGGAUAACUAAAAGUAUUAAAUGAAAAAGCUUGCACUUUAUAUGUUCUUGAUAAAACUAUAAUUAUAGUUGUGUAUAUUAUAGCAAUAUAAACUUACGAAAGUACAAUCACUUGAGUGAAUUUAUUAUAAGUGGGAUAUGUCAUUAUCCACUUUGCUAUGUGAUUGAAAAUUAAAUUUGCAAGUUUUGCACAAUGUGUUGAUGAUUUCAUCAUGAAAAGACUCUUGAAGAGGUUAUGAACUUAUUUCUUUUAAGAAUACAAUUCAAGAUUAAAGAUCUUGCAAUAAAAGAAUUCUCUCAAUUUAUGAAUUGAAGUUUAUGAAGUAGAAUGUUGAUAUAUAGAAAUGCUAGAAGUAUUUCACAUUCAAAAUUAUUCUACUUUAAAAUAUGUUGUAUAUGUUUUGGUCCCGAAGAAUCAUACUUUACUCAAAAUUGUGCUUCUAAAGAGAUUAGAAAGUUGCAUAAUUGUAAAUUAAAUUAUGCUCAACAUAUACUUGAAAAUUUCAAAAUAGUGUGAAAAGUAUAUCACACUCUUUCCAUGAUAUGGAUGCAAAACUUUAGUUUUUUUUUAAGAAGAUCAACAAGAUUAUGAAGAUAUAUGCAUGGCAAUAUUCUUCAAAUUCAAGAUGAUUGUAUCUAUAAUUUAUUACAUCUUUUCAAGCUUCGAAAGGAUGGUGUUGAUCCUGCAGAUUAUUUCACCAAAAUAUUGUUAAUUACAACAAAUUAUGAUUGAUCUUUGAAGCAUCCAUGUCAUUUUGAGGGAGAGCAUAUUUAUAUGGAGGACUACAUGCACUGUACUCUUUUUCCUUCACUAGGCUUUUGUCCCAUUGGGUUUUUCCUAGUAAGGUUUUAAGAAGGCAGUUUACACCUCCAUAAAAUACAAAUGAAUAAUGUACUCUUUUUCCAUGGCUUGUUUUUUUUUUUCCCAUAGGGUUUUUACUAGCAAAGGUUUUAAUGAGACAUAUUUUUUGUAAGAUGAAUAUCUAAGGGAGAGUGUUAUGAAAUAAUUAUAAUUUAUGUGAAUGUUCAUCAAAACAUUCUUUUAUCUCCUCACAACCAACUUUUCAUCUCUUAUAACUCUCAUUAUCUCCUUAAUUUAAGGAUUGUUGUCUCUCAUAAUUAUGAUGUAUUACUUACUACUUUAUGAUUGUAUCACUAUAAAAGGAGAUUUUUACUCCUUAUUUGUAUACACUUGGAAGUGUAAAUAACACACAAGAGAUUGAAUAAAUUUUCUCUCUACACACAUUAUAUCUCUUAUUUGCUUUCUUUUCUCUUGCUAUAUGGUUGUGCUCUUAAUUAAUAGAUUUUAUAACAAUUUCCUUUAUCUCAUCUUUUCUUCCAUCUAAUUUUCUCUCCUCAUUCCUUUCCUCUCUCAAUUCAUUUCUUUUUUCUCUUUUGUUCAAACCCUUGAAAACAAACAUCUAGGCAAGGAACCUCGUGAGUCGUUUUUGGUUAGCCCAGCCUGAGUUGUUAACGGGCUUGGGCUUCAAAAAAAUUCAAAAUUUUUUUUGACAAUAAAAAAAAAAUUCAAAUUUGAAAAGGAAACCCAAGAUAGUUCCUGGAUACCCUCUAUUUUUAUAUUAAUAAUAUGUUAAACCCAGUAAUUUUACAAUAAGUAAUUCUUGUAGGAAAUCUUAUAUUAUUUGAUCAUUUGUGUGUGGGUGUAUAUAAUUGAAAAGAGAGUAAGGGAUUAGUAUUCCCUAUUCUUAUGUAAUUUUAUUUAGUACUGAUACUAUAAAUACGAUGAUGGGGUUUUGCGUCCAAUACAUCAUCCAAAAGCACUUUUUUUCUAAAAUUCUGAGGGCACAUGUAUGCUUCAUGCUUGGGACGCCAAUCCACCCUUAAUUAUGUAAUUAGAUAAGGUUAGCCAUCUCUCCACUAAUUUGGAUGGAGUAGAUUUUCCUGCAAGAUUAACGCAAAAAAUAGAAGCUGCCAUAAUUUCGGUGCGCAUAUAAAUAGAGAGAGAGAAUAAUUCUCUAAUGAUAUAUUUUUAUUUUAAUAAAGUGAAGAUAUUACUUAAAAAAAUAAUAAAUUCAAUACACUAACAAGCAAAAAAAAACUCUAAUUUAUUGAAAUAUAUAUUUUUUAAUAUUUUAAUGACAUUUAUCCUCAUUAAUAAAUGAUUAUACAUGUGCGCAGACACUUUCUAACACUCUAUUGUUUAUGUAAUCUGUAUAUUACUUUCAAAUUCUUUCAGCAAUUUUUUUUUUUUUAUCUUAUCAAAGCAUCAAUUGAUCAUUACUUCCAAUCAUGUAAAAGUAUCUAUAUACUCUACACACACACACAAAUACACACAAAGGCAAAUUAGACUGGUCGUUAGAUGUGCUUUUCCAAUUUAAAAUUAUUUUGUUAAAUAAAUUAUGUUCAAAUUAAUUUGUAGCUUUCUUCAGUUUGGCAUUCUCUAUUAUCGUUUUUAAGAUAUUAAUAAUAUAUAUCUGUAAUGGUACAGAUUGUUAACUUAUAUAAUAAUCCAUACAUGUGAUUCCCAAGCAACCAUAAAAGAUAUGGAGGCUGAUAUGGUGCGGGGUGCCCCGAUAACGGGAUUUCUAUGGUUAGUGUCUCACUUCACACGUCCCCUUAUGUCUUCAUAAGGACACAUUAAUUAUUGUUUAUAUAUAAAUAAUUUCAUUUUUGAAGUUUGUGAUAAUGAUAAUUAAGUGACUUAGUUUGCAAAACACGAUACUUCAUAUUACUUUGAAGAAGAAAAACGUGCGUUGUUUGCCUUUGCUGACAAUUGUAUACCUUAAAAGUGGGUAAAUAUCUAUUUACUUCUUUUAUUUUAAAUUAAGUAUUUGUUUAAUUUUUAUAUUUUAAAAUAUAUUUAUUGCUAAAUAUGCAGCACUCUUUUUCUUAUUUUCUCUCCCUUUGUAAUAAUACUUAUAUUACAAUUUUCAGGACAUUAAUUUAUUUUUUCAUAAAAAAGUUAAAUAGAAAAUUAAUAAACUUUUAUUUUACUAAAAGUGUUAGUUUGAUGAAUUAAUUUUUUUUGUUAAUAUCCUUGAGAAUAUUAUUGUAAGAAUAUUGUAGUAAAAGAAAAAAAAAAAAGGAAGGCCAAAAGUGUUACAUAUUUAAUAAUAACAAUGUCUUGAAGCAUUUUUCAAAAUAUAUAGACUAAACGUGUGCUAAACUCAAAAUGUAAAUAUUAAGUAUUUUCCCAGAUAUGCAUGUAUAUAUAUAUUUAAAAAAAAAAUACCUACAACAAAAACCUUAAAAGUCAAUUCUGUUGGAACCAAGAAAAAUGUAUUAAAUAAAUUAAUAUUAAUUAAUCAAAUAAUAUUUUGCAACAUCAAUCCUAAAUCAAUGCGGAUAAAAAAACAUUGUUUAAAGAAUGUAUCUCAAUUUAUUAAUUAAUUAUUAAUUUAUCAAAAUUAUACUUGUACAUAUAUACAUACCAACCAUAUAUUCUUAUACGUUAAUCACAUGAUUCAUGAACAUGUCAAAUGUUGUUUUCAAGAGGUUGCCAUGACCCAUGAGUCACGACCCACCAUACAUUAUUCCCCACGAAUCAAGAUUUUAAUACCCCAAAUUUAUUAAAGGAUCCUUUUAGUUUUUUUUUUUUUUUUCUCUUUUCUAUUUAUUCACAAUUUGUAAGUUAGUUCCCAUGGUCCCCAAAAAAUAAAUGAAUAAAAAUGUCAAAUGUCAAUCCUUUCUCCAAUAGAAACCCUUUCAAUUUGAAACUACAAAUGUGAAUUUUAAAAGUUUCCGUAAAAUGUAUUUGAAUCGGGGCAAAAAAAAAUUUGACGUGUCUUAAUGUUUGACUAUAUAUAAUCAAAUUAUAUAUUCUUAAUUUAUUUUUUUUCUUACUGGGUUUCUCCCUUGCAUGAUUUGUUCAUAAUGUGUACAAAAUAACAACUGGAUUUAGGUUGUCGAAGCUAUCAGCAUAGCCUUUAAUUAAUUGAACUUUUUAGCAUAUAUAUAUAUAUAUAUAUAUAUAUAUAUAUAUAUAUAUGACAAUCUCUAUCUUACAUGCAUGUAAAAUAGGGGAUCCUAUAUAUAAAGAUAACAAUAAAUAACAAGCAUUUCUUAAAAUAGUUGCCCAAAUAUUUUGGUACAGUGCAUCUGUUCAUUUGUGGAAACUAUUAAAAAGGUCACCUUCUCCCAUGUAUUAUUAUUUUAUAGACAAGUUGCAUUAAUUAAAAAGAUUUUUUUUUACUAUUUCCCAUCUUUACGAAUUUGUCUUCAACGUGCAAAUACUCGUGGGAUAAACGCAUUAUUAAAAGAUUCUUUUAAUUUUAUUUUCAAAUGUUCUUUGAACUUAUCUUGUUCUUUAUGUAGCAAAUAAAAGAAUGAAAAAAUAAAUUUUUUCUUUACAAAGACUUUUUAAAUAAAAAUAAAUUUUAUAUUAUUUUAAUUAAAUCUUUUCAUCCACAAAAAUAAACAAAUAAAGAAAUAGCAAUUGUAGGUUAUAGGACUUUUUUUUUAAUAAUGAUGAUAUAAAAAUUAAUAUAAUAUAAAUUAAAAAGGGAGAAAUUACUCUGUAAUUAAAAAAAAAAAAAGAGAUGAAUACUAUCUCAUUUGAAAUUUUUUUUCGAGAAGUUUUUUAGAACCUUUAAUAUAAAUAUAACUGUUUAAAAAAGAAAUCAAAUCUCAUUAAAAGAUUUUUUUUAAUGAUACUCUUAGUUCUCAAGACGUGAUAAUAUAUGCAAAAGUUAUUUUUUUAAUUAAAAAAUAAAAGAAAUAGAAAUAUAUUUAUAUUAAAUUUUGUUUCUUUUUCUUUUUAAUUUGGUGUGCUAUUCGAAGUAAUUUUAAAAACAUCUAAUUAUAAAUUUUUUGUUCGAUUUUACUAGUUAUCAUGCUUGUUGGAGGCCAAUUUGACCUAAUAAGGAGAAGACACGUGUCGAGUAUAAGAAUGAAUAAAAUAAUAAAGAAAACAUGAGUACAAUCCUAGAAGAGAAAGGGAGGUGAUCUAAUUAAAAUCAGAAACAGACUCUUGAGGGGGCAAAACAAAAAAGAAAAGGUACAGAAGGAAUAAAACAAAGAGAGGACACUGGGAUUUGCCCUAGAAUGUCUUCUUAGGAUUCAGAAGCUCACUCCUUGUAUCCCUCAUGGCCGCUGGUUUUAUUAUUUUUUUUAUAUUAAUCACGAGAUAUCUGGGGGAAUGUCCCAACUGUGGGAGGCACCUUUAAGCCCGUACCACAACUCAGACUAGAAGUCCCCGCUCGAACCGGGAGGCACAGGUUCUCCCAACAAAGACGAUUUCCCUGCGACUCGAACUGGGGAGCAAACCCAAUCAAGCCACUUAAGGGGACUCCAUUGCCAAUAGAACCAACACUUUGUUGGUCCGCUGGUUUUAUUAUCCUAUGAGUCACCUCUGCACAUUGAAAUGGACAUUGCCUUCAUUUUCAAAUUAAUUAGGAGUGCCAUCGUUAGAAGGAUCUCUUCUUUCUGGGUGCCCCUGAUUUUUUCUACCAAUAUAAUUAAAGUCUAGAGGACCAACUAGCAACUACCCUACAAAGGGCCUGAAAAGGGCGUAUUAAUUAGUUUUUUUUUUUUAUUCAAAUGUUACCCAAAACUACUUAUAUCAUUGUCUUUGUCUACAACUAAUUAAUUAAUUUAAGCAAUGACUUAAUUUUCUUCUCAAAUUGCAAAUAAUUGUCUAAAAACAAUCUAAGUAAUUACUGUAUAUUCUUGUCUUCUUAUCAAAUAUAUAAAAGAUUUUUAAAAAAAAAUCUUCUCAAAUACAACAUAAAACUAGAAUAUAGAAGAACUAAUGCGAAUUAAUACAUGUAUGAUAUGUGUAACUGAAUAUAAUAUAAUCAUCACUUAUAUAGUAGUUUUUCAAAAUAAAUAUAGAUUUAUUAUAGUAUUAUUUGUUUGUUGUAUGCAUGAUAUGAUAUAUCUGGUGUAUUCUAAAAUUUUUGUAAAUCAAAAAAUGAAUCGUGAUUCAUAAAAAAGUCAAAAUUAAAAAAAUAAUGGAUAAAGUUUUGGAUUACCCUCCUCGUGAAUUAACUAUUUUCAAAUUGCCUCCUUUAUUUUUUGAAAAUUUCAAAUUAUUCUCAAAAGAAAAAAAAAAAAGAUAAGAGAAAAGUGAGGCUGGAUUGAUGAUUUUUUUUUUAUGUUAACAAAAUAGAAGGUUUAUUGAAACUUUUAAAGAUAAUUAAUUGAUAAGGAGAUACUCCAAAAUUAAUUCAAAAAUAAUUUCUAAUUUGGUUUCUUGUAAUAGUGGGCCUCAACCACAUAGCAUUGCUUUGCCUCAGCAUAUAAUCAAAUUCUAAUGGGGUAGAAGGCCCACCAUAUCUACUCAUGUGCACAGAAGAUCUGAGAAAAUCUACUGUAUCAAUCAUUUCGUUGAAGGUUGACCUAAUAACGAUGAUUCCCAUUAUUAUCUUUUUGGUGGGUAAGAAUUUUCAACUUGCCAUUAAUUGGCUCAUAUAUUUAAACAACCCUAUGGUUUUCACACUAAAAUGUUUUAAGAUUUUCUGGUUGUUGUAUUGAAGGGAUUUCAGAAUAUGUUACCAGUAAUGGACUUUUUCCCAUACGAUCAUCACUUUGAUAAGUAAACGAUUCAACAAAUGCAUUUGGCUAUUUAAUUAUGAAUUGUCCACUACUUUUCACGAAUAGAAUUGCACUCUGUUUGUAUUUCAAUUCAUGUAAUAUUAUUCAAAUUUAAAUUAUGUGACAUUUUCAAUUGUAUUAUAAUUAAUUAAGCCUAAACAAAUUGUGCAAUAUCCUUUACUAAUUCUAAAUUUUUCUUAAUUUUUUUCCUUUUGGGUGUACUAUUCUCCUUUUUUUUUAAAUGUAAUUGGAAAUAAUCUAUAUAAAUAAAUACUUCAUAAUUUAGUAAAUGAGAUUUCUCAUCAUUUACACAGUUAUAUAUUUAUAUAUUUAUAGAUGCAUGUGUGUGUAUUAAGGGCUAAUAACACACACCCUACCUGAAGUUUAUGAAACUAGACAGAAACUUUUAUUAUAAAUAUGAUUAUAAAACAGGUUAAAAAAAAAUCACAGAUUUUAUAACAUAAUAUAAUUGCAUUAAAGUGUAUUUUUUUUUUAUCUUUUAACUUGUACCUUAUUUUGUUAAAAUUAAAAAAAAUUAUAAAAUUACUCUAUAUAUACGCACAUACCGCUUUAGAUAACAAAACUAUCAACCCAUUUUAACCAAGGUUAUCAAUUUUUCUAGAAAAAUUUACACUCGUCCACCUGUUUGUUUUGCCUUUUUCAAAAAUACACAAACACUUUUUUUUUUCAGCGCGCCACCUGAAGUUUGCUUUUUGUUGCAUUCUUCCACUUCCGUCUAAUUUUCGUUAGUGGAUUUAACGGAAUGUUAACGAAAUGACCUUUUUACCCCUCAAAAUUACAAUUUAACCCAAAAUAAAUGAAAAUUGGAGAUAAAUUGGAUGGAUUUAAUUUUUUUCAAAGGUGGAUGCUAGAAAUUGGAGGAAAAUAGUGUUUGUUACUUGCUAAAUUUAGAAAAUUUGUAUUUAUUUUUUUGAAAGAGAAAAAAUAAAUACAAAUUUUCUAAAUCUAGCAAGUAACAAACACUAUUUUCCUCCAAAAAAAUAAAUACAAAUUUUCUAAAUUUAGCAUCCACCUUUGAAAAAAAUUAAAUCCAUCCAAUUUAUCUCCAAUUUCUAUUUAUUUUGGGUUAAAUUGUAAUUUUGAGGGGUAAAAAGGUCAUUCCGUUAAAUUUGCUAACGAAAAUUAGAUGGAAGUGGAAGAAUGCAACAAAAAGUAAACUUCAGGUGGCGCGCUGAAAAAAAAAAAAGUUUGUAUACUUUUGAAAAAGACAAAACAAACAUGUGGACGGUUAUAAAUUUCCCAUUUUUCUAAAGGGCCAUUUGUUAUGAGCAGAAAAACUACUAGGACACCAAACUUUGGAUAUAUAUCAUUACCUCUUUUAUUUAUUUUUUAAACAAUAAUAAUAAUAAAUGUCAACUUUUGGGUACGCAAACAUGAUUUGUCCAUGAUCGAUAUCCACCUAAGACCUAACAAAUUAUGUGUAUAUGUCCAGUAUCACGUUUUAAAUUAAAAACAAAAAAGAACAAUAAACUUUGGAACUAAUCUUAAUUCGAUAAUAUAAUGUAUUAAUUCUCCAAGAAGAUCUCAAAGUAUCAUCAUAUCUCUUAAAACUAAUAGCCAUAGUGGAAGGUUCACUAUAUCAAGCUAUUCAAAUAAUAAAAAAAUGAACAACUAAUAGUACAUGGCAAUGAUAUGAUUGGUUGCAACUGCUCACUGAUCGACAUACAAAUUAGGUCCAACCCCUUUAUAUAUUUUCAUGUGAUUCCAUACAGAAAUGUUAAUUCUCAAAGAAAAUAAAUUAAUCAUAUGUUGGCAUUUCCUCAUCAACUUGGCAUUUCCUCAUCAACCAUGAUAAUGACUUGGCAAAUAAGUGUUUAAUUGAAUUUGUUUCAAACUUUUAAAGAAUACUAAUUUUUCUUUGCUUUAUAAGAGCUUGGCUUGAAUGGACUUUUGAAUUUUUCAGCGUGUCAACAUUGUCACCUCGUUGACAUUGACCUAAAAUUAACUUAUUUUUGGAAUACAAGUCAAAUGCUAAAUAAUAUUAGCUGCUUUUUUGAGAAGAAAUAAUAUAAGGUUAAAACGCUUAUGAAAUAUUUUAUAUUCUACACCUUUUUCUUUUGCAUGGUAAGAAUUAAAACUUAAAAUAAUUCGGAGUGGAGGAUUGAAAUACAUCUGAUCUCGCUUUGAGAAAAUUAAUUGUAUAUCAUGGUAAAGGUAAACAUUUUAAGAUUGUUGGAAGCAAUUAAUUAAGAUAACUAGAUUUUAAAAACAUAGUUGGGAUCAUAAAUGAAGGCCUCGAGACAAAGAGUGAGGCCAAUUUAUUAACUAAUCGUGCACUACAUUUUCAUAUUUUCCAUAUCUAUUGUAAGGGUAAUUUUGUUAAUCUGAGUAUUUUUAUUAAUAAUUUUAUCUAAUGGGAUAAGUCACUUGCUCUUACAAGGAAGUAUCUCUUAAUUAAAAGUUCUUGAAGUUUUCCUUCUAAGAAAGUCUUAAUUUGGAACUUACUUUUUAGAAAAAUUAUCACACGUAUACCCUUAAAUGAUACGUAUAUCAAACAUACUAGAACACUUUUAACAUAUUUGACUCAUAUACCCUAAAUUAACAAAAUGUGUCUACUGUCCACAAAACUGUUAGCUGCCAUUAGAAAGUUAAUAGAAUUGUGGCAAAUUAAUUAUUUUACCCUUAAAACUUAAAUUAAGAUAAACAGAUUGAUUUACCCAAAAAAUUAAGGUAAAUUUUCAAUACAAAAUUUUUUUAUUUUUUUAUUUACAAUACUUUUUUAUUAAAAAAACUAUGAUUAUUAAUGGUGCAUAUUAUUAACAAUUAUAUUGUAUACAAUUAUCCAUAUUAUACCAUAAAAAAUUAUUAAUAGUACAUAUUAUUAAAAAUUAUACAUAUUAUACCAUAAAAAAUUCGAGUUGGAGCUUGGAGGAGUAGAUUUUCAAAAAUUCAGGUUAAAGUUUGAAGGAGUAGAAUCGGUCGUGGAGCAGCAGAUUUUUUUUUUUUUAAUAGUCUUGUUGAAACGACGUUGUUUCACAUAGAUUAUGCCGUUGUUCGAUAAAUGGGACGGCAUAUCAUUUUUUUAUCAAAUAUAUCGGACUGCAUGUCAUUUUUUACUAGGUAAAUGAGAUGACAUGUCAUUUUUUUAAGCAAAGCUUCUUCUAUCUUAAAAUACUAGAUUAUCCUUAUGAUGUCAGCACUUGCAAAUGACAACUAACAGAUUAGUGAAUGUCAGACACAUUUUAUCAACUUAGGGUAUAUAAGUGAUACAUUUUAAAAAUGUUGUAAUACAUUUGAUAUAAAUGUCAUUUCAGAGUAUAUGAGUGAUAAUUUCCCUACUUUUUAUCCAUUUACUAUUUACCUUAUAUGUAUAUAUAUAAUUAUGAUUGAUUGAAGUAUACACAUAAUCAAGAGUAAAUGAAAAAGGUGUUCCAAGAGCACCCAAGAAUUUUUUUCGUUCAAAUUAUCGGUUUAAGCAACAAAUCUUACAAUUUUUUUUCUUUUUUUUUUAAAUUUCAGCAUCAGUCAUAUAAAAAAGAAAUGGUAAUAGGUAUCUAACAUAUCAUGUCAAUUUUUUAUGGGACAAUUAAAGCCAUGUGGUGACAAUAUUUUUCACACACAAAUAAUUACUUGGUUUCAUUUCUGCCAUUUCAUUUUAGCCUAUUCGCUUUCAAAUAAGACUCAAUUUAGAAUACUUUUUCAAAUAUAUCUUAUUCAAAUAGAGCUUUAUUAGGAUAUCUUUUAUAUUUGAAUUACUGCUAAAAAUGAAUUUAAUUGUCUAGUUAUUCGGUUAUUAAUGAGAUUUUUUUAAAUAAAAUCAUAAAAUCACUUUAAUAAACAAGUUUUAAAAUUUUAAAAUUAUAUUAUAAAAAAAUAAAAAAAUAAGAAAUAAAUAAUGAUAUUUUAAAAAAUUUAACUUUUUAAAAAAAUUCUCAAACCGCUACUUCCGAAAAUGGGUAAAAUCUCAUUUAGUUUCUAUAUUUGGAGGUUAGUACCCAUUCAGUCCAUAUAUUUUUAAAAAUACCUCAAAACAUCCCCGACAUUAAAUUGUUAUCACAUUUUCUCUUACUUUUUGUUGCUUUUGGCUUUAUUUUUACAAUGUUACCCUCUUAUAAUAUUUUUUUGGACAUUAGUAAAAAGAAAAAAAAUUAAUUAUCAAUUUAAUCUCAAAAAAUAAAAUAGAAACAAAAUUAAUAUAUUUUACUUUUUUGUAACACACUGCUGAGGAAUUAAUAUAUUAAUUUUUUUAUUACUAAUAUCCAAAAAAAAGGAAUUUUAAUUAUUUUUACAAUAAAUAUUUUUUGGACACAUGUAAGCUUUCACAAAAAUUAAUAUAUAUUCUUUCUGUUUUUAUUUUAUUUUUGGGGUUAAAUUGAUGAUUUAAUUUUUUUUUCUUUUUAUUAAUUUUAUAAAAAGAAACAUUAUUGUAAGAGGGUAAUAUUGUAAAAGCAAAUCAAAAGAAACAAAAAGUAACAGUAGGGAUGUCAAUAAUUUAAGGGUAUGGAUGUUUUGAGGCAUUUUUAAAAAUAUAAAGACUAAAUAGGCACUAAUAUUAAAAUAUAGGGAUGAAACAAACUUUUACCCUCCGAAAACCCAACAUUUAAACUUUUACAAGGAGAAACAAAAUAAUUAAUUUUAUCUCCAAAAAUUCUACUCAAAAUAACACCACCAAACAUCUACAUAUACUGCUUUUGCUUUUGAAGUAAAAUUCUCGAUCCCAACUAAAAGUAGGUUCAAACUUGUAGAUUUUCUCAUGUGAUGAUACAUGGUUUUCACAUGUUAUGUUUGAUAUCAUAUUUUUUAAAAAGGAAAAAGAAAAACGAAAUUACUUAUGCACAAGAGCACCAGACACAUAAUUGAUUGUGAAGGGGACAAGAAUCCCAAAAAAAGAAACAUUGUUUCAUGAGAUAUGAAAUAUUAGUGAUAAUGAAAUUCGAUGAUAGGGGAACAUGCUAGGUCCCUGUGAGAUCGACAAAAUUAACUGUUUAUCAUUCUAAUCUUGUGCCAAUAUGGCUCCACUCUAGUCUUAUGACCAUCAAAUUUCCCGUUUUUGUUAAUUAUUCUCUAUUUUUCUAAUAAUGCAUUGAUGCCCACUCACUCCCCCCAACAAAUUAAUUGAUACGUCUCUCCAAAUAAAGGAGAGGGGAGAUACAUUUUAUUAGAUAUCGAAAUAGUAAUUCAGAAUGCAUCGCAAUAGUAAUAACAUUGAUUGGUUUUAAUAGAUUUUUAAUUGUAUAUAUCACCAUGAUAGUGAUUACAAGAUAAUAAUAAAACUUUGACGACAUCCGAAUUUUUAUUUUUUUUAGUUUGGACCAACUUAUAUAUAAUAAUAAAGAUUUUGAGAAUAUCCAUAUUAGAGACCAACUGCAAUUUUACGUAAGCUGCUUUAUUGUUAGGACCCCAUCCCAUGGGAUAACCCUGGUUGAGAAGCAAGGAUUAUUACCCAUGGCCAUGGUGUUUUUGGCAAUUGGUCGAAUAAUGACCCUGCCCAGCCCCACGAACAGUAUUUGCAUAAAAAGUGUUUUGAUUGAUUAUCUGUGACAAGUUGUACGAUCCAUUAUAAGUGUGUCGGCUUAAUCUUCUUCUACAUCUAAGCCAACAAAAUAGCACACCUUCUGCUUCUUCAACGUGCAUAAUUUUCCAGGCAUAUUCAUUCGGACUCCCGGUAGGGUCUUUUUUUUUUGUUUUUUAAAAGGAAUAUACAAAAUUUUAUUAAAGGGAAAAUAGAAAGAACUAUAUUUAAAAAAUAAAAAAGAAUAAAGUGUUGGCUCCACUGGCAAUGGAGUCCCCUUAAGUGGCUUGAUUGGGUUUGUUCCCCAGUUCGAGUCGCAGGGAAGUCGCCUUUGUUGGGAGAACUUGUGCCUCCCGGUUCGAGCGGGAACUUCUAGUCUGGGUUGUGGUACGGGCUUAAAAGUGCCUCCCACAGUUGGGGCCCUCCCUAGAAUACCUCGUGGAUAAGACAAAAAAAAAAAAAAAAAAAACAAAAAAACAAAAAAACAAAAAAGAACAAAGUCAUGAAAAUAAGUAUUUGGAAAAGGCACGUAAACUUACAAAUUAAAUAGAUUCUUAAUUACGAACAGAAACGGGUAGUUCAUCUCAGUAUAUAAAAGAAAAAGAAGGCCUCUACAUUUAUCAAAGUGUCCGUUACUGUAUUAUCCUUUUGAAAAAAAAGUGAGAGUAAUGAAAAUGUACGCCACGAAUUAAAGAUUAUAAAUAAAUAAAUAAAUCUACUGAAUUCGCAAAGGCCUUGGUGGACUAAGACGAGGGGCAUGAAGACAUGAAAAGGCGAAGAGGAAUCUCCCUCCAAACCACAUAAAAUCGCCAGCCUUUAACAGCUGCAUUAUUGAUAGCUUUAAAUUGUAAUAUCUUUAGAUUGUGAUAUGUUUAAAAUUUAAAACAAGAAAAAAAAAAUUCGCAGCUAUGCUUCUUCCAAUAUUUAAUAAAAUGUCUAGUAUUACAUAUUUAUGCAAUAUAAUUAGUUUUUAGGACUUCAAAAAAAUUGGACUCAAGGCCAAAACUUGCCGAGGAAAAUCUUUAGGGUAAAUUUUAGAUUACCCCCUCUUGAAAUAAUAAUUUUCAAAAUUUGUUUCAAACUAUUAUAAACUUCAAUUUAUCCGUAUUUCUAUUUGAAAGAUAAAAGAAAAAUAUAGAUGAAUUGAUGAUUUUAAUUUUCUUAACAAAAAUAAAGGUUCAGUUAAUGUUUACAAUAAUUUGAGAAGUAUUUUAUAGAUUAUUAUUUUCUGAGAGAUAAUAUAAAAUUAACCCAAAAUUUUGAAAGAAAACUAGAAGCGUAAAAAAAUGCAUUCAGAAAGUAUUAUCUCGUUGUCAACCUAAAAGAAUGAAAAAAAGUGGCUUUCUUUUAUUGCAAAUAUAAUUUUCUUCGAACGAAAUUUAAGGAAAAGGUAAUGAGAAAGGAUUAUUAAAGGCUUUGAACAAAUAGUCUACCCAAGGAUAUACAAUCGGAGACUUUGAAAAGCAAUCACUUUUUUCUUUCAUCCCUUAAAGGAUCACUUCCAAUUAAUGGAAAGAAAUUUCAAAGAUUUUAGGCCACCUUCGCCUACUCAAAUUACUAUUUAUACGCUUACGCAUAUACUUUUAAAACAUCAUAAAGAAUGAUGUGCCUGCAAAAAAAUUAAUAAAGAAAGAAAAAAAAUGCAUGUGUCAGAUUUGUUUUUUUGAAAAAAAAAAGCCACAAUAUUUUAAUUGAUUUCAAUUAGUAUUUAUUUAUUUAUUGGUAAAAUAAUGUAAUUAAUUUAUUUAAAAUUUAAGAAGAAUUAACAAUUAUCAAUUAUUUAAUAAAUAACACAUCAUAUGUCACAUUAUUUUAAUAAAAUUUUUAGAUAAAAUGACAUUUAUCAUCACUCCAAUUUACAAAAGUUAUAACCACAAUUAGGAAAGGUUAAUUUCGAGUGCAUUUAAUAAUUUCAUUUUUUGUUCUCGACUUUUAAAAACAAAAAACAUCGAAGAAUGCUUUUGGGUAGAUGUUUCGUGAAACAUAUUCUUAAAAAAAAAUCCUUAAAUUAUAACUAAAAGUAAUUAGCAAACAAUACUGACUAAUUAAAUUUUAUCUUAGGUAACUUAUAAUAUCUUAUUUCAAUUGAGUCCCACCUACUCAUUUUAUCAACACUAUUUUUUUUAAUUUUAGAAAACUUAUUUUACAAAAUGAUAUAUUUUCAUUCUAAAAAAAAUUAUUUUUAAGAACAUUAUUUCUAUUUUCAAUUAUUUUUCAAAAUAUCAUUCAUAAAACAUCAACCCGUGCCUUUAUUAUCACUAGAACUCGAGUGAUUGCGGACAUUUCCAUGACCAAUUGAACUAUAUUAAAUGAGUUAAAAUAAAUUAAUUAAAAUUAAAGCACUACGAUCAAAGAUUAACUUUUUCUUUUUUUUUUGUAUGACAAAAAAAAAAAAAAAUGAACCAUAAAAUCUAAUCAUUACGAUAUUGGACAUACCGAUAGCACAAACAGUUUUGGGAUUGUUAUCUAUCAUUAUACUUCUAGAGGGUCAAAAUUCAUCAAAUGGAUUAUUUUGACUCUUUGGAACACACUGCAAGAAUUUUUGAAAAGCAUCAAUUAAAGACAAAGGAGAAUCAAUCUGAAAAUCUUUGAAAGUUUAUCAGCAAAUCUUUGAUGUUAAGUCGAAAGAAUUUUCUUUGAAGUUAUAAUAUCAAUCCACUGUCUCUUUGACAGCUUCAUACCGAAAUUCACACUCAAGUAAUUACCAGGAAAUUAAGAAAUUCAGUAUUUAUAGUUUUUUUUAUUAGUUGAAAAAAAAAACCCUAAAGAAAUAUUAUAAAGACACCACUCAACAGAAACUUUAAACCGUAAGAUGAUACAAAACAGUAAUACUAUACUUAUAAAAUUUAUAUCUUAUAAUGAUGUGUUACUAAUCAUGUAUUAAGUAAUAUUAUUCAACAACAUUAUCCGAUAAGCGUCGGUACAUAUAAUGAGAUGCAUCCAAGCCCUGAAGCAAAUAAGACAUAGGAGAGAUUGGUUGGAUGAAAUUAAGAGUAAUUUUGGGAUAAAAGCUGGCCAUCUAAAUAAAACUUAUUAAAGCAAGUUCUAAAAACACAUUUUCAUAAACACGCUUUGAAAAUUUCUGACUCAUGCCUAAAAAGUCUUUUUCUUAGCACCGGAAUAUUCAAGUACCGGGCUCAAAAGAGAUUUUUAAAAAUUAAUUGAAGUAUCUAUUGGCUUCUUAUUUUUAAAUUUUUUUUUUGGUCAAAACAAAUCUUUCUCUUUUAUUUUUUCUUUUAAUACUUAAGCGCACCAUUUUCACUUGAAUAAUAAUCAAAAACUAUUUUUUUUUUUUAACUCAUGCACCUAUUAAAACUUGAACUCAGGACCUAUUAGGAAAAUUGUUCUUUAUCACUUUUCAAUAACACUUUAAAUAUAAAUUUUACUUUCGUUAAUUAGGCUAGACUUCUUUGCUCUAAAAGAUAAAUAAAGAAAAAUAAUUACUAAUUAUCCGAAAUAUUAUCCUUUCACUAAGCCAAGUAAUGUGAAAUAAACAACCACUAUGUGAAUUAUUAAAAAAUGACAUUUUACUGUAUUAACUUUUUCGAAAUAAUAGUUUACUACAUUUCUUUCAUUAUCAUUAGUCUAAUGAUAAUGUCAUAUUGACGUCAUAUGAGCAAAAUCUUAUUUUCAUCAAAUGAAAUCUAAAUUUGUAAUCAAGUCAAAGGGUUAUUAUCCAUUGACUAUAGCCAGUAUUGCAAAAUAACAAAGCACUAUAUGAAUUACUUAAAGGUAACGCUUCAUUACAUUAAUAUUUUAAAAAUAAUAAUUUACUACAUUUCCGUCAAUUUAUAAUUGAUCAUAAAUUUAUCAACUACAGGGGCAAAAUUUAUACUUUAUAGUUAACUAAUGGGUCAACUAAUGGAAGUGACGGAAAUAUAAUAAAAUUUUAUUUUUUAAAAUAUUAAUAUAACAAAAUAUUAAUUUUUAGUAAUUUAUGUCGUAGUUUAUUAUUUCACAACAUUUGAGAUAAGGAAAAAAGAUAAUAACCCUUACAUAGUAAUAAUAAGGUUAUGGCUAUAUUGGAGCGAAUCUACAGUAGAGCACGAAUCUCACCCACACACGCAAAGUAAUAAAUAAUAAAAGAACUCAUUAUAACUUUAAUUGUAUAAUUAUUUAAAAUGGAUGCUCUACUUCAAGCAACUCCAACAUACCCAAACCCUAAUAAUAACAAUAAUAAUAAAAAAGGGUCCUGGGUAUCAGAUGAAUUACAAAAGAGUGAAGAUGCAUGAACCCAUAAACCGGAUGACAUGGGAUGGACAUGGCAUGGGAAACAAAUCUCAAAAGGGAAUCAAAUGAAAAUUGCCCUCUCUGUCUGGUGGCACCACACAUGAUUUCACAAUUCACACACAAGAAAUGAAAAUAAAUAAAUAAAAAAGGCUCCAUUUGUAAUAUGCUUACCUCAGCUGUAUCUUUUGAGAAGAUUUUGUUGGGUCCGGGUCCCCCACAAACAACCUUUUGCUUUCAUACCAAAAAAAAAUAAAAAUGAAUAAAUAAAACAUUUUUCAACAACCGUUCCUUGCAAUAUAAAUGAAACCCACCCCCUCCCAUUCUUCUCUCCUUAAAAUCCCCAUAUGGAUUUGAUUUUCUUAUUUUAUUCUUCUUCUUUCUAUUUGUACUGUAAUUAAAUAUAUAUAUAUUAUAUUCAGCAUUGCUUGCUCUGUAAUUCAAAGCCCAAUCAACUAAGAAAAUUUGCAAGAUUUGGGAUCAAAUCUGGUCGGAUUUUUGCUCUUCCUUCUUUUUUUUUUUUUCCCAUUACAAAACCAGCAACCACCUCUUCAUUUCUCAAACAAACACAAAACCCAAAUACAUUGAUUGAUUCAUAUUCAUCAAAUUGGCAUGGCGGCAGCAGCUGUAGCAGAGUCGCAGUUUCAUGUUUUAGCAGUUGAUGAUAGCAUUAUCGACAGGAAGCUUAUUGAGAGACUCCUCAAGACCUCUUCAUAUCAAGGUACUUAUUAUUUAUUAUGUUCGUUCUACUUUCAUUUUCAUAAAAUAUAAAUCUCAAAUCAUAGUAAUUAUUCACUUAUUGGGCAUUUAUAUAUGUAUAUAAUAUUUUUUUCCCCUCUUUGGUUACAUGGGCAGUUACUACAGUUGAUUCUGGUAGUAAAGCUCUAGAAUUUCUGGGAUUACAUGACGAUGAUGGCCAAAGCAGCCACUCUGUUUAUCCAAACAUGCAUCAGGAGGUGGGAGUAAAUCUUGUGAUCACAGACUACUGUAUGCCGGGAAUGACUGGCUAUGAUUUGCUCAAGAAAAUCAAGGUGUGCUUUAAUUAUUUUUUUCAUUUUUAAUUUAAAUUUAAUUUCAUGAUUUUACAUUUUACAAACUAUGAGUGAUGUAAAGCUGAAUUCCAACUGUGGGAAAGUCAUCAGGCACUUACAAUACCUUAUCGCGAAUUUAUUCUCUUUUUUUAUAUUUUAUUUUCCCGAUUUGUACUUUUUAUUUUUAAUAUAUUAUUCCAAAUUACUAUAUUAGUUGGAAAUAUUUUGACAUCAUUUUGUCAUUCAACCAAAUCUUGUUAAAGAUAUUCAAAGAUUUUGCUUGAUUUCACGUGGGCCCUAUUCAGAUUUGUAUUUUUUUCCCUGACGUAGACAUCCGUAAUUUCUUGAAAAGUUUUGUUCUACGGUGAAUUUACCAGAUCUGAGAGAUUUAUUGUUUUUUUUUUUUUUUAAUUUUGAUUUUCCAGGAAUCUUCAUCUCUAAGGGACAUACCAGUGGUGAUAAUGUCAUCUGAGAAUGUUCCUUCAAGAAUCAGCAGGUAAAAAUACACAAAAAUUGAACCCAAGUUUUUGUGUCUGUGUUUUGGUUUUCAAUAUGCAAAUUGAUGUAUGAGAUUGAUUAUUGAUUAUAUACAUAAUUUGUAAAAUAACAGAUGUCUAGAAGAGGGUGCAGAAGAAUUCUUUUUGAAGCCAGUCCGAUUGUCGGAUUUGAAUAAACUGAAACCUCAUUUGAUGAAAACCAAAAUUAAAGAUCAAAUUAAACAACAAUCGCAACGGCAACAAGAAGAAGAAUCAGAUGAAUCUGAUUUCCAAUCACCAUCACCACCACAGCAACAACCACAAGAGUCGCAACAAUCGCAGCAACAGCAACAGCAGCAACAAUCAAACAAUAACAAGAGAAAAGCCCUGGAAGAGGGGCUUUCACCUGAAAGAACAAGACCUAGAUACAAUGGUAUUGCCACUGUUGUCUAACCAAUCAUGGAGAAUUUAAAAGUUUUUGUUUCUCUUUUUUUUUAUAAUAUUUGAUGCUUGCUUAAAUCAAGCUGAAUAGAAAUGUGGAGAUAGAAUUUUGCUUCUUGUAUACAUUUAACAUGAAAAUAUGCAUAUUCUAAUUUUGUUUUCUUGUUAGACAUUUUUCUAUUUCAAUUUUUUUAAUAGGCAGUAUAUCCAUUGUGAUGUGUAGAUCCAGUAAAAGAAUAACCAAAAUGCAGAAUUGAAUUGGGUUUCUUUUUUCUUUUUUUGUUGUUGGUUAAUUUGUUAUAAUUUUUAUGUCACAUUAAUUUGUGUAUAUUAAUUUGUAUAAAGUUAUAUGUGGUUUUAUCGUUUUUGAUAUUAGAAUGUGAGUCUAGUAGUGGUCCAUGAAACGUAGUUCAGAUUUGUCAAUAAAGAUUUAAUUAAGGGAUAUUUUGGUACUUUCAUUGAUAAAAAUAUUUAAAUAAAUAUUCGAAGUCUUGUAGAAAGAAGAAACUUGACCAGGCAUGAAAUAUGAAGUUAAAUGAGCAUUUCUUUGACUCGGUCAUUUACUCAUUUUACCCUGAAUGAAAGCGAGAGUUACUAUUAACAACAAGCAAUUCUUCUUGAAAAAUUUUGGUGGCGUUCUGAAUGUGUUGGAAGGAUAUGUUCAUUAUUUUUUUUUAAUGUUUAAAUAUGAGUGUUAAGUUUCUUAUUAUAAAAGUUAAAAUAACCUUAAAUAUUUUAUAUAAAAGCCUUAAAUAUGAUAUUUUAACGUUUAUAUCUUUAUAAAUAUUACUGUAUCUUAUUUUAUAAGUUAAAGACUUGGGAAGUAAAAUUAAAAUUAUUUUAUUAGUAAUUAUAACAUAUAUAUUGUAACUGAAAGAUAUUGUAAUAUUCAAAGAGAAAAUAUGUGUAUAUAUGAUAUAUAUAUAUAUAUAUAUAGAGAGAGAGAGAGAGAGAGAGAGAGAGAGAGAGAGAGAGAACUUUAAUUUCAUUCAAUUUCUGUUUAAUGAAUCACAAAUGAAUGUUUAUAACAGAAGACUCCUAUUUAUAAGAAAAUGUAAUUGAUUAUUUGAGUUGUAAAUUCUAAAAAUAUAAAAUUCAUAAGUCAAAACUUACGGAAUACAAAACUCAAAACUCAUGUAACUUAGAUUCAGUGAUGGAGAUAGCCAAAGAUAAUUAUAACAAGAAUAUGAUUAUAACAUAUCUACUUUUUGGCGAAUGCCACGCUAAUCACAACGAGCGAACAACGCCCAAGUGGAUGGAGAUGACUGUGUCUUCUAACUCGCUGCUAUUAACGACCGUAGGUUAUUAACGUUGACGGCUUUCAUCUUAUUUUUUGGUGAACUGAUUCCAAUUUUGUUGUUCUAACGCUAUCAAAUUUGUCUUCAACCGACUUGGAUUAUCGGUGACCUAUGGUGGCGGACGGCGGCGUUUGACUGCCUACGGUGAGAAUGUUCAUUUAUAAUAACAAAAUUAAAAUUAAUUAAUUAAUCAAUUAAUAAUAGUAUAAACAUUUAAAUACAACACAAUUCGAUGCAAUACCUAAUAUAUUACUGUUUUGAAUCUUCAUACAUUUUACUAUAAUCCAUUUCAAAUUUUCAAUUCAAAAGGAUUCAGUAAAAUACAGUGUGAGCGGCACCAAACACACCCUCCAUAAGUAGACAAGCUACAAGGGUUAAAGGAAUUUAGGGAUGGGCCAGGGAGAAUUUGGGCUUGGUAUCUUUCUAUUAGCCUUUAUUUUUCAUUUGCCAGAUAAAAAAAAUGUACGUUUGGUGGUGAUGAUGAUGAUGAUUAUUGUUAUUAGGAUAGGGUUAUUAGUAUUCUAAAUAUUAUUUUGAAUAUUUUAUUACUCUGUAUAUUCAUAUACUAAUUAAAAAAAAUUAAAUUUUACUUUCCACACUCCUUAAAAUUUCAAAAAUAUCCUUACUUAAAUUAUUUAAGUUAUUGAACUUUAAUUACUUUAAACACAAAUAAAACUAUUCAGCACACUAAUUUUAAGAGAUUUAGCAUAUACUUACAACAAUAUAACUAGUCAAAUUGUAAACAAAUUAUCUAACUGCUUAUUUAUGUUCAAUAUUGAAUUUCACACCCAAAAUAACUUGUAAUGAGAACAUAAUAAUAAAAAAAAUAUCCAUAAAUACCACAAAAAAAGAAAAAGAAAAAGAAGGAGAAGAAGACAAAGAGAUGAAUGAGAGGGGCAGAGCCAAAAAAAGAAAAAACUCUUUUUACAAUACUUUUUUUUUUAUUUUAUAGUAAAAAAAUCCAUAAAUACCACCAAAAAAAGAAAACGAAAAAGAAGGAGAAGAAGAAGAUAAAGAGAUGAAUGAGAGGGGCCAAAGCCAAAAAAAUAAAAACUCUUUUACAAUACUUUUGUUUCAUAUUAUUUUUUCAAAAAUAAAAAGUACCACACCAACUUUUUAAUUAAAAUUCUUCUCAAAACUGAUUUAUUCAUUGUUCAUUUAAAUAUUAAUGAAGAAGUUGAAAAUAUAAAAAUUUUGGAGUUUAAAAUAUGAGAAUUAUAAAUUCAAUAAAGAGUGUGCUACAUAAGUGUUUAAAAUAAUGAUAUACGAUCGACUUAUAAUAAAUUGUUGUUAAUAGUAAUUUGUAUGAUGAAUGUUUUUGUAAUGUAUAUUUAAAAAAAAAAUAGAGUGCUCAAAGUAAUAUUUAUAGUGUAAAUAGCCCCAUCCUUGUUAUUAUUAUAAUUAUUUGUUACUAUUAUUGUUGUUGUUGUUAUUGUUAUUAUUAUUAUUAUUAAAAUGUUAUAUUAUAAAAUAGAAGUAAUCAUCUUGAUUUUUCAGUUUUUCUUAAGGAAAGUGUAACACGCCAACAAUAUCUUGUUUUAUACUUUUCAUUUUUUUUAAUAUAAUAGAAAUAUCUUUUGAUUCUCUACCCAGAUAAAAAAGGACAAAAUAAAUUGUGUUAUAAAAUGCAAUUUAUGUACUGAUUGUGCAAUAACAUUUUGAAAAUAUUGUAACAAAUAUUUUAUGAUAAAUUUGAUCAAAAUUCAAAAUUUAAAGUAAAUCAUUAAAUAAAUAUUUUAAUAGUACAAAAAUAAAAAUUAUUAAGAAAAUAAUUAUUUGUAUAUUUAACACAUUAUAUUAAGUUAUUUUGUUGAUGCUUGUUUAUUUUAUUUAAAAAAAAUUAUCUACUAUAAUAAAAUAUAAUUUAAAAAAAUUGUACAACUAUACAUAAUGCAACUAUUAAAAAUUCAUGAAAAAGAAUAUAGUAAACGCAUAGUCAUUAUUUUUCUUCAAAAAAUUAUCUUACACGUUUUUUUUAUUUAUUAUUUUUAGAUAUUAAUUUCAAAUUACCGUACCGAAUACAUUUUAAAAUUCUACAUUCAAAGCGAAACUCAAAUAUAUCCUUUGACAAAAAAAAAGGCUCUAAAUUUCUAAGUAGAAUUUAUCCUUAUUUGAUGGCAUAAGAAAUUCUUUUAGCAUUUAAGCGAUUUCUUAUUGGAUAUCUACUAAUUGAUAUCGGUAAGCUGUUGUAAUUGGCUUAGAUCCCAGGGGUCUUCGUGCUUUUUUCCCAAUUAUUUAUUUAGGUAGCGUCUUUUUUUUUUUAAAGUCUGAAUUAGUUUCAAUUUGACUGAAGUCUAAAUAGGUCUAAGUAGCAUUUGUCUUAAUGACAUUUUUUUAAUUUUAAUAUAUGCAUAUAAAUGGUAUUUUAUUUAUUUUUAUAAAUAAAAAAUAUCUGAAAUAUGGUUAUUUCAUAUUUAUACCCUUGUAAGUGUAUAUAUAUACUUGUUAUAAAUUUUAUGAGUUAGAUACAUGCACAUUACAAUUAAAAUCAAGCAUAUGUAGACUUAGGUAGUAAUUGACCUUUAAAUAAAAAUAUUAUUACAUUACUCCAAAUGGAAAAUUUAAUCAAAUUUACUAUAAUGAUAAUUUUUUUUAAAAGAUAAGAAAAUAAAUUAGAUCCUUUAGAAAGUUGAUUAUGUUAGUUGAUCUCGUAUUUGUUGCAUGAAGAUUUGAUCCGUUGGUCCAAAGAAGUUGCUUGCAUUUGUCGAUUGAUUCAAAUUUGCACUGCUAUUUUCCAACUCAACUUUUUCGUUGUCAAACUCUAAAAAUAGUGCAUUAGUAAUAGAUAAUUUCCGAAAAAAAUUGUGUAUCGUAAUGCAUGUGAUAACAAUCUUUGAUGUGCAUCGUAAUGCAUGCGAUAACAAUCUUUGUGUGAGCAUCAAAUGGAUAUGGCAACUUCCCCUUUAAAAUUGGAAAGAGAGUUUUUGGAACACCAAAAGUACAUUUAAUAACAUUCCUUAAUUUGACAUGACUAUGGUUGAACAUCUCUUGUUUCCCUCUAGCCGGACCGCCAUUAUAAAAAUUAUUCAAGAAAUAACGUACAUGAUGAUAUGGUGCCAUAAAUCCCUUAGUAUGUGUAUAUGCUACAUCAACUAAAGAGCAUUUUUCUAGGUUCAAUAAUUACUAAAAGUCAAUUAUUAGAAAAAAAUGUUUGAUAAUUAUAUAAAAGAAAAAGAUUACCUAGUGGUGGCAUUGGAAAAUUAUGUCUUGAAUCACGGAUUGUUUCUGUCAAGACUCUUGAAUCAUGUGCUGCUCCUUCACAUCCAACAACAAUGUAUUUAAAUAUCAUGUCUAGGUCACAAAUUGCCACGACAUUUUGUGAACAUUCCCUUCUUCCACGACCUCUAUAUGGCACUUGCUUAUUUAUUGGAAUACGUGCAUGAAUGAGGGUUUCAUCUAUUGCACCAAUAGCACCCUACACAAGCAAAUAUUAUUAAUAUGAGAAAUAUAUUUAUCAUUGAAAAAGAUAAUUUACCUUAAAUAUUUCCAGUAGCAUGUGAUUAGUUAUGCUACUUAAAUCAUCAUAGAAUGAAGGAGGAGUAAUAAUUUCUUUCGAGAACUUCAUCAUGGCUACUAAGACCUCAUCAAGUAUUUGUGCAUUGUUUGAUGUUGAAAAAUGUCUCUUACAAGCCGAUUACGAAGAUUGUAACUAAUUAUCAUCAAGAUCAUUGCCAUUUUUUGUUCAACAAACACAUGUUUGUUAGGCUAUAGCUAUUUUUACCUUCAAGAAUUGACAUAAUAAAUAAACCCAUUCAUCUUCAUCCAUAUGAAUUCAUAACAUGUAGUAGAUGGUCCGUUUAAAAGCUCUUUAGUAAAAUUUGAACCUAUAAUUUUUUAAGCUAGCACUCUUUCAAUAUUUACCCACAUUAAUAAAUCAAGUAUCAAUAUAAUCAAUCAUUUCCAUAGCAAUUUCUUAACCUUGUAUUGUUUUACCAUCACUUCUUUCACUUAGAGUUUCCAUAGAAAUAUCUAAAAAAAGAAAAAAGAACCACAAAUAACAAUAUCUAAAUUUUUUGUACUACGUUGUCAUUUAACUAUUACAAGAACAUGACAAUUUAUAAAGAAAUAAUAAUAAGCUUGUGAAAAAGUAAAUAAAUAAAUAAAAUUAACAUAAUCAUUAAAUCACCAUAUAAUAUGUUUCAAAGAAAACAUAUUGUCAAAAUUCAACAAGCAUAAUAAAAAACUUUAGGUUCAAGAGAUGUCAAUUUAAAUAAAAGAGGUUCCCACCCUAUUUUGCUAAACUUUGAAUCCACCAUAUUCAUUUUUUGUCACUCUCCAUCUUCAUCUGCACCUCUAUGUAUUUCCUCUUGUUGCAUAAUGUGUUGAUUGCUAAAUAAUAAAGGGGAUCCUGAAUAGGUAAAAUCUUUUGUAAAAUUGUCAUAUAAUCUUUAAUUGAGGGUCCUUCAUCAUUAGUCUUCUCUAGCACCUCUACUAAGUUUUUUACUUCUUCACGAGUUUCAUCAAUUUUCCUUUCCUUUUGUCUUUGCUUAAAAUGGUUGAUCUUAGAUGUAAUCUAAUGCAGGUGUUAUAGGUCCAUUAUCAUCAUCCUCUACUUUGAUUGGAGUUUCAUUAUGCACAAGUGUUUCCAUUAUCGAUGACAAAAUUUUCACUUCUGGUACGUCAUUCAUACUGAAACUCCAUGUCUUAGACCUAAUAUCUAAAACUCUUAAGAAUGAAGUCUUUAAUUCAUCAGCAUUAGCUAAAAGCUUAUAUGAAACUAUUUAGCAUCCGGAAAUUUUUGUUUAACGAGGAAAAAACAAUUAACACCUAUAUAUUAUAACAUCUUAUUACAAAUUCAUUCUAAUAAGUAAAAUAAUUAAUAUGUUACUUUUAUGUAUUCUUCUCAUCUUUCAUGUAGUCAGUCAAAUGUUUGGGUCAUGAGAUUGUAGCCAUGUCCUGCUAGUGUUGUCAUCUUGAUCUAUGUUCAAAUUUUUUCCCCAUAUAAUCCCAAUCAUUUUUAAUUUUCUUUUUUCUUUUGUUUUAGCCUUCUACUAGGUUUGUUAAAUAUUUCUUUUCCAAUUCGAGCCCAAGCACUUGGCUCUAAAUUUCCUCUAGAUCUAAAUUCGUUUUUCAUCUCAAUGAGACAAAGAUAACUUAAUUGCUUUCUUUUGACAAGAUCACUCCAAUUUGCUCUACAAACUCUAACAUUUUCAGUCAUCUAUGAUCAAGUCAAAUCAUAUACAUGUUAUAAUUAGCACUGAAAAUAAAAAUCAAUUAUAUGUAGACAGUCUUGUCCUCUAUUUCUUGAAACUAAAAACAAAUGUUCACAAUAAGAUUGAUAUCCACGAUAACAAUCACCUAACAUUUCAAAUUUCUUAAAUCUAAAAGUAGCAGAAUAUGCUAAAUCAAAUCAAACAAUACUCAAGCAUAGUAUAUAUACGCAACCGCAACACACAAGUCAAUUAAGUUAUACACAUCUUGCACUUCUUUAUCAUUAACAUUAAAUUACAAAAAUAAUUUUGUACUCAAGAAUUCAUUGCUUGAUACAUAAAACCACAAUAGAAAAAUAUAUGUAGUUUUAUCUUUAUUUAUCAGCCAACCUUUCUGCAUCCAAAUAAAAUUAUGUCAAGUAUGAGAUAAAAUAUAUAAAAGAAUAUUUAUAAAAUAUGUAAUAUAUAUAUAUAUGGAAAUUUGUAAUAUAUAUAUGUGUGUGCAUGUGUGUGUUAAAAAUGCUUGAAGAAUAAAGAAUGAAGAUUCUUUAUUCUAUUGCUAUGCUUAAGAAUGAAGAUUCAACAAUUGCUAUGCUUGAAGAAAAAAAACUAUUCUAGUGUUAAAAGAAUAAAAAAGAAAGUAUAUGGAAAAUAUGUAUAUAUUAAUAGAGAUAUUUUUAAAAUAUAAUAUUUAUUUCUUAUUCAGACAUUUUCCAUUUGGUUAAAAGUCACAAAAUUUUAUUUUUAUAUUCAGAUGUAAAUAUUUAAGAAUCAGACAUAAAUUACAAAAAACAAAUAAAUAAAUUGGAAAAACACUUCAAAUUAACAAAUUUUCAUACUUAUAAACGAAUGUAAUUUUCGUAAUUUGGAAUUUAUAUUAUUAUUUAGAAAGUAUCAAUUACAUUUGAUAUUUUUUUUCUUUAUAAUAACAAUGUAAAAAUAUAUCAGAAUCUGAUGUUUGUGGGAAUCUAUAUAUAUAUAUAUAUAUAUAUAUAUUAAGAAGAAAACAGAAAGUCCGUAUAGACAAGCUCAAAAAUUUACUUUUAUUUAAUAAUAUAAUGGAGUUAUAUACCCUUUUUUCUAUUUCUGUGUAAAAAUGGAAAAGAAUACCCACGCUACUCGAAUAAGCACUUUCAACAUUGUUAAAGGCAUUAGCUUAAUGGCCAAAAGCCAUGUUCAACCAUAUCGAUGCCAUCAACUCAGUUGUGGGAUUGUGAGAAUAAAGUUCAAAAAAAAAAAAAAAAAAAAAAAGGCUACAUUAGAUUUGACGGUAAAGAAUGGGUACAGUAGGCUUGGGGUGAUAAAUCCGAAUUUUUUAUAUUCUUUGACAUUUGUUUUGGGAUUGUGGGCAUUGGCAUCGUUGACCAACGUUUGACCCCGAAUCGAAUAAAACGAUCGGAUGGUAAAGAUAUCCCUAUCAAUGACCGGAUGGGUCCCACGUCAGCCUAACUCCACGUGUCACAUUUUCAUAAAACGACACUAUUUGAUCUAGUAAAAGAAAGCAAAGCAUUAAGCAAUAACAACAAUUUGAUCACAACUCAAAAGCAUUUCUUCCACUAUAUCCAUAUAUAAAUAUAUAAACCAGACCAAAGUUCGGUUUCUCUCUCAUCACGAGUCUCAGGGUUUCGCGCAGAUUUAGCACGAACUCGAAUUUUAGGUAACAUUAAAAUUAAUUUUCAAUUUUAUAUUUCCUUAUUUAAAAAAAAUAAAGAUUUCUUCUUUUUAUCUUUUUUUCUUCAAUUUGGCUCUUAUUGAUUUAAUUUAAUAACAUAUAUGAAUAUUUUUAGGGUUUCUUUUAUGGUAACUUGUUGUGAUCACGGCGUUUUGUUGAUCAUCUAUUAUAACUGAAUCACUCAACUAAAGAAGUAUUUAAAUGACUCGGCUGAUUGGGUGAUUUGAAUUUUUAUAAUUUCAUUUCCUUUUUUGGGGUUUUGGUUUAUCACUGAAGCCAGUUUAGUCUGUCAAGAAUAUAUUUGUUUCAUUGAAUUUCCCUCUGCAGUUGCAGUUUCGCAUGUAAAGUAUUGCAUUUGUUUUGAGCCUCAACAUGUCGACUGGACCAGCGAGGAGGGUCUCACGUCAAGAUAUACAACUUGUAAGAUGAAUUUUACUGCCGGAGUAUCAAAUAUCUAUCGACUUAUAUGAAUCAAAAUUUCGUGCCAUCUUUUAGCAAAUUAAGAAUAUUGAAUUCUGUUGGCUUUAAACUUUAAAUAAAAGGAGUUAAUUUAGCAACCGCUUCCAACUAUAUAUAACAGUUUUAGUUCCAUCAAGAGUUGAAGAUCCUUGCUCUAGUUUCUUCCUGUUAUAUCAACAGCAAAAUUAUGAGAAUGGUCCUGUACUGGAUCUUUGGUUGGUUCAGUUCCGGGUAGAAAUUGGAGCAUAUCUUAUAACAAUUAAACCAAAAGUUUUCCUAGGUUUCCCUCUUCUUUGAAAUACUCUUUUGCUUUUGACUUGGACUCACAAUUCAAAGCUGAGUACAGUUUCUUUUCACACACUGUUUCGCAUAUGGUGAGAUUGCAGCAUGUCGUUUAUUGGUAAUUGCGCUCUUGAACUGUGUUGUUCUCUUGGAAGCUUUUCUUUUUCAAUUACUGGAAAUUUGAAAUUAGAAAAGCAGUUUAGUUUAAAAUGUAGGAGAUUGAAACCCAGAUACGUGAGGCUGGUCUUAGAUCAUAGACAUUAGAAGCUGAAUGGUCAUAGUUAACAAACAUUUGGUAGAAUAAAUCUUAAGUUAUGCCUCUCUUAAGGCUUUUCUUGUCGUAUUAAAAGAAGUUGGUGGCCUGAUUUUCAUAAUGUUUUUAAAUUGUGGUUUGCUGAUAUGUGAUUUCAGGUGCAAAAUCUUAUAGAACGAUGUCUUCAAUUGUAUAUGAACCAGAAGGAAGUUGUGGAAACUCUACUGGCUCAGGCAAAAAUAGAGCCUGGUUUUACAGAACUUGGUAAUUGAUCAAUUCUAUCUGAUCUUGGAUCUGACCUCCAUUUUGAUGUGAUUUAAAAUUAAUGCUAUGAUAUAUUAACAUAGUUAUCAGCUUUAAUGUAUGGGUUCAGCCCUGAACUUGUUUAAAAUUUGUUUCUGUUUUGGUUGUUGCUGAUCUGAUGAACUAACGUGAAUGAAACAUUAGCUUUUCAUAAUCUGUUGAUGGUUGGAUUUAGUAUUGAUGUUGAAGAUACCGCUGUACCAAUGUUUUCCUUAUUAUUUCUCAUUGCAUUGGGUGAUUAGCUUGUGUGGACAUUUGGUUUUUGGUUUUAACAUUUUUUGUCUUUAGGUAGCAUGCCAUUGCAAUCACUUUUCGUUGUAAUGAAGAGGGUUCUGUUACUAGGAAAAGCUCAGAAGGAAGUUACUUAAUUCUCUAGUCAUAGAAUGUCACCUGUUGCUUAAAACAUACAAAUCUCUCAAGUUUGCUUUCAUUUGCAGUUGGAUGAUCUUUUAAGUUACUGUCGAGCCAGAAGCAAGAAAUGGCUUAAAGUAUCUUAGGGUGUUAGUUGAAACCUGAAAGUAUUUGUUACGGCAUUGAGGGAGUUCUUGCAUGAUUGCAUCCUUAUUCUGUGGAUGCUGCAAACAUGGACAUCCUGCAUCAUCAGUUAAUAAGUUAGAUCAAAGCUGUGAAGCCACUGGGUUCAGUGCUUUUUGCAAUGGAUUUGUACAUAUAAUUUGUGAUGCUGAGGCUGAUUUCAUUUUUGUGCUGCAGUUAAAAAAGUUGUGUCUAAAUUUUGUGUUUAUCGGAUGUUUUAUAUUUCUUCUUCUUUUCACAUGUUUGAAUUUUUUUUUAUUACUUUCCAGUUUGGCAAAAACUCGAAGAAGAGAAUCAAGACUUCUUCAAGGCAUAUUAUUUGAGAUUGAUGUUGAAGCACCAAAUUGUUGAAUUUAAUGAACUGCUUGAGCAACAAGUGCAGUUGAUGCGUCAAAUUCAUCCAACCAGUGUCUCUUCCAUACCUACUUCUAAUGGUUCUCAUAUCCCACCAUGUAAGACUGCUUUCACCUAGCUGCACAUGUUUAUUGUUUCUGAUUCAUGAUGGGCUUGCUUCAUAGCAGGAACAUUGUUUAUUUGUUUAUUUGUUUAUCUUGUUUGUUUGUGCUUUUAUCUGUGGUUAUAGGCCAGCAUGGCCUCAUGGCAUUUUAGAUUCAUUUGUUUUUUUGGGUCAUGUUCAUGGACUUUGAAGGUAACUUUUGUCAUAUUUUCUUCUCAAUAGUGUCCUUAUAGUAAACCUCAUUUUUUUAUUAAGUGUUCCCCAAAGGAAAAAAACUAAAAAAAUCAUUUUAUAAAAAUAAGUAAAAUAAAAUAAAAAGCAGAAGAAGAGCAAAAGCAGAAAUGAUCACAUGACAUUAUUUUAGUUCCUAUCUCUCAGGUUUAGCUACAGUUAUGUUACUUUCUAUGCUUCCCAUAAAUCUGAGGUACUUCUCUUUUUAGAGAAAUUAGAAGUUUAUUUCUUGCCUUGCAAGGAUUAACAACAGUUGGUUUUACGUGCUAUUUUUUUUUUCCAUGAAUCGUCAAUAGUCUUCUUCCAUAGAAAUUAGAAGUUUGAGUACAAGUUAAUAGAUCCACUAAGAAAACAAAAAGGUCAUCGGUCUCAUACAGCCAUAGGUCUUCUUUUUUUUCCUUCUGUCGCGUAAACUAUUUCAUGGGUUCAAUUAUGUAGGAUUUACUUGAGGUUCUCUAAAAGCUACUUCUAUGGUUCAUUGUCUUCUCAUUUAAUUGAAAUUACGUCAUUCAUGUAAGCACUAAUUUAAACUGACAUUCUCGUUAUUAUCUUCAGCUGCAGUCAAUUAUUAUUAUUUUUUUUUCCAAAGGAGAAAUAUAGCCAGGGCCUUAGUGUUGUUUUUGUUAAAUAUAGCAAGGUCCAAAAAAUUUUAAAUAUUGACCAAUAUGUCCAUAAUUUUUCUAUAUUGACAUAAAAUUCCAUUCUAUUAAAUUCAGUCCAACAUGGUUAACAAAAUAUGAUAUGCACAUGACGAUUUCAGAGGAGUGCAAAAGAUGUUUUUCACUCUUUCAGAUUCAGUUAAUUUUAUUACCUUUUAUUAAAAUUAGAAGGAAUCUAAUCUACUUAUUUUCCUAUCCCCAGAAAAAAAAAAAAAUUCUAUUAUUUGAUGUAUAUACUUUUUCCCUUAAUAAACUGAUGAUUUCUUUCUUUGCAAAUUUUUUUUUUGGUAUUUUCUGUUUGGCACCUACCAUUUUUCUAUCAGAAACUGAAAGCUGUAUUGAAAAUGGUUAAUGGCUUGCCACUACUUAUGGUUGGUGUUCAUUUAUGUAAGAAUAUCAUGGAUGUUGAGUGAUGACAGCUGGGUUCCUUUCCUAAAAGAAGUGAACAAUGUGGAAAGAUUCUACCAGUUACUUUUGUUGUAAAAGAGGAGUUCCAUUAAUGGUAGAGAAGAUAAUUUUACAAGUAAACAAAUAAACAAAAUAGCAGCCUUGUCAUUUAUUUAUUUUUUGUUGAAUGGGUUGAUAAAGAUAUCGUGGUGCUUUUUCCUUUUUUGACUUGUUAGUGUUUUGAAACCUGAUUUUCACGGACAUCUACUUGAAACCUCACAGUGUGCUUUUACUAGAAAAGUAACCAAAUUGUUAAACUAUAUAAUGCAUUGGUUAUUGGACAUUGAGAUAGCUGCUCAAGAACAAAAAGUAAUAGUUGUGGGAGAAUACAAUAUUAGUUUAAAGUUCUUACCUCCAUGGAUGUCUCCUGAGCUUUUGCCAUUGAAUUAAAAUUAAUGUGUUUAAAUUUCCCAGUGAAUAGUGAGGGAACUUCUUGGAGUUUUCCUGGUAGUGCACAGAUUAUCUUGUGAUCAAAACUUUCUUAAAACCAUGUAUACCGUUCAGAACAUGUAAUGGCUUGUUAUUUCUUGUCAAAAUGGUAACUAAUAUUGGUUUUUUUUUUAACAGUGCCCUCAAAUUCAGCCUGCUAUCCCUCAGAGCAUACUGGACCCGCCUUAAAGCCAGAAAACAUGAACCAUGCAGUUGGUUCCGGUUUACCUAAUACAUUUACCAAUGGAGGAUCAUCAUUACACACAGGUUUGCAUCCUGCUGUUGAAAUGUCUGCUCCAAUGCGCAGAAUUGAUGCGCCGCCAAACAUGCUUUCAGCACAGAGCUCAAAUGUUGGCCUGAUUCAAGGGGUGAAUGGUGUAAUGAUCAAACAAGAAGGGGGAUAUUCUGGAAAUUCUGCUUACAUAUUUGGUGCUGAUGGGAAUGUCUUGGAAACACGUCCGUCAAUUGCAGAUGCAUCUGUUGCGUCUUUCAGCAGUGUUGAGUCCACUUCUCAAUCCCUAAAUGAACCUCUUCUAGAUGCAGACAGUUCUACAUUUGGAUUUUUAGGUCAGAUUCCUCGAAACUUCAGCCUCUCAGAUUUAACAGCUGACUUUUCUCAGAGUUCAGGUUUGUAUCUGUCUGCUACAUUUUUCUUAUAUAACUUGGUGCAACUCAAUUGUUGGUCUUGUGCUCAAGAAGGCGUGUGUUCUGGAGCAUUAUUUACAAAUUUAGGGAUGUUCUAAUAGGGGUGAAUUUCACUUAUAAUAUCUGCAGAUAUACUGGAGAGCUAUCCGAGGUCACCUUUCCUAGCAACAGACACUGAAAACUUCUUGGAUUCUCGUGAAAGAGAACACCAAGGUGAGUUGCCCCCUCUGCCCUAAAUCAUUUCCUCCCACCCCACUCUCCUCUUUUCCUUGGUGCAGGCUCACUUUCUCUUUCCCUCUUUCCCUAUUAUUUACAAUGUAAAUGUUUGCUACAUUAUAAAGAGGGUCCAUGACUUGAGGGCUUGGCUUUCUAGGAGAUAAUAAAAGAUUGGACACUAUAUCAGAAGGCUUAAGCUUUGAGGAUUUUGGCAGUGAGUAAUUCGUACAAAUUGGUAAGUCUGUUUUUUCUGCUCAACAUUUUACGUUAGUUUCUUUGGUUCUGUUGGUUAAGGUAUGGCAGUUCAUUGGCAUACAAUGAUUUGCUAGACUGUUUCAUAUUUUAGCUGGAUGUGGGUGGUAUACCUUAGUGUAUGACAUUUGCCAUGUGCUAUUGGUAUCUCUCUCUCUUUUUUUUUAGGUUCAUGUGAUGUAGAAUAAGAGAUAAUCUGAAUUUAGUUUUAUAGGGUCUUACAAUUAUCAUUAAAUUAAGUCAAUUGUUUAAGUAAUAUUUAAUUUUCCUUAAUUGGUUUUCUUAUUUCAGUAGGUUCUUUGUGCACUUGAAAUUAAAUUUCUUAUUAUUUUAAGUGGUGUUUUAUUUAGAGUUUGGUCACUAUAAAUAUGGCCUGCCUUGUUUCUCAUAUUGAGGCAGACUUUGAUGUAUUGAUGAUUGAAUGAAAUCAUGAUUGACACAGCAUGCCUUCUAAUAUUCAAGUUAGUCCAACUUUGCUUAGUUGUUUGAUGCUCCAGCUCUAGUGUGUGUUUAUGUAUAUAUAUUGGUGUGUAAUGGAUAUUUAAUGAACAAUGGCAGAUCUUCAUCUACUUUUUGUCAAAAAAGGUAAAAAUAAUAUUCUUUUGUGAAAUAUUGAAAUUAUUGAAAAGAAUAAUCUUCCUGCCUGUGAUUUUUCCUUUCAUUUUGUACCCAAAAAUAGAAGGGAAUGGAUUCCAAUACCCUUUUUUCAGGGAAAUAUUUCAAUACUGAUGUUGAUGCAAAUGAGGUUUCUUCAGAAAAUCAUCACUGCUAGCUCAUUAUUGAACUCACUUCCCUCUUGUAUUUUUUUCGCCGCAGGUUCAACUUUAACCCUUGGGUCGGAGGGUUUUGUAUAUAAACAUUUUACAACUGGAGAAGCUUCAGUCGAAACUUGAAUUUGUUGAUAACAUUUGGUGUGUAAAAGUUGUCUGACAUCAUUAUGUAGUGAGCAGAAUUGACAUAAGGAUUGUGGAGAAAUAGUAAGUAGUGAAUAAUUCACCUCACAGUAAUGUUUGGCUUGCAUUUUUGUUUUGUUUUUGCCUUUUCAAUACUAAUGUCUUUAGGUGACAAUAGGAAUUCCUUGUUAGUGAUCUCUCUUUUCAAGCUUGUGAUAAGAACAAAGAUUGGCACUUUGUUGGUGUUUAAAGUUUCUUGCAUUAUUUUUAUUGUUAUUAAUUGUGCUAUUAAUUGGUGGUAUGAUAGACUACAUAUCGAAGUGUGAAGAAAGUUGGUGCCAAUUUGGGGACUACAUCAAAGUGUCAAGAAAGUGAGAUCACAAUUUUUGACAUAAUUUUGUUAUACUUUUCUAGAAAAUUUGUAUUACCUACUGCAAUUCAAAUAUAAGUAAAUAAUUUUAAUAUAUGACAAAUAAAACUUAGAUACUAAAAUAUUAUGAUUGAUUUAAUAACUAAUCAUAUCAUAAUUAGUGUAAUUGGAUAGAAAAUCUAAACUGAACGUGGCAUUGUCAUAUAUUCGGUUGAUGGUGAUAAGAUUGUUAAAUUUGUUUAAUAAUAAUUUCAAUAAUGAGAGAACCAUAAUUUUAGUACAAAUUAAUGUGACAUAAAGAGAUUAGUUGAAUAAUGAUAAUAAUUAUUAUUUUUAGUUAUGUAGUUAUGAUAAUUUUAUACAAUUAAUCCCCUCAUAUUAUAUUAGGACCAAUUUGUGAAUACUAUAAUUUUUAAAAUAAUUGUUGUUAAUUGUGCUGUAGAAAUAAUUAGUUGUAAAGAGAAUCAGUUAAAUGUUUGGUAAAUUUUAUUUUCAAAAGUACUGUGAAUUUUGAAAGCAGUUAUGGACGUUUGAUAAAUUUUACUAUUAAAUUGUUGGGAGAAAACAAAUGACUAAAAUGUACAUAAUAUAGUUUAAAAUGUACUUAUAAAAAUAUGUACAUAUAAUAUUUUUAAUUGUGUAUUAUAUUAAUUUUUACUAAAAAUAAAAUUUAUAAUAUAUUGAUUUUUUUAAUCUUGAAACAAAUGAUAAUUAAAUUUAUAAUAUAGUGAAACAAAUUUAAUAACAAUGACCAACAAAUUGAUAUUAAUAAAUUCAUAUUGAUGAAUUAUAAUAAAAAUUUAUUAAAAUAUUGAUUUUGUUUUCAAUUUAAAUAAGGAUAAUUUUGGGUUUAGGUAAUAAUUUUAAGGAUAUUUAUGAAAUUGUAUUAAAGGAUAAAAUUAAUUCUCAAAAUUAGAAUUUAAAAGUUAUUUUUCCCUACUUUUCAAAAUCAGCUGUAGAAGGGGCUGAUUUUGACAAAAAUAAUUUUGAUUUUUUUUUAUCAAACACUAAAAUUAGUUUUUAGAUUUUCAAAAUCACUUUUAAAUAUCCCAAAAGCAAUCCCAAACAUGCCUCAGUUUGUACCAUAAUCAAAACCACAUUAAACGGAACUUAUAUAAAUGAAACAUAAGAAAUGUAAAUUUAACAUAAAACUUAUAAAUCAACAUUUGGUGUAAAACAAAACAUAAAUUAUAUAAAUAGAACAUAAGCCUUUUAAACAAAAGAUAAAAUAAGUAAAUUAACAUAGGAGUGGUAAAUUGGUAUAUGAUUGGUAAACAAACCAAAAUUUAUAGAUAUAUUAUCAAACUUGUAAAUCAACAUUAAGUGUAAAAAAAAUAAAUUAAAUAAAUAAAGUAUAAAACUUGUAAAUGGAAGAUAAAACAAGUAAAUCAACAUAAGAGUAGAAAAUUGAUGUAUUAUUGGUAAAUAAAAUAAAAACUUAUAGAUAUAAUAUAAAACUUGUAAACAACAUUAAGUGUAAAAUAAAACAUAAAUGAUGCAAAUAAAAAAUAAGACUUAUAAAUGAAAUAUAAAAUAAGUAAAUUAACAUAGGAGUAGUAAAUUGAUAUAUGAUUAGUAAAUAGAACAAAAAAUUAUCAAUAUAACAUAAAACUUAUAAAUCAAUAUUAAGUAUAAAAUAAAACAAAAAUUGAAUAAAUAAGAUAUAAAACUUAUAAAUAGAAUGUAAAAUAAGUAAAUUAACACAGGAGUGGUAAAAUAAUGUAUUAUUGGUAAACAAAACAUAAACUUACAGAUGUAACAUAAAACUUGUAAAUCAAUAAUAAGUAUAAAAUAAAACAUAAAUUAAGUAAAUAAAAUAUAAGACUUACAAAUAGAAGGUAAAAUAAGUAAAUUAACAUAAGAGUGGUAAAAUGAUAUAUUAUUUGUAGACAAAACAUAAAUUUACAGAUGUAACAAUAAAUCAUGUAAAUCAACAUUAAGUUUAAAAUAGAAUAUAAAUUAUGUAAAUGAAAUGUAAAACAAGUAAAUAUUAUAAGAGAUAUUGAACAAAAUAAAACCUUACAAAUAUAAAAUAAAAACUCAUUCUAACAAUGAUUACCUUAUAAAUUUACCAUUUUUAUUUCUAAAUUGAAUAAUGAUAAUUUUAGAUUUAUGUAAGACAUGUGAUGAUAUAUAUGAAAUUUUAUUAAGGAUAAAACUUAUUCUCAAAAUUAAAUUUUAGAAAACUUUUUUUUUAUAUUUUUCAAAUUUUUUUGUAAGAUAACUAAUUUUGUAUCCUUUUAAACCUUCUCAACAGCAGCUCUAAAUGAUCUUUUAGUAUAAGUAAGCAGUAAAAUUUGAAACUAGAUAAAAAAAUGUAUAAAACUAAAAAUCAUAUCCAAUUUUGUUGAUAUUUCAUAUAUGUCUAGUAAUACAAGAAUGCCUUUUUAUUUUGUUUUGAAUUGAUCCACAUUAAGAAAAAUAAAUUUAUUUUAUUAACAUGUAUAGUAAACAAAUACUAUGAUAAAAAAUGAAAAAAAAAGUUCAUAAAUGUCCUAACAUAAAUAUAGAACUUAUAGUUAACCAGUUUAAUCAAACUUAAUUUUUCCAACUAUUUUCAAUUGAUGAGAAAUUUUUUUCUUUGCUCAAAUAAAUUAAAUAAAUUAAAUAAAUAAAAUAUUUUUAAAUUAAAGUUUAAUGUUGAUUUACAAAUUUUAUAUUAUUUUUACAAAUGUUUGUUUUGUUUGUAAUUUUUAGACACUAAUUUACCACUCUUAUAUUAAUUUAUUUAUUUGACCUUUCAUUUAUUGAUCUUAUAUGUAAUUUACAAAAUGUAUGUUCAUCAUGGCAUUGAUGCCGUAAUUUUAAUUACUACAUCAUAGAAUUUUCCUUAUAGUUGUUUGUAUGUAUGGUAGUGCUUCUAUCAUUACUCUAAUAAUUAUGUCAAAUUUGACCAUUUUAACUAAUUAAUUAAUUUAUGUUGAAUUAAUGAGUCAUGAAAAAAGCCAGUUCUAGUGAAUGUCUAAUAUGCCAAUACACUGUCAUUUAAUGCAUUUCGUCAGAUGUUUAUUUAUUACAAAAUUCUAAAUUAUUUAUUAUAAAUACAAUAUUCACAUGCCCAAACGGUGAUAAAGAUAUUUCUAGUGCACCAAAAUUUUUUGGAGUUGACUUCUUUUAUUUGGUUUCUGUGAUAGAAAAAGAAGUCAAUAUAUAAGCAUUAAAAUAUAUAAAAAAAUUAAAAUUUUAAUAUAUUAGAGAUUAUAUUCUUAUUUCUAUUAAUAUACUGAAAUAUGUAUUUUUUUAUUUGUUAGUUACAUUCUUAGUUUGCUAGAAUGUGGUUAUUUUAUUAGAGAAUUAUUAUUAUUAUUAUUAUUAUUAUUAUUGUUGUUGUUGUUGUUGUUGUUGUUGUUGUUGUUGUUAUUGUUAUAUGGGCAAUUAUCAUUCGUCCACCGUAAGAUUAUAUCGUUAUCAAAAUUACUACAAAACUUUGACAGUGUAUCAGCCGUCCACCCUUAGAUGACAAAACAUAUCUCCCAACCACCAUUCCGUCAACUGCCGUUUACAACUUAAUAGAAUUGAAACAAAAUGACGAUAUUGCCCUUAAGCAUGAAAUUAAUGUUAAAAAGGCAAAAUUGGCCCAAAGAUCAAACAAUGCCAAAUGUAGCCGUUGGACUCAACAACGGAAACAAUUUUGGCUAUAUAAUGAGCCAAAAACAGCAGCACAAACCUCAUUGAAAGCAAGUAAAAAUUAGCAACUCCUCAACAACAACAAAUCAGCACACACCUCAUUGAAAGAACCCAAAUUAGCUACUCCUCAACAACAACAAAUCAGCACACACACCUCAUUGAAAGAAACAAAAAAAUUGCUACUCCUUAACAACAAUAAAUCAGCAGCACAUUUCCUUGAAAAUGGCCUCCAGUGAAGCAUCAAGUUCUGGUGUCAGUGGAUUUAAAAGAUAUAAAAAAGUGAAAUGUCAGCCAAAAUAUUGCAAGUGUGGCGUGCAAGCAGUGGCCAUGGUGUCAACUACAUUGCAAAAUCCUAAUGCACUAUUUUGGUCAUGCAGGUGGAAGCAUUGUGGAGUGAAGCACUGUGAUUUUUGGGAAUGGUUCACUACAAAAUCUCUCAUAUAUCCGACUACUAAUGAUGAGAUGGCAUACGAGCAAAACCUGAAGCUAAAUGAUGAUGUGGUGAAAAUAAAAAAAAAGGCUGAAACUCAUUGAAGGAAGGCUUAAAUAUAUCUUAAUUCUGCUAGUGUGUGUAUUUGUAACUGUCUUUAUGAGAAAGUAAUAUGGCUUGUAAUAAAGUUUCAACAGUAAUGGUUUAGCUCAUGUAAUGUUCCUAACAAAAUAUAUCCUUAACAAUAAUGUUGUCAAUAAUCAAUCGAAACAGUGAUAGUGUAAUUAAUUAACAUCCAAACCGUGCAAAUAACAUAUCUUCUUCAAAUUAUUGUUCAAAAAAAAUCCAAAACAUGGUUUAGCUCAUGUAAGAGCAUAGUUAAGUUUAGGAAACUGAAAUUGACAAAAUGAAAUAACAAAACCAACAUAAGAGUUUAGGAAUCUGAAAUUGACAAAAUGAAAUAACAUAACCAACAUAAGUGUUUAAGAAACUGAAAUUGAUGACAUGUUUCCCAACAAAUUGAGUAUCAAACUCAUUUUAAAGCACCUGUUACAGUUGACGACUGUGAUGGAUUCUGGAAUUGGUUAGCUUGGGAUGUGUUGACAUCUGUUUUCCUUUUCCUUCCUAAAUUACAAAAGAAAAAAUUAAUCAAACUCUUAUGUAUGCAUUAUGAACUGUGAAUUAUAUAUUAAAACAAAUUAAUGAAACUCAACCUUUUUUUCUGGUUGUUCCAGCAACUGCAGUAGUACUUUUAUUUUUUCUUUUCUUUGAUCCAAUAUUGGAGCCCUCGCCUGGACCACUUACUUGUACUGUCUGCUGAGAUGGCUGGCCUGAAAGAGUUGCUGGCUGGCCUGAAAGAGUUGCUGGUUGAUGUUAACAAACCAUGGACAACCAGGCUCUUUACAAGUUGCAUAAUAUCUCCUCAGUUCACUGUAUUUGAUGUUAAUAUUGAACCCUUUCCUAACCAUCACCUCAUGCAGCACUUCUCUGAAAUGACCUACAUCCCUGAACACAUCACCCACCCUAAGCCUAUGUACUCCAUCAGCAUCUAACUUAUACUCAUGCUUUUCUAAAUAAUUUCUAAACUGCACACUGCCUAAAUUCAUGUCCUCAUCUGAAGAAUUAACAACCAUUUGGAACUCCCUAGUAUCAUCAUCCAAAAAAAUAUCUGCAUCGCUAUCACUGUCAUGUUGGUUUCCCUCACUGCCAUCACUGUCAUCACUGUCCUCUACAGGCGCGGUAUCAUCAACAGACACAGUAGGUGGUGGUUGCUCACCAUCACCCUCUUCACCAUCAUCAUCAUCAUUACUGCCAACCCCUUUGUCUGACCAUUCUGAUAGCAAAUCAUCUUCAACAUGCACAGUAGGUUCCUCACCAUCACCCUCAUCAUCAUCACCACUGUCUAAUCUCUUGCUUGACCAAUUUGAUAACAAGUCAUCUUCAUCUUUAGUUGGAUGCCUAACUUUGGAAGUACUCUGAUGCUCUACUCUAUUAAACUGAUCAUUCAAUGUAGUUAUAGCUUCUGAAGGCAGAUGUAUCCCUAAGUUAAACAUCAACGAUUGCAGUAAUGGAGAAUCUGGAUAUUGAGGGUAUAACACUGGCACCACUUCAACUUCAAAUGUGUUUAAACCCAUUGAGUUAUGAAUCCCGAAUAAUCUGUUUAACCCAAAAUCGGAAUCCACCACAACCUUCGCUUUGUUAUCUGGAUUCAUAACAGUUAACAAGAUUUGUCCAGCUUCGUUUAACCCAUGUACUCCUGUUAUCUUUAAUGCUUCAACCCUUAUUUUAUCAAUAGAACAACUUUCAGGGUAAAUCAAACCUACACAACAUUUUUCUCCUUUGAAAUGAAUCACUAACUCCAUUGGAGACAUAUGCUGUCAUAUCAAAUGCAACAAAGAAUAACCUAAUUAAAUCCAAACUCAAGCUUUUUCAAAAACAAAAAUAAGAAAUUAACGAGAUUCUACAGCAAAAAGGACUUCAAUUAACAUACAAAACUUUCCUCACCAUUUCGUUAGUUUCUACAGUCUAGGGUUUCUAACAUUAGUUAAAAAAUGACAAAUUCAAAUAAUUUCUUACAAGUUCUUACAUCUAUUGAUUAAAUAAUAGAUGCAUUGCAAGAAACAAGUAUCAUAUAUGAACAUACCUAACAACCCGAUCCUUCACUUGUUGUCUUCAAGCCUUAUCAGCUUACGCUUUGAUUCAAACUCCAAUUCAACCUCCACAAAUGUCAGCUACACUUGUUUGAUGGUUAAAUAUUGAACGUAUUUGGUGAAAAGGGAACAAAAAUAAGUAGGAAUGACUGGUAUGCGUGCAAGCUAUCUCUCGAUGAAGGAACAAAUUGGGUGCGUGGCUGCAAUAAAGCUUUUUGAUGCGCCAAUGUGAAAUGUCGUCGUUCUUUUUUUCCCCCUAAAAUGACGUCGUUUUGCAUGGAUAAAACGACGUGUCAUCCCGUAAAACGACGUGUCGUCCAACAAAACAUUCAGUCGUCUGGUAAAUGGCUGACAUGUCAUAUUUUCCCAUAGCUACUUCUAUCUUAAAAGACCAUAUUAUCCUUAUGACGUCAGCGGUUGUAAACGGCAGUUGAUGGAAUGGUAGUUGGGAGAUAUGUUUUGUCAUCUAAGGGUGGACGGCUGAUACACUGUCAAAGUUUUGUAGUAAUUUUGAUAACGAUGUAAUCUUAGGGUGGACGAAUGAUAAUUUCCCUUGUUAUAUAUAUAAUUAUUUUCAAGUAUAGACACUUUUUUAUUUUUUUAAUGUAGUCAUACUGUUAAAACGUGUGGUUUAAUUACAUGUCUGCAUUGAUUUUAUUAAACCACAUGACUUAACAAUAUGUUCGCAUGAAAAACAAAUGAGAACGUCGCACUUAAGAAUGAUCAUACAUACAUACAUAUAUUUUUAUGUAUGUAUGUAUAUAUGUAUAUAUGUAUGUAUGUACAGAGUUUCUCGGAUGCAGGCGCCCUUAUUAGCUUCAGAAUAUGGAUUUCAAUUUAUGUUUGUUUGAUUAUUGCAAGCAUUUCAGAGGCUACCAAUAUGGGUUUUAAUUAGUUUUCUUUUAGAGAGAGAAAAAGAAAAAUCACGUGAUAUUACUUCAUUUUCCUUCUCUUUCAUUGGAUCUAAAACAUCAAAACAAAAAAUUUUAACAAAUGGAGCUAUAACCUCCAUAGAUUUGAAACAAAGCUCUCCAAAGAAGCCAAAUCAAGUCACUGUAAAAAUGCCAAAACGAAGAACUCCGAUGAAGAAAUCAACCACUACUCUAGCAAAGCUACCAACCACAUUGCUUCUUCUCGUAAGUAUUCACAUUCCAGUCUUUUAAAUUUUUUUUUUUUGCGUGUUUGAGCAAAUGUAGUCACUACAUUAUUGUAUUUGGGUGAGUUGGUGCUCAAUUUGUUUUUUCUUGUUUGACUCGGUAUCGAGUUUAGUUGUUUGGUUGACUUGAUACUGAGUUGAGUCGUUUGGUUGACUCGUGAUAAGUUUUAGCUGCUUUGGUUAACUUGAUAUCAAGUUGUGUUGUGCUUGGUUAUUGUUGUAGACUCAGUACUGAGUUUGAUUUUUUGUUGCGAGUUGAGUUGUUUUUGGUAGACUCGGUACCAAGUUGAUUUCCUUUCUUCUUUCAAUUAUCUUUAAAUGAUAUGGGUGAUUAGUUGAUGGAUUCUGAGAAUAUGGGUGAUUAGUCAAGUGGUGGGGAAACUUUGCACACACUUAUACUGUGUUUACUUUCUGGAGUGGGAGUGAGGAGUGUGGAUUCUUCCCACUCGACUGUUUACUUCAACAAAUUGGCUCCGGAUUGGGAAUCCCACUCCGUGGGCCCCACCUAUUUUUGGAGUGGGGAGUGGGAGUGGGAAUCCACUCCCACCUCUCCCUUUUCUACCCUUUUUAAUUUAAUUUAAUUUAAUUUAACUUAAUUUAAUAUUUAAUAAAAUAAAUAAAUAAUAUUAUAUUUAUUUGAAUAAUAUUAUUAUAUUUAUUUUAAAAAUAAUAGUACUAUAUUUAUUUAAUAUUAAUAAUUAAUAAUAAUAAAUAGUUUAUUCUAAGAAAAUAUUAAUUUUGUACUAAAUAAUAUUAUAUUAUUAUUUUAUAUAAUAAUAAAUUUAAUAUAAUUAUAUUAAAUAAAAUAAAAUAAUGUUUCAUUUUAUAUUUACCCUUCUUUUUUGCCCUUUUUUUAUUAAAUUUACUAUAAUUAAAUUUAAUAAAUAUUUAAAUAAUAUUAUAUUUAUUUAAAUAAUAUUAUUAUAUUUAACUAAAUAAUAAUUUGGGUUGAUUCUAAGUCUAAAUUACUUAAAAAUAAUAUUAUUAUAUUAAUAGAGAAUUAAUAAUAUUACUAUAUACCAUCUUUAUUUGAAAAUAUAAUAUUAUUAUAUUUAUUUAAAAAUAUUAGUAUUAUAUUUAUUUAGUAUUAAUAAUUAAUACUAAUAAAUAGUUUAUUCUAAGAAAAUAUUAAUUUCAUACUAUGUUAAUAGUAAAAAAAUUUCAUUUAUAUUGCCCUUAUCAAUAAUUUUUAAUUUAUAUAAUUAAAAUUAAAAUUAAUAAAAAUUGUGAUGUUCAUAAUUAAGAAUAUUAAUAAUUAUUAUAAAUUUACAAAUAUAAUAAAAUAAAUGUUUAUUCAUUAAAUAUAUUUUUUAUUAACUUUGUAAUUAAAAACUAUAAUUCUUUAAAUAAGGAUAAAAUUGUAAUUUGAAACUAUUUACUCCCAAUCCAAGAAAAAGUAAACACAUAAAUUGAAUUCUGAUAUCCAUUCCAUGCUUCCAUUUCAGUGUAAGUAAACAACCUACUCCCACUCCCACUCCCACUCCACACUCCCAAUCCUAGGAUUCUCACUCCUCAGGAUUCCCACUCCAAUCCAAAAAGUAAACGCUACCCUAAUGUAGCUUUUGAAUGUAAGCCACAUAAAAGGCAAGAAUUUGAUAAUUUAGAAGAAGCUUUUGCUUUUUACAACAAGUAUGCCAAAGGGGCUGGUUUUAGCGUUAAAAUUCAUUCUAAUAGAAGAAGCAAGGACAAUAACAACAUACUAAGGAAGGAGUAUGUGUGCUUUAGAAAAGGAAAAAUCAUUACAAUCAAGUGCUCGUGUGGGUAGUGGGUUGAAAAGAUGUCGGCCUAUAGUACGUGAUGGUUGUGGUGCAAAACUUGUAGUGGUGAAGUCAAAAUUGGGUAAAUAUAUGGUUAGAAUAUUUGUUGAGAAACUUAAUUGAUACAACUUAAAAGUGAUUUCUAACUCCCAAGUAUAAGAUUGUCUUGUUAUAUUAUAGCUUAGUAAAUCCGAGGUCAAUCCACAGAGAAAAGAUUAAUUUGUUAAUUUCUUUUAAUUUUAUCUAAGAAAUAAAACUAGAAUUUUAAUAUAUGCUAUUUAGUUUAAAUGAAAAUAUCAAAAUAAAUUAGUUAGGGUUAUGGAUUCACUCUUAGUAGUAAAUAUAACUUAAUAAAUUCUUUUUGUUAUUUUUUAUUAAGAUUUAUUGUCCAAAAGAUUAAUUGUAUAAAUUAUCAUUAUUUUCCCAUUAAUUUUAUUAUGAAUUAAGUAUUUAUUGUGCCAAAAUUCAAUUUGUUUCCAAUAAGUCAAAAUACCAUUUUUCCAUACCUCAUAUUAAGAUAUUAAGAAUUUAUUGUGCCAAACUCCCUUAUUUGUCUACAAUAAAUCAAAAUUUCAAAAUAUAAAAUAUGCAUAAAAUUAAAUAAAAAUAGUUAAUUUAUAUAAUUAAAAAUAGAAUUUAAUUAAAUCAUAUUUAUUUCCUAAGAGUUUCACUUACCCUAACUAUUAUUAUUUAGCUAAGUAUAAUUGAAAUAAAAAUAAUUAUUAAAAUUAAAUUGCACAUAAUUAUAAAGGGAUCGAAACAAUUAAAAUUGAAAUAAAACUAAAUUUAUUUAUAAAAAUAAUUAUGCAAAAUAUUAAAACACAACUAAAAUUUAUUAAAAAUAAGAUUAUAGAAAAUUUGAGGAGACAAAUUAGAAGAAGCGAGAUGAUCAAAACAUAAAAAUGAGGCUUUAUUUAUAGAAAAAUACAUUCAUAAUCCAAUAUUUAGCAGUCCAUCAUAAGCUUUAUGCAUAUGCUCCACACAACCAUUAGAUGAAGAUUCAACAGCUGGUCAAACUUCAAAAGUCAACAUGACACGUGGCAUCAUGUGGAGUGUCUGAUUCGGUCAAAGAACGGUUGAGAUUUGACCGGCUAAUGAGUGGAUUGGGUCGACUCGAAUACAAAGGUUCGGAUCCUCCAACCAUUGCACGUGGCACAAUUGUGGCCAUUGAAUUAUGAAUGGUUGAGAUUUAGUCAAAAUUGAUAGCUAUCAUAUGCAUUCAUAUAUAUAUUGUAAGUCCAUUUUAUCAUCCAACAGUGCUCGGUCAAUAACAAAAGUCAAUUUUUUGUAAAAGCUCAAUGUCAAGCUAGUCUCGACUCAUCCUAAGGUUUUCGAACCUCCAGAAUCUAAAUUUGACAUUCCUUUAUCUGCUUGAGCCUUGAAUUAUGUGAAAUUAAUAUUUUACCUAAUAAACACACAAAAAUACACAAAAUUAAAUAUAGUUAAAACAUAAUUAAUAAUUCCUAAUAUAUUGCAUAUACACAAAUAAAAAUUCUAAUAUAGGCACAAAAUAACAUUUUUAUCCCUUGAUAAUUAAACAGUUUUUAAUACUAAUCAAUAAUCACUCAUUAACAACACCUCGAAGAAGACAUCUACUGAGGUCUCAUUGAUCUGUUUCAGAGGUAAAGAAAUGCUUGAGUCAAUAGUUUGCAUCAAUAAAUAUUCCAACUCACCAACAAACAAUCUUUCUAAAUUACAUGAUGGGGGCUUGCAAAACAUGGGUUGUAUGGAAAAAGAUAUUUAUAAUUAUGAAAGAGAUUGGCGGAAUGAAUUAAAAGAGCAUGUAGCGACUUUGUUAUAUGACCAUUUUCUAGCUGGGCAAGAAAAAAAUCCAUCGUUGUUUUUUCAAAAUUAAGUCUAGAUUUGAUAAUCGAAUAAUUGAUUGUUUCUAGGCUGAUGCGAUAAGUCGACGGGCAUAUAAGUUUUACAGAGAUGUGGUUGUGUUUGAUACCAUGUACAACAUGAAAUGUUAUUAUAUGAUUUUUUCAACAUUAGUUGGAGUGAAUAACCAUGGUCAAACUACUAUAUUUGGCAGUGCAUUUAUGAGUGAUGAGACUAUAGAGUAUUUAUUUGGCUAUUUGAGCAGUUUAAGGAAGCUAUGCCAGGUGAUGACCCAAAAAUGACCAUCACUGAUCAAGAUCUUGCAAUGACAAAAGCUAUUCAUUGAGCCUUGCCGAAUAUUUAUCAUAGUUUUAAUAGUUGGCACAUCAUAAACAAAUUUUCUAAAAAGCUAAAUAUAGUGGUGUAUCGAAAUCAUUAUAGGCACUUUUAGAGAUGCAUUUGGGAAUCAAAUACCACCGAAGAGUUUGAUACAAUGUUGUUGAGAAAGCAGAUUUGAUUGAAAAAUAUUUAGCUACAGAGAGUGUAUCAAAUCAAAUCAAAAUAGGUGCCUGCAAAUGUCAACCAUGUGUUUUUAGCUGGAAUAUCAAGUAGUCAACGUGCUGAGAGUAAUGCAUUCUCCAACAUGUAUGCUUAAAAAAAGAAUUCACUUAUUGACUUUAUUUCUCAGUUUAAUAGAGCACUUGUACGACAACAUCAUGAGGAGUUAAUACUUGACCAUAAAGACAUUAAUGAAAGGCCAUUGUUGAAAUUGUCACUAGAUAUAAAGAAGUAAAUGGUUGAAAUUUAUACACAUAAUAUUUUUUAUAAGUUUCAAUAUGAAUUAUGGCAUAGCUUAUCACAUCUAAUUGAGUUUGUGAGUGAAGAUGAAGAAAAUAUGACAUAUAAUGUUGUGACUGAAAAAAAAGAUGGUUGUAAGGUGCACAAAGUCAUUCAUGACAAAAACACAAAUUUUGUUUCAUGCAUUUUCAAGAAAUUUAAUAACGAAAGUAUCCCUUAUAAACACAUUCUUGCCUUAUUGAAGGAAUUACAAGUUACUUUGUUACAUGCUACCUAUAUUUUGAAGAGGUGGACUAAAGUAGCUAAUCUAGAGAAGGUUAUGGAUGAUGAUGGAGAAGAAAUAAAUGACUAUAAGGAUAAAUCAUUAUUCUUGCAGAGGACCAAGUUGUUUCAUUUUACUUCAGAGGUAAUUGAUCGAGUUUUUUCAAGUGAAGAAGUAAGUAAGAUCUAAUUGAGUUCACUAAUAGCUUGGAAGAUCUAUUGAAAAAGUUAAGUCAGUAAUGAAUAGUCAUAAUAGCUCUAUUGGACAACCACAAUUCAAUGAACCACUUGAAGUCAUGUUUAAAAGGUGUAGCAAACGACUUAAAGGGGGUAAAGAAAAGAUAAAGGAGAAGGCAAAAGAGAAAGGUAGGCGUUGCAAUGGAUGUUGACAAGUUGGCCAAUCCCAUGAUAAGAGAAACUGUCCAAUGCUCCUCAAUAGGUAAAUAUAUCUUUUAUUUGUUAUUACAAUUCUUUGUGACUUUGUGCAUUUUGUUAAUAAGUUAUUACUUUUAUAUGAUUUAGAUCUAUGAUGGAUAAGGAAGCAAAUUUGAAUUUGUCGAAUUCAGAUGAUGGUAGCUUCUCCUACUCUUCCAAAGGCAGUAUCUAUUUGUUAAAAGAUUUAUAUGAAUUUAACGUCUCUUGUUAGAAAUAGGAUUAACUAAUUCUUUUGUUUGACUAACUAUUAUAGGAUGAUGGAUCUUUAUAUAGUAGAUGUCUAAUUGAUAAAGGUUAUUGAUUUUUAAAGGAUAUCAAAUUCAUGUAAAAUUUUGUGUGCAUUGUUCCACAUUUUUGUUUGUUUCAUUCAUGUGUAAUUUUUUGCACGUUUUGUUUGUAUGGAUUAAGAUCAUCAUGACCAUUUGCAAACUCUGGAUCCAUUCACAAUCAAGUGUAAAGAACAUAAUCCCAAAAUCAAUGUACAAUUUUUUUUUUUAUAAGAAUAUACACUUAUUAACUACAAAAAAGUUCUCAUAUUUGCAAGAUCAAGAAGUACAAUUCUUGUAGGUCAAUGGUUUUAAACAGCACACUUGUUAACCUUAAGAUACACCCAAUGACAAAAGCAAUACCAAAUAUAUUUUGGUCUUUAAUAAUUUUUUUGGCACGUCUUUGUCCACUCUUUGAACAUUUAUCUCUGUUUGAAUUUUCGUUGAAUCCAUUAACUUUAUUCUGACAUUUAGCCUGCAACUGGUAAAUCCUAGGUUGUUGUCCCUUAAACACUAAUAACAUAGUAAAAGAAAAAAAAUUAGGUAACUUUACUGCAUAAAGUAUGAUAACAUUGUAGCAAAGUUUACAAAAAUUAAACAAGUUUAUAUCAAGAUUUUGUACCGAGUCAACCUAGCCACAAUGCAAUUUAGUAACGAGUCAAAAGAGAAAAAAUAACCUACGUACCAAAUCAAAAUACAACAAUGUAUUGGGUACCUUUGCUCAAACAAGCAAAAAAGAAGGAAAGAAAUUAAAUUUGAACAGUACGAAGGAGAUAGAAGAUGGCUAAUAGCUUUGUUGGAGCAAUGGCUGAUUUUCUUUAUCGGAGUUCUUCGUUUUGGCUUUAUAACAGUGAUUUGGUUUGUCUUCUUUGGAGAGCUUCGUUUUGGAUCUAUGGAAAAUUUAGCUCCAUUCGUUAAAACUUUUUGUUUUGAUGUUGGAGACCCAGUGAAAGAGAAGGAAAAUGAAGUAAUAUCAUGUGAUGUUGCUUUUUCUCUCAAAAAAAAUAAUUAAAAAUAUUGAAGAUGGGACCCGUAUUGGUAGCCUUUAGAAUGUUUACAACAGUUGGAUUUAUCCAACAUCCAUAAAUUAAAAUCUGCAUUUUAAAGUUGACGCAUGCACCCACGUAGGAGAAUCAUUAUAUAUAUAUAUAUAUAUAUAUAUAUAUAUAUAUAGUGAAUUUUAUGUGCACCAAACAAUUUGACGAACUCUUCGAUCAUUAAUAAUGUGUACUACAAUGCUAAAGGUAAACAUUUAGGAAAAUCUAAAAUGCUGAGAUUUAAUAAAAUAAAAUAUGAUUGCUUGUACUAUAUUGACUAACACAUCAAAGUAUACUAUUAAGAACGACGACAUAAUGUCUGUUAGCUUUUAAUUAAAGGAUCUGCCCACAUCCCCCAAUGGGAAACUAACACGUGUAGUCAUGUAUAACAAUAGUGUACGACUAUGUGUAUCAAAAUAGCCCUCUACCACUAAAACUUUGUAUUUAAAUUCCAUCUAAUAUAUUGGAGAUUUCAAUAUAUGCUAUCAUGUGAAUGGGUUUGCUUACUAUGCAUAUGGUAUGUACAUGUGAUAAGUGCAUAUUUUUCAUAUAUUUUGUUAUUAAUUUCUCCAUCUUUUUCUUGUUUUGAUCUGAAACAUUCUAGUUAUUUUAGUUAAUUUUUAAUUGAAUAGGGAAUUAAUUAAUAUACAUAUUUUACCCUUCAUUAUAUAUUUGCUAGUUAUAUUUAUUUAUCAACUCUAAAGAAAGAUUUAAAAUAAAAUAAUAGUAGUAAUAAUAGAAAUUAAUCUAACUAAAGAAAAUGCCAAUUAUAAAUAAAAAGGGGGUUUAUGAAUUUUUAACUAAAUAGUAAGAAAUAAAGAAAUUAAAACUACGAACAAGAAUUUAAUAAAAACUCUAAUUAAAGGAGAAAGAAAUAAUGAUGAUGAAAACUUUGGUUAAAGGAUCAUUCGCCACCACCAAACAUGCACAUAAUAUAUUAAUUCUAUCAUCAAUUUAUAUUGAAACUAUCAACCGUAGACAACAAUAAGCUCUGUUAGUCUCAAUCUUUCCUUAGUGUGUCGUUAGGCAAAACAAGCUCUUCACCUAAUCUCUAACCAUUAAAUAAUUUAAAACAAGCUCUUUAAAUAUAAGAUAAUGGAAGCAUUAAACAAAUAAAGAUAUUAGGUUGAUCUAGGCAAUAAACACACAAGCUCGGAUUAUUUAACCUAGGUUAUGUUCUCCAAUUGAAAUCACUGAUUCCAACCUGCUACUAAUGAUUAAAAUAUCAAGACAAUUACGGAUCAAGAAUUUUAAUCUAGCAAUAGAAUUUAUUCAAGUCCUAUCUAAUUGGCCACUCAAAUAAAACAAGAAUAAACCAUGAAUAUUAAUUAUAAAAGAACAUAAACAAUCUCAAUUAAAUAAAUUGAAUGAUAGAAUUUAAAUUUAAUUGCAUAGCAUGUUUAGGGUUUUGAAUUCACCCUCAACCAAAUAAAAAUUUAGCCUAACAUAAUUGAAUUGGGAAGAAGAGAAUUGACAAAACCAAUCAUGGAGAUUAAUUCAAGCGGCUGCUGAUUUUUCUCUUCUCCUUGCGCCUGUUGAUUUUUUUCUCUGCCCGAAUUGCGUCUGCACCACCCUCUCGCUCUCUGGCAGCUCUCCUUUUAUAAUGCUAGUUGACCGAAUUCUUCUCCAACAAGUCUAAAGAAAUCCUUUUUCAAUUCUAAUUGAAAUCCUUUUUCAAUUCUAAUUGAAAUCCUUUUCCAAUUUGAACUUUUAUUCCUUUUCAAUUUGAACUUCUUCAUGUCCUUUUUAUCCACAAUCUCCAAUUAAUUCCCUAUUCAAUAAAAUAAUACAAUUAAUUAAAAAGAAUAAAUAAAAAUAACUAGCAAAUAUAUAAUGAAGGGUAAAAUAUGUAUAUUAAUUAAUUCCCUAUUCAAUUAAAAAUUAACUAAAAUAACUAGAAUGUUUCAGAUCAAGACAAGAAAAAGAUGGAGAAAUUAAUAACAAAAUAUAUGAAAAAUAUGCACUUAUCAACAUGCUUCAUUUUGACAUGACAUGCAACCAACACAAUUGUUACAUAUGUGCAAUAAUAAUUGUAAAGUAACUGGUUGUUCUAGUUAAAAUCGCAACAUUUCUUAUUUAUAUGUUAGUGUUCAAGUUGUUAACCCUCUAUCAUAAGUUUUGUAUUUUGUCUUUUACUGUCUCAACUACUGCUUGUUAAUGUCCCAAGUAAUUUACUCCAUGUCACAAGUAUUGUAGUCGGUCUCUUGUUGUUUUAACUAGUGAAAAUUAAGUCACAAGUUUAUUAAGAAAUGUGCCCAAUAAUAUAACUAAUUUUCUCAAAUUUACAGCUGUAUAUAACUGAUAUAUAUAUAUAUAUAUAUAUUAAAACUGAAAUUAACAUAACUUAUGAACAUGAUUUUUUCAAAUAUACAGCUAAUUACAAACAACUAUGACAAUAUUACAAAGGCAAAUACGAUUAAAUUUAGUUUUCUAAUUACUAAAUUACUUAAUGAUAAAAUCCAACAAAUUUGUUUUCCUAUUUUGAAGUAAUAUAUUUCAAUAAAAAAAUUAGACUAAUAUAGUUCGAAUUCUAAAAAAUGUUUUGCAAGAGGCUUGAAGCAAGUAUUGUGAAACUUGAUGAAGAAAAUCAAAGUGGUUUUAAUGAAAAUGCUCUAAAGGUGGAAUAAAAAUGUUGAUUCUUGGUUAAUGUUAGGCAUGAUUAUUAUUUAUUGAUUUAAAUGGCUAUUGAACAGUUGAAUCUUAGUACAAUAUUUAUACAUUUUUAAUAUUUUUCAUUGAUUGGAUUCUUAAAAAAAAUAUUUUGCUAAUUUCAUUAGUAUACCCACGAAUUUAGAUUAGAAGAGGCUUGGUUCAGUGUAGUUUAUAUAGAUAAUAUUGCAUAAAUGAUAUAAAAUAUUUGAACAAUAAACUAAGCUCUAUCUAGAGACCGAGUAGUUUAUUGAUAAAGUGCAAAACAUCAAGUUUAUAGAUUAAAAGUCACUAAUGGAAGAGGUAAUGACACUAAAUGGACCCUUUAGUGGAGAAGAGACUAAAUAAUAUUAAGAGUGAAGAGACCAGUAGUUUAUUGAUAUGUUUUAAAGUGUAAGACCACCUUUUAUAGACUCAAAGUAAAAUGAUGAACCAAAGAUUUUAGGUUAGGGAAGGCUUGAUUCAAUCUAAUAAUAUAAGUAAUCCUAUAAAUUGAUUUAAUAUAGAAAAAAAGAUAUGGCAGUGGGAUUUAAACCAACAUCUCCAUACUCCGAAAACCCACAACAUGAAGGUGUCGCCACAAUACCAUAUUGAACAUAUUGUAUUACAAGCACGACUAGAAUUUUUAUAAUCCUAUUUUAUAAGGGUCUUGGGGUAUAGUGAAAAUGAAAAUUAAAGGCUCAAAAGGCGAAAUAGGGUCCACUCACCAAAGGAAAAUAACAUUUUGAGCCUUCGUAUUUGAAAAGAGGUAUUUAUGGAGGCUAUUUUAUGGAUUACUUUUGUUUACUUAUAUUUUGGACUUUGAUUGAAAAAGAAAAGCUAUCAAACAUCACAUUAUUGACACAAAGUUACUUUGUGCUCCCACGGGGUUGUAAAUUUAACAGUUGACACAAACAUAGUUGGUAAUAGUGAAAAUGGAUAAAAAAUUAUAAAAAAUUCACUAGUUUGCAAGACAGAUUGAUAUGUUUUAUGAUUUUGUAAUGUAGUUUUAGAUAUUUUCCAAUCAAUGAAGUGGGAUGUCACUUUAACAAGAUCAUUCAAUGGACAAGUGAUUUUCUAUUAUAAUAGAAUCCGUAUAAGUUUUAUUAGUUUAUUUGAGGCUCGUAGAAUUGCUAAUGGUAAUUAUAUGUGCAUGAAAAUAUGAUUCUGUCAGUGUGACAAAAGGUGCAUAUCAUAACUUUAGGUGAUUGGGUUACAUUAGAGUACCCGUUAUAUGAUAAAAAAAAUUUGACCACUGUCUACAUCAAUCAUUGAGAUAGCAAGCAUAAAAUAAUAUUGGCCAUAAUUUUCCACAAAAGUUCAAAAACAAAUUGUCAAGGAAAAGAAGAAAACCUUAAUGGGAAAUUAUCAUUUGGGUUAAUGCAGUUAAGUAUUGUAAAUGAACCUACUGUGAAUCAAUGACUAUAUGUAUCCAUGCAUCAUUGGACCAUAGCGAUGCAUGCCAAGAGUUAGCAUGUUCCUUUGAAGGUAGAGAGUUGAUUACAAAAGCAUUUAUUUAUUUUUCGACAAUACACACACACACACACACACACACACACACACACACACACACACACACACACACACACACACACACACACACACAUAUAUAUAUAUAUAUUAAUUAUAGAAAUAUGAUGAGAUUUUGCUUCAUCGAAUAGAUUGUUCAUGAGGUCUGGCAUCCAUUAGUGCAUUGAGAGUUCCUCUUUAUAAGAAGGUUUAAUUUGAGCAUAAUUUUUUAAAGUAAUACGUGAGUUAAAUUAUAUUAUAUUGCCCUUGCAAAUAUUGACAAUUACAUCAAUAAGAAAAAAGGUUAUCAAUUCUUCAUAUGAUAAUUAUUUUAUGACUUACAAAUUCCAAUCUAAUUGUUAACAAAAAAUUGCUUUCUCAAAUACCAUUUGAUAAGUACUAGAACAACAAAUAUAACACAACAUUUUGUACACCCAAGUAACUUUAUUAAUAUUAAACUUUGAUUCCACAAUCCAUCAAGAGUAGAUAAGGACAACAUAUAAGGUUUGUGUGAAGACUUGAAUUAUGUUUUUGGGACUAAAAUACAAUCAAGGAAAAGUCUUUGGGCCAUAGUGCAGAUCGACUUCAACUGAGGGGUCAUUUUAUAAAUAUCUUGCUGACGUGGCUAAAGGCCAUGAAAGGUUAUGUGAUGUUUCUGGAAAAUUUCUAGAGCACAACACCUAGUGUAUGGGUCUUUUCUCAUUCAUUUCUCGACCAAAAUUAAUGAUUCUCGUUUCUUUGAAAAGCUGGUAAUCUCCUCUAUAAAGUGUGAUUGAUUUGUGAUAAGUUUGAGUAAUAAAAGUGUGUACGUUUUUCCUUCAAUCAUAGAAGCUUAAUCACUAUAAUGGCUAUUGGUUUCUUGAACUUGCUGAUUUGAUUCUCUCGUUUGCUUCUGAUUUUGAUCUUGAUUUGUUCAAUAUUUAUUCUUUUUGAGUAUUUUUUGUGUUGAUUAGCCUCUAAAAUAGAACUAGUGGAAUUAGACUAGAAAUUGAGAAAUUCACUAUUGGUGAUGAUCUCUCAUUUUAAAAGAUGAAGAUGAUAACUCUUUUUGUUCAUCUAUGUCUUAAGUCUGCUCUGGAAGAAGAUGAUUCUUGGGAAGCAUCAAGUUCUAUCUCUGAUAAGAAGAGAAGAUGGAUCUAAAAUAGAACUCACAGUACCUUCAUCUUAAGUCUUAAUGACUCAAUCUUGAGGAAGAUUUAAGGUGAAAUGACAAUCUUGAGUAUCAUGGAAUAAAGUAGAGGCUUUAUAUAUGAAAAAAGUUACUUAAAUGUUGUUUUAAAAGAAAAUAUUGUAUAUUUCUCUAUAAAAGAAGGGGUAUUAAUGAAGAACAUAAUGAUACUUUUAACAAGAUUAUUCUCGAUCUUAAAGGGGUUGAAAAUAUAAAAAUUGGUGAUGAAGAAAAUGUUUUCUUCUUAUUGAGUUCAUUACUAAAGUCCUAUGAAGGUUUUGUUGAUACUAUGUUGUGUGGAAGAACAAGCUUUGCAUUAGAAGAUAUUAAGACCUCACUAUGCUCAAAAGAAAUUCAAAAGCACUCAGAGGACUUGGAUACAGACACAGAAGAAGGUUUGAUGGCAUGAUUUGAAAAGAAGAAUGAUAAGAAGAAAAAAAAGAACAAGAAUUAUUUUGAGAAUGAGGAUGAGUCUAAAAAAGAAAAAAUAAAAAGAAGAAAAUGUUUUUAUUACUAGAAACCAGGCCAUUACAUCAAGGAUUGUGCUAAAAAAAGAGAAACAAUAGGAAGAAAUCUGAUGAUGUUGCUGUGGCCUCAGAUGAGUUUUCUAAAAAAGGCUAUCAUAGUGUUGGUUUACUGGUUGCAUCAAAUAAAAAGAUUAAAGGCUAGGGGUUCUUAACUUUGGAUGCUCUUUCUAUAUGAGUCCUGAUAAGUAUCUUUUUCAUGAUUAAUAAUCUAUUGAUGGUGGAAGAGUCUUAAUAGGUAAUCACCAUGCAUGCGAAAUUGUUGGUAUUGGUUCUAUUAAAAUUAGAAUGUAUGAUCGAAACACAAGGACUCUAGAGCAUAUAAGGCAUCUGCUUGGACUAAAGAAGAAUCUCAUUUGACAUGCUAAAUAGUUCAUGUUAUUUCUUUAAAUCAAACCAUAGUGGUUUAAAAAUAAUGAAAAAUCUUGAUGUAGUGAUGAAGGGUGUUAAGAAGAAUAGACUUUACGUGCCGGGAGGUUCCUCUGUGCCUAUUUUGUUUGCUUUGCAUAUUAAAACUGAUGUUGACAGAGACAAGUUAUAGCAUUUAAGACUUGCCCACAUCUGUGCAAAGGGCAUGCAAGAAUUGAGUAAAAAGGUGUUGUGUGGUGAUAAGAUUGAAGAGCUAGAUUCUUAUGAAAACUGAAUCUUUAGGAAGGCACACAAGGUUAAGUUUGAGAAAAAGGAUUUUAUAAAUCCAAGAACAUAAUGAAUUAUGUACAUACUUUUAGGGGCCUACUCAAGUUCAAUGCUUGAGUAGUGGAAAAUAUUUCAUGCUAUCAUCAUUAGUCAACCAAUCUAACGCCAAAGUCCUGAGAUCUGACUCUGGUUUGUAAGCUUGUAAAAGAUUAAAUAACUCAUUGGCAAUAAAAGCACAAAUAAAGAGGUUUUUUUCGCUAAGAAUGGAAUGAAAUGAUUUUUAAUUGCUUGGUUAAGAAAUUCCAUCAAGCCAUCAUGAAAGUUAUUAACAUUUAAUAAACCAAUGAGUAUUUUUAUGAAUGUUCAAAUAGGCUCAAGAUGUAAAUGUAAUUAAUGCCUCCAGAGUUUCAAGAUCUCUUAGCAAGAAAAUAAAAGCAUCGGCAUAAUUUAGCAUUUUAGAUAUUCUCUCUUGCAUAUUUAAGAUGACUAACUCAUUUUCAGUUGGUGGGUCGGGUCAGCAUCCUAGAGAUUUUAAGGCUUUUGGAAUAACCCCUAACACUUGGCUUCCUCUAAUAAAAACAACUUCUGAGACACGUUUUGAUGACCCUCAAUCACUUCCUCCACAGACUGAGUGUAGUUCUCUUUUGGCUACGACACGAAAAAAUCCUAUAGCUGCCUGAAUGAACUCCUUGUAUUUUCCUUAGUAAAACCUAGAAAGCACAUAAAUGUUCAUGAAUUUUCUACAUGAAGUUGUUGCCAUUGGGAAAAUCUUUAAAAAUAAUUUGUGAGUGUUUAAAAAACAACUCAUAUUAAAUUCUCUUGGUGAUAGACACAAUGAUACACAGUUAUAUAUGGGAUGAUAUGUUUGUCAAAUGAUACGUGAAGCUCAUAGCUCAAUAUUCAAAUGCAAAUAGCCAAAAGAAACAGACAAUGAUUAGAUAUCAAAGCUCACCAUUCUUCCUCUAGUUUUACAUCUAGAAACAACUUAAAUGCCCUCUAUGGGUCAAAGAUAGACUUCCCAUUCAAUUUUCUUAUAAAUUGACAAACAAGUAAUUUAUAAUCAUAUUUCUAAGAAUGUAUCGUGCAUGUUCUUUCUGGAAUUAUGACCAUAACUGGUUAAUUGCUCUCUGUACAUGUCCAUUGGGAUGUGUUUCAAGAGACGAAAGGACAUCAUCUAAUUACACUUUAUUCACACCAUCACUAAUGAAUUGAAUCUUGUAUUCCAUAUUAUCAGACACCAUUCCUAAAUAUAUACAACGAUUUUUGUUACAGUUUAUUCGAACACACGUAUAGCAAGAAACAUGAAGCCAUUUAGCUCUUCAUUUUCUGGAAUAGUUUUCUUUUCCGCAACUAGGCAUGUAGGUAAAGAUUUUGGAGGUAACUCCCCUGCUAAUCAUACUUUAACUUCGAUUAACCAACAUAUGUCAACAAGGAAUUUAUUUCUUAUAAGUAGUUGCAAGUGUUGAGUGUUAGAAAAUGUAUAUUUAUAAAGGAGGCAAAGAUUUUGGAGGUAACUCCCCUGCUAAUCAUACUUUAACUUCGAUUAACCAACAUAUGUCAACAGGGAAUUUAUUUCUUAUAAGUAGUUGCAAGUGUUGAGUGUUAGAAAAUGUAUAUUUAUAAAGGAGAAAAUCGUCAUUUUACACUUCAAAUCUUACUAACACCCUUACUUUGGAGGCAUGUAGGCAAAGAUUUUGGAGGUAACUCCCCUGCUAAUCAUACUUUAACUUCGAUUAACCAACAUAUGUCAACAGGGAAUUUAUUUCUUAUAAGUAGUUGCAAGUGUUGAGUGUUAGAAAAUGUAUAUUUAUAAAGGAGAAAAUCGUCAUUUUACACUUCAAAUCUUACUAACACCCUUACUUUUAUGUAUUUAAGCUUCUUGUGAUUUAAUUACGUGUGUUUUAUUUUAAUUAAGUAUUUUAUGUAUUUUAGGGGCAUCAUGGUCAUUUCACAAUGAACGAGAGAUCAGACGGUAAAAUGGACAUCACUUUUGAACUCAGGACAGUCAAAAACUUUAGGAGGAGCAUAAAAGGAAAAAUAUCACUGUUCACAUGUACGGUACUAUUCACAUGUACGGUAUUGUCCAUGUUACUGUUUACAAUACUAUUCACAUAUACGGAACGAUGACGUGGCAUUGACUGAUGAUGUGACAUUGACUGAUGAGGUGUCACGAUUUUAUUGGACUAAAAUUCUUAUGUACUGUUGAUUGAUGACGUGGCAGCAUAUUAGUGGACCAAAAAUCGCGCGUACGGUACAUACAUGUACACAGGAUUAUUUUCAACCAAACCGCGUCACUGUUCAAGCUGGUUGACUGUUCAAACCGUGUGGUCAAACCGGGUCACUGUUCAAACCGCGUAUUGUUGACUGAUGACGUGGUGCAAUCCUGAGCGUCCAAACUGUUUUUAAUCCGAUGACCAUGAUUUACUCAAUGUAUCUAUAAAAAGGAGGCUUUCCCCCCUAAUUUGGCAUCCCUGAAUCCAUUUUUGGGCUCUAUUUUCUAUGUAUUUUAAUAAAUUCCCAUUUUGCCCCUAGUUCAAUUAUGAGUAGCUAAUUUUCUUUCAAGCUUGGGUUGAAGGUGAAGUCUCAACAUGUGUCAUGGGCUUGAUUUGGUAAAUUUAUUUUCUCUUCCCCUCUAAUUAUUGUGGAUGUUUUGACUUUUUGUCGACAAAUAGUAAUAAUCUUGUCUAGAUACCGCCUUGGUUACACCGACUCCCUAGUAGAAGGUUAUUACUAUUUAGCACGAGAAGCUCUUAGCACCUUAUUGAUUAGAGUGUGGUUCAUGAGGUGUGGAUUCCCCCCUCACGAUUUAAUUGACACUAAUAAGGAAUAUUUAGCCCAUGAUGCAUGUUGAUACGGAUCCAGAUACCCAAGUGCCGCAUUUCAAUAGAAUUCACUUCGAUUUAUUCUCGUCAUUUUAAUUCAAAUUUUAGGAUAAUCUAAGUUAUUUUCACCACAAAUCCAACUACCAAUUUAGAAAAAUUAAUUCUACACACAAUUAGAAUCAAUCUUCUUGUGGGAUCGACACUCGUCACCAUUGAUCUAUUCGACAAUAGAUUCGUGCACUUGCGAUUUCAAUAAAAUUUGCACAACAAGUUUUUGGCGCCGUUGCCGGGGAGGUAAGUUAUUUUAAUUCGUAGAAUUAAUUUUUGUAAAUAAUUUCUUUUAAUUGUUUUCUUGUAAUUUUUUUAUUUAAAAAAAAAAAGUGAAUUUGCAUUUAGAGGUAAGAAUAUUUUGCUAUUCUUUAAAAUUAUGUAAUUUAAUUUUUAAGUUAUUUUUCUUUGUAAUUUUUUUUGUUUAUCUUAUUAAUUUAUUUUUAGUUAAUUUAUUUCGCGUAUUUGUUUUAGUGUGUUUUUAUAGAAAUAUUGUAACAGCGCGAUAAAGUUAGUACCAUAAUUUCUCUUUCUUCUUUAUUUUUAUUUAUUUUGUUCCCAUUUAUUUUUGUGUUCUUUGUAUGCAUAGUCGGAGGUCAUUAUUACAUAAUCUUGAGCCUAUAGACAUUGAACUAGAAAAAAUACUGCGCACACACAAACACGUUAAAAAUAAAAUUGAAAUGGAUUUGCAACAACAACAAGCACCACCAGAGAGGCCAUCUAAGGACUAUUUCACUCCCUUAGCUAAUUUGAGCACAUCAUGCAUAAGAUACCCAAAUGUAGCUGCUAGGAGUUUUGAAUUAAAACCUAGUGUGCUAAAUUGUCUCCCAACAUUCUAUGGCUUAGAAAAUGAGGACCCAUAUAAUCAUCUGAAUGAUUUUCAUGUUGUUUGUCAAACUUUUAAAUAUGAGAAUUUUUCAGACGAUGAUGUUAAACUUAGACUAUUCCCAUUUUCUUUAAAGGAUAGAGCUCGUUCAUAGCUCAAUACAUUGCCUGCUAAUAGAAUUACAUCAUGGGAACAAAUGGUAAUAAAAUUUUUGAAUAAAUAUUUCCCAGUGCAUAAAACCAAUGCUUUUCGCAAGGAAAUCUCAGAGUUUACCCAGAGAGAGGACGAGCAGUUUUUCGAAACAUGGGAGCGAUUCAAUGGGCUACUCUUGAAGUGUCCACAUCAUGGGUACGAGAAAUGACACUAAUGCCUAUACUUUUUGGAGGGAUUAUUGCCGAAUGUGCAAGAAUGACUAAUGGCAACAAGUGGAGGAGAGCUAAUGUCAAAAAGUGCAUCAGAAAUUUGGGAAUUCUUCCAGCGGCAAGCGGAUAAUUCCCAACAACGGAGUCGAUCGCUCAGGAACACUAAAAGAAUUAAAGGAGUGAAUGAGGUUCACAUUGGCGAGUCAACUUCGGGAAUCAAAGAAGUUAAGGAGAUGGUUGAAGGUCUUUCUCAACAAAUAGCAUGGUUAAUGACUGCUAAAUCAACAGAGUCACAUGAUCAUGACUUAUACUCAGAUCAAGCCAAUGCCAUAGGUGUAAUGAGGAAACCAUCAAAUUAUAACCCAUACUCCAACACAUAUAACCCUGGAUGGAGAGACCACCCUAAUUUUUCAUGGUCUCAAGGAUUCCAACUGAAUGGACCAGCAGCUCCAGCUCCACCAAUGCAACCAAUUCCUCAAGCCUUUCAACCACCAUUUAGACCAUACAAUCAGAACCAAAACUACUCUCAACCCAGACCAUGGGAGGAUUCAUUCCAGAAUUUCAAGAAUGUUACCCACUCCAUGAUUGAACAAUAGAAUCGCGCCAUUGAUGGACUACGAAAUGAGAUGAGAGCAGGCUUCAACUCACAAGCCCAAUCAGUUUCAAGCCUCGAGAAGAUGGUGGGACAACUUGCUUCUUCAGUUCAGACCUUGGCAAUGACUGUUGAGAAAGGUAAAUUUCUAAGUCAACUAGUGCCUAAUCCUAAAGGAGUGUAUGAAGCAAGUACCAGUUCACCACAGCAGUAUGGAGAGGUCAAAGCAGUCAUAACCUUGCGAAAAGGAAAAGAAGUCGACAACAAAGUGGAGAUGCCAGUAACAAAAGAAAAUCAAAUUGUACCUGUGAAUGUUGAGGACUCACCAUCAGAAGAGAAAGAAGAAACCAACCCACGAGAAUAUGUUCCCAAAGCUCCAUUUCCUCAGAGGUUAACUAAAGGAAAGAAGGAAAAAUCCACAGGUGAGAUUCUUAAAAUCUUUAAAUAGGUAAGUGUUAACAUCCCUUUACUUGAUGCUAUAAAACAAGUUUCAUCUUAUACCAAGUUUCUUAAAGACCUUUGUACUAAAAAGAGAAACAUUCACGUUCAAAAGAAGGCAUUUUAAACACAAAACGUUAGUUCUAUACUCCAACAUAAAAUUCCUCUAAAAUGUAAAGACCCAAGCUCCCCCACUAUCUCAUGUAGUAUAGGGAACCACACAAUUGAGAAUUCUUUGUUGGAUUUAGAAGCUAGUGUAAAUCUGUUGCCUUAUUCAGUAUUUGUGAAACUUGGAUUGGAAGAAUUACACCCAACUCCAGUGGUGUUACAACUUGCAGAUCGGUCCACAAAAAUACCUCGUGGUAUUGUGGAGGACGUGCUUAUCCAGGUAGACAAGUUUUAUUUUCCUGUUGAUUUUAUUGUAAUUGACACUCAACCAACACAGGAUUCAAAGAAGCACAUCCCCAUUAUUCUAGGCCGACCUUUCUUGGCCACUGCGGAUGCUCACAUUCAAUACAGGACUGGAAAUAUGCAGUUGUUCUUCGGCAACAUGACUAUGGAGCUGAACAUCUUCAACAUUGCCAAACAACCUCAUAAUGCAGAUGAUGAAAUUGUUGAUGUAGAUUUAAUUGAAGCAUUAAUUGAUGACACUUUUCUUUCACACCUUAGUGAUGAUCCUUUACAAAUAUGUUUAACUCACUUUGAUUUGGAUUUUGAUAUUGACAGAUUAGUCGAUGAGGUCAAUGUUCUACUUGACUCAGCACCAUCCAUGGACACUAAUAAAUAGAAGUCAAGAGUUAAGCAACUAGCACUAUCAGAGAAGAAACUCAUCCCAUUAUCAAAAUCACCACCGAAACUCGAGCUUAAACCAUUGCCCAACACUCUGGAAUAUGCAUUUUUGGGAGAAGAAAAUACUCUGUCGGUAAUCAUCUCAUCAUCCCUAAAUGAAGAAUAAAAAGGUAAGUUGUUGGAUGUUUUAAAAUAGUACAAAAGAGCAUUAGGAUGGACUAUAGCGGACAUAAAAUGUAUAAACCUAGUAGACUGCAUGCAUUACAUUCACCUUGAUGAAAAUGCUAAACCUACUAGGGAAAUGCAACGUCGGUUAAAUCGUAAUAUGAAAGAAGUUGUUAGAACUGAAGUCCUUAAGCUAUUACACGCAUGUUUUAUUUACCCAAUUUCUGAUAGUUCAUGAGUCAGUCCUGUAUAAGUUGUCCCCAAAAAGUCAGGAGUCACAGUAGUUACGAAUGCCGAUAAUGAAUUGAUACCCACUAGAGUGACUACAGGAUGGCGUGUAUGCAUUGAUUAUAGAAAGUUGAAUUAUGUCACACGUAAAGACCAUUUUUCUUUACCAUUUAUCAAUCAAAUGCUUGAUAGAUUAGCAGGCCAUGAAUUUUAUUGCUUUCUAGAUGGUUACUUUGCAUAUAGGAGAAUGCCAUUUGAAUUAUGUAAUGCACCUACUACAUUUCAACGAUGCAUGUUAAACAUUUUUUCUGAUAUGGUUGAACGAUUCCUUGAAGUCUUUAUGGAUGACUUUUCUGUUUUUGGUGACUCGUUUGAUCAAUGUUUACAUCAUCUAACACUAGUUCUGCAGAGAUGUAUCCAGAAGAACUUAGUCUUAAAUUGGGAGAAAUGCCAUUUUAUGGUAAAACAAGGUAUUGUUCUUGGUCACAUCAUUUCGAGCAAAGGUAUUGAAGUUGACAAAGCGAAGGUGGAUCUUAUUUCCAAUCUUCCUCCACCUAAAACAGUCAGAGAAGUAAGAUAUUUCCUUGGGCAUGCUGGUUUUUAUAGACGUUUCAUUAAAGAUUUUAGCAAAAUUUCUAGACCCUUAUGUAAUCUACUUGCUAAGGAUGUACCUUUUGUCUUUGAUGAUUCAUGUCUUGUGGCAUUUGAAAAACUAAAGCAAUUGUUGACAUCAUCACCCAUAAUUCAACCCCCAAAUUGGAGCUUACCAUUUGAGCUCAUGUGUGAUGCAUCUGAUUAUGCAGUAGGAGCAAUAUUAGGACAAAGAGUUGAUCGAAUUCCCCAUGUUAUUUACUAUGCUAGUAUGAUAUUGAAUGAUGCACAAUUGAACUAUUCAACUACUGAAAAAAAAUGCUAGCAGUAGUGUUUGCAUUAGAGAAAUUUUGAUAUUAUCUCAUUGGUUGUAAAAUAAUUGUGUGUCAUAGAUCUUGCUACUUUUAAAUAUCUUCUCACAAAGAAAGAUGCAAAAGCUAGACUAAUUCGUUGGGUGUUACUUUUGCAGGAAUUCGACUUGGAAUUUAAAGAUAAGAAAGACACAGAAAAUGUUAUGGCAGACCAUCUCUCUCGUCUCCAUUUUGGCACAAUUGCAGAACCAUUAACAUUGAAUGAGUCAUUUCUAGAUGAACAAUUAAUGAGUGUGAAAGUAUUACCAUGGUAUGCUGACAUCGUGAAUUAUCUUGUUACAGGUCAACUUUCAGAGCAUUAGACCAAGCAAGACAAGGCCAAAGUUUUUACAGAAAUAAAGAAUUUCUUUUGGGAUGACUCGUAUUUGUUCAACUAUUAUGCAGAUCAAAUUGUUAGACGAUGUGUCCCAGAAAGUGAAAUUCAGAAUAUCCUUUCAUUCUGCCAUGAACAAGCUUGUGAAGGCCAUUUUAGUGCUAAGAAAACAACUACUAAAGUUUUACAAUGUGGUUUCUAUUGGCCAACUAUAUUUCGAGACGCUUACACUUUCUGUUCUUCAUGUGAUAGGUGUCAACGAAUGGGGAGCAUUACACGAAGGAAUAUGAUGCCACUAAAUCCAAUUUUAGUGGUUGAGAUUUUUGAUGUAUGUGGUAUCGACUUCAUGGGACCAUUUCCCCAUUCUUUUGGCCAUCAAUACAUAUUGGUUGCUGUUGACUACGUAUCGAAAUGGGUAGAAGCAAUUCCAUGUAGAACCAAUGAUCACAAGGUGGUGAUAGGAUUUUUGGAAAGUAACAUUGUUUCAAGCUUUGAAUUCCCUCCAGCGAUAAUCAGUGAUGGUGGUGCCCACUUUUGUAACAAAGCACAAAGCUAUUUUGACAAAGUAUUCCAUCACUCACAAAGUGGCGACCCCAUAUCAUUUGCAAACCAGUGGCCAAAUUAAGAUCUCCAAUCGAGAAAUAAAGCACAUAUUAGAAAAGAUGGUGAGGCCAGACAUAAAAGAUUAGUCAUUAAGACUUGAUUAUGCAUUAUGGGCAUAUAGGACGGCUUUCAAGACCCCGAUUGGGAUGUCACCCUACAAGCUAGUGUAUGGAAAAGCUUGCCACCUACCUGUGGAACUCGAGCAUCGUACAUAUUGGGUCAUCAAGAAAUUCAACUUUGACAUGCAGUAAGCUAGCUCAGAAAGAAGAUUACAACUGUCAGAACUUGAAGAAAUUCGCAAUGACGCAUACGAAAAUGUCAAAAUUUACAAGCAGUGAAUGAAAGUCUUCCAUGACAAGCAAAUUAUGAGAAAAUCUUUCACUCCAGGUCAGAAAGUACUUUUAUUCAAUUCUUGCUUGCACCUAUUCCCAGGUAAGUUACGCUCUCGAUGGUCUGGCCCCUUUAUUGUUCAUACUGUUUUUCCACAUGGGGCAAUUGAAAUUAAGGACCCAAAGAACGGUGUCACAUUUAAAGUUAAUGGUCAAAGAUUAAAGCCAUAUCUAGAGUAUCAACCACAUUGAGAGGACACCGAAAUAAAUUUGAGUGACCCACCAGAUUUGAAUUGAGUUUUUUUUUCUUUCUUUUCGGUGAUUUGAUUUUUCUUUCUUUCUUUCUUUUUAUUAUUCUUUUGCUAAUUGUAAUUAUUUGUGCAUAAGUGUGUUUGUUUAACCAUUAAGUUUUCUCUUAUCAUUGUUAAUCAUGAGUGCCAUAUCUAAACAGUUCCUCCUGGACAUUCUUAAACCACUUCAACGUGUAAAAUCUCAGCUCAAAAGGCAGAUUCAAUUUUGUAAAACACAUCAUAUUUGGCUUUGCAACCACUAGAGUUAGUAUCCUAUGUUGUGGAUUUAGAAAGCUAACUCAGAGACAUUGAGAGAAGUGUCUACAACAUCUAAUUGGAGCUUGAGGUAAAUUCAAUAAGAAGAAAAUUGUAAUUUUCUUUACGUGUUUUAGUUUUUUUUUUUUUUUGUUUGUGUGCUUUAGUUUGUUACCCCGGUGAAGUGGCGGAUAACGGUACUCCGUAACAAUCAAGUCGGUUACUUCAGUUUCCCUUAAUAACUGAUAUUAUGAGGCGAAGGUAUGGAUAGAAACGAGAUUCUAGCAAAACUUCACAAUCGAUUUCCUUCACUUCCUCAGAAUGCCCUCCUUACAAUCUAUAAAGCUCGGUCCGAACGCAUGCGAUUGCUCAUGAGGAAUAACAUACCUGCUGACAUCCGUUGGUUAAUCGAGGCUAAAGUACGAUUGGCAGGUGAGUUACCUCCAAAAUUUAUUGCAUACAUGUCUGGUUGUGGUAAAGGAAAUUAUGCAAGAAAACGAAGAGCUCAUAGAAUUUCUGUUGCUUGUCAUAAAUGUGCCAGAAUGAGAUGCAAUAAAAACCCAUGUUCUUUAGGAAUGAUGUCUAAUAACAGGGAAGAUAAGAUUCAAUUCAUUAGGGAUGACUUGAAUAAGGAGUCAUUGGAUGAUAUCCUUUUGUCUCUUGAAACGCAUCCCAGUGGAUAUGUGGAAGGAGCGAUUCUCCAGUUAUGACCAUUAUUCCAGAAAGAGCAUGCAUGAUAUAGUCUCGAGAAUCUGACUAUAAACGACCAUGUUUGCCAGUUUAUAAUAAAACUGGAUGGGAAGCCUAUCCUCGACCCAUAGAGGGCGUUCAAGCCGUUUCUGGACGUAAAACCAGAGGAAGAUAUGAGCCACAGUCGCAACUACCUAUAAAUAUCCUUUUACUUCACUGUUAUUUUAUUUUACUGUUGUUUUAUCAUUUGCAUUAUUGUCUUUAAUAAUUUUAUUUUAUCAUUGUUUCUUUUUCUUUUUACUAUUUCCUUUUUGACUCGCGAGCCAUGUGCUUUACACGUUAUUUGACACUGACAUGCCACCUCAUAUACAGUUGUGACCCACUGUCACCAAGAUUCUUAAAUAGGACUUUUUGUUAAGCACUCACAAAUUAUUUUUGAGAAAUAUUCCAAUGGCAGCUACUCCCAAUAGACAAUUCAAGAACAUUUGUGUGUUUUAUGGAUUUGACUAUGACAAACAUAAAGAGUUCGUUGAGGCAGCCAUAGAUCUUAGUCGAAGGAUAGCAGAGAGAAAAUUACACUUAGUGUAUGGAGGAGGUAACCGAGGGUUAUCAAAAUUGGUCUCAGAAGAUACUUUUGUCAGAGGAAGCCAAGUGUUAGGCAUUAUCCCAAGAGCCCUAAAACCUUUGGGCAGUUUGUCUGACUCACCGACUGGAGAAGAGUUAGUCGUCUCAGGUAUGCAAGAAAGAAUAAUUGAAAUGCUUAAUCAUGCUGAUGCUUUUAUUUUGAAGAUGGCUGAAUAUGAAAUGUAGUUACUUUAGAAACGCAUCUUAUUCGUUAAAAAAAAUAAAUUCCAGACAUUUUCUUUUUCUUAAUUAAGCUUUGAUAUUCAUUUUUUUUUACUUCUUCUUUUUAAUUUCUCCUUUAUAAAUAUACAUUUUCAAAAUUUUGAGUCGAAGAUGGCUGAAUAUGGAGUGUAGUGCCUCUAAAAAUGCAUAUUCUUAGUUAAAAAAAAACCAUUUUCUUUUUCUAUCAUUUUAAGUGUAACUUUUCUAAUUAGUUUUUCUGCAUCAUUUUCACAUUUUUGCAUGCAUAUUUUCCUUUCAUGUUUAGAAUAGGUUGGGGGGUAGAAUGUUGUUUGAAAAAAAAAAUUGUGUGAUUUGUUUUAACAUUGGAUGACAUGAUGAAUUUUAAAUUUUAGUAUUUAUAUUAUCUUUGGUCUUAAGUGAUGUUACGCCAUGUUUGCUACUCUACAUGUUGAUGUCGGAGACAAAUAUGAGUUGCUUGAAGGAAUGAACAUGUCAUAAUAAGUACCAAGUGAGUUUUUGUGCCUAUCAUUUUUCUUAGAGAGUAACCCUUUUGCCCAUUCUUCAUACAGCUUAACAGUUUAUUAUUUUAUACACGAUCUCUAGAUUUCUUUUGAGUUAACCCUUAAAAAAAAGUUGUAAAAUUAAAAAAAAAAGAAAAAAAAAAUGUGUGUUGCUACAUCUGGAGGCCCAUCUAACUGUAGAUAUGGAAGAUUAUUUAGAGCUCUAAAAGACGAUGGAAAUGCCAUAUUUGAUCCGUUUGAGCCUUUCCAUCCCUUUUGUAAAAUCUCCAUAGUUAACCCUUUUGAGCCUUUAAAAAAAAAAAAAACCUUUUCUUUGUCAAACUUAUCAUCUUGAUCCACUCCGAUUUGGAGUAUUACCCGAUAUCUUACAAGUUCUAUCACCUAUUUAUGCUUGAGAAAAAUGUAAAUAAUUAUUUUGUUCAGUGAAGUUGUGCAAAAAAAAAGCAAAAAAAAAAAAAUUGUUGUUAAAAAAUAAAAUAAAUAACAAUAAUAGGUGAAAUCCACCUUGCAACUUUCAAAAAAAAAAAAAUCUCUGCAUUUUUCUCAAACAUACACUUUGUUUUCCUUAUUUUCCCUCCUUUGUUAGCCAUGUCCCUAGCCUACGUUACGUCCUAAUAAAAGUCAUUCUUGAUUUUAGGGAACUAUAGUCUAAAGUAGAAGCUAGUUAUAUGGGCUAAAAAGAUGUAGUCGUGUAUAAAAAAAACAAAUAAAUAAAUAAAUGACUAGCAUUUUUAUUUGACUUGAGAUCGUAUUAUUUCUAAGCUGGGGGCAUAUUUAUUUCAUCUUGGUGAGAGCAUGUGAUAUCAUUUCUUUAUUAUUUUCUCUCAAUUAUCAUUCAUUGGAGUGACUAUUUUUAUUGGGUUUAAUUUCUUUGUGAGAGUGUCACUAUUUCCAGUGAGAUUUUGUGGUUUAACAUGUCAUUCUUGAAAGUAGCUGUGACAAAGUCUACUGGGCUGAUUCAUGUGGAUGGUUGAUGUGGGUGUGAUGUUUCUUUAGACUGGAGAUAAUGCUUAUACUUUUAUUUGAUUUCUAUCAUUAGUCUGAUUGAAUAAACAUGAUUGUUUAAAAAAAAAUCAUUUUGGAUUUGAAUUUUGUUUUUGCUUUAUUUGCUAGGGACUAGCAAUAAGCUGGUUGAGGGGUGUGUUGAGUGUUAAAAAUGUAUAUUUAUAAAGGAGAAAAUCAUCAUUUUACACUUCAAAUCUUACUAACACUUUUACUUUUAUGUAUUUAAGCUUCUUGUGAUUUAAUUACGUGUGUUUUAUUUUAAUUAAGUAUUUUAUGUAUUUUAUGGGCAUCAUGGUCAUUUCACAAUGAACGAGAGAUCAGACAGUAAAAUGGACAUCACUUUUGAACUCAGGACAGUCGAAAACCUUAAGAGGAGCAUAAAAGGAAAAAUGUCAUUGUUCACAUGUAUGGUACUAUUCACAUGUACAGUAUUGUCCAUGUUACUGUUCACAUAUACGGAAUGAUGACGUGGCAUUGACCGAUGAUGUGGCAUUGACUGAUGAGGUGUCACGAUUUUAUUGGACUAAAAUUCUUAUGUACUGUUGAUCGAUGACGUGGAAGCAUAUUAGUGAACCAAAAAUCGCGCGUACGGUACAUGCAUGUACACAUGAUUAUUUUCAACCAAACCGCAUCACUGUUCAAGCCGGUUGACUGUUCAAGCCGGUUGACUGUUCAAACCGUGUUGUCAAACCGCGUACUAUUGACUGAUGAUGUGGCGCAAUCCUGAGUGUCCAAACUGUUUUUAAUCCGAUGGCCAUGAUUUACUCAAUGUAUCUAUAAAAAUGAGGCCUUCCCCCCUAAUUUGGCAUCCCUGAAUCCAUUUUUGGGCUCCAUUUUCUGUAAUUCCUUCUCCAUCUUCUAUUUUCUAUGUAUUUUAAUAAAUUCACAUUUUGCCCCUAGUUCAAUUAUGAGUAGCUAAUUUUCUUUCAAGCUUGGGUUGAAGGUGAAGUCUCAACAUGUGUCAUGGGCUUUAUUUGGUAAAUUUAUUUUCUCUUCCCCUCUAAUUAUUGUGGAUGUUUUGACUUUUCGUCGAUAAAUAGUAAUAAUCUUGUCUAGAUACCGCCCUAGUUACAUCGGCUCCCUAGUAGAAGGUUAUUACUAUUUAGCACGAUAAGCCCUUAGCACCAUAUUGAUUAAAGUGUGGUUCAUGAGGUGUGGAUUCCCCCCUCAUGAUUUAAUUGGCACUAAUAAGGAAUAUUUAGCCCAUGGAGCAUGUUGAUACGGAUCCAGAUACCCAAGUGCCGCAUUUCAAUAGAAUUCGCUUCAAUUUAUUCUCGUCAUUUUAAUUCAAAUUUUAGGAUAAUCUAAGUUACUUUCACCACAAAUCCAACCACCAAUUUAGAAAAAAUAAUUCUACAUACAAUUAGAAUCAAUCUGCUCGUGGGAUCGACACUCAUCACCAUUGAUCUAUUCUACAAUAGAUUCAUGCACUUGCGAGUUCAAUAAAAUUUGCACAACAGCAAGCGUUCA
rnacentral:lncRNA from 1 species